UUACCGUAGUUGUCGAACCUGUAAUGACAAUAGUGAAGAGUGAUUUCGUAAGUCAAAUAAUUGAAUGACUUUUCUGAGAUAAUUACUACCUGCGUUUAGUUUUUUCAAUAGUGGCAUUGAUAGCAAGUGCAGGGGCGCUAUCAGGUGAGUAAAGCUUCAAAGAAUUCUGAAGCUUCUUGAUUUGUUGCUUCUCCCUUUUAGCAAACUGUUUUGAAUCCUUGCAAGGUGUGAGACCUGAGAUGUCAGCAGAAGCUGGAAGAACGGGUGCUGACAAUAGAAUAGAAGACAAAGCAAGCGCGGCAGAGAAUGCCUUUAAUGAUGAAGAACUUUCCUCUGUUGAAUUAGAAACAGGGGUCUGGUUUGAAGAACACACAAUGGAUGAAGUUCUUUGUUUUGUGGUAAAUUGAGACCCAAAUUUAGAUGUUGAAAUGGGUUUUGAAAGGUUUGAAGGAAUAGUAAGAGACAUGGUAUUUUUUUUUUCUGUUUAUUUUUUCAAGAAAACAGAGGAAGAUUGGAGUGUGGAGAGUGAAAGGAUGUUUUUUUUAGGAUUUGUGGAAGAAAGGAUUGGUGAUCAAGAGAGAGGAUAAGGAGUUGAAAGGGAGCUUAGGUGGAGGGAUUUGAUUGGCUAAUAGAGUUGGAUUUUAUGAGUUUUGGGGAUUUUUUGAUCCAUCUGUGGAAGAGCAAGAACCAGGGAUUUAACAGAUACAUAUAUUAUGAUUUGGGUCAGGUACACUUUUGCCACACUAUUUUGGGAUAGUUUUUAAUUUUUGUCCCUCAGCGAUAAAUAAUUCUUUGCAAUGUAUAAGUUUAUUAUUUCGUAUCAGAAUAUCUCCGUACAUGACUUCAGUUUUUGAAUCUACUAGAUAUAAGUUCUAUUUAUUUGAAGAGCAGAAUUAAUAGAUCAAUCUAUUUGAAAGACAAAACGUACAAUUUUAUGGUUUUGAGAUAACAGGCCAUGCACUUCAUGGCAUAUUUCCAUAUGGAUUUAAAUGUAAACUAGUCCAACAGCUUCAAUGAGCCCGUGUGUUCGAAUGAAAUUUUGAAUUUGCAUAUCUAUGUGCACACCUUGAUCUCUAUGCUGGUAAAAUUAUGGUCAUGAAGAAGCAUACUGGAUUACGGAUUUAUGUUUCCAUUAUUGAGCCAAGUAGUUAGGUGAAUUGUAGGCCAUUAACACAUCAAGUUUUGACAUAAAUAAAAUUCUCUGAAUUUUCCAGUUCAUUAGAGUGGGGCAAGUUAUUGUCAUGUAAAAGCUCUCCAUGUAGCCAAUGUCAUCUUCAAUGAUACUUGUUUAUGCCAUAUUUUUUGUAUCCAUAGACCAUACUUGAUUCUUCUCUUCUUUCGUUUUACGACCUCUCAUGUGUUUUUUGGUGCUACCAUAUGCACUUUGGACUGUGGUUGGAAACUCCGCUUCUGUCAUAUCACACUGUAAAGUACCUCGUUAAGCAGGAUAUUUCGGUUUUGCACCAUCAGGUAAAUGACUACAGAGGACAAAGGGGCUCAAUUUUUGUUCAGUUGGCAUACUAGAGUGAUAUAUUCCCUUUCCAGGCUUACAUACAAUAUUUUCCUUAACAUAGAGGUUUAUCUCACACAGGACUCUCCAGCCGCGUGACAGACCUGAAUUAUGCACACCACUACUUGUAGAUCUGAUUACUUUUCAUGGAUCAUUCAUGGGAAAUAUUUUUGGGGUGGCAUUGAUAGUUGCGCAUAGAAACCUCUAUCUACUGUGAUACAAUAUUGAAAUGAACGACUCAACUUAUGAAAUCGUGAGAACAAUUUCCAAACAAAAAGAACAUUAAACAGCGAACUAGCCAUUAUCUAGCAACACAUGGUAUAGAGAAUUCACAAUCUUUCAUCGAUAUAAACAAGUGAAAGUAUAAUUCCACGAGUCUCCAACAAGAGAAAUUUAAACAAGGGUAAUCAAAAAUUAGACAUUAGGGUCAAUAAGGUCUCCGUUCAAGUACUCUCUGUAAGCAGCAACAGGCCAGAUGAAGCCUCUCCACACGAGUCUAUUAGCCAAUGGAACAUCGAUGAUGAUCUCCUUCAUUGUUGGUUUCUUUUCAUCUCUUACGGCAAUCAAGUAACUCCUUCCUACCCAUCCAAUCCAUCCAGCAAUGUACAAGAAGAGGAUCCCUGGAGUGAUGAACUCACCCCAGUGCCUCUGGUCACCACUCACUAUCAAAUGCGGUAGUCCAUCUGAUCCACACAACAGUCCUUGCUUUCCAUAGUUGUCAAACCUGCAAUGACAUUAGUUGAGUGACGUUCUGAUGAAUUAAACUUCUACUAACUCGAGUAUCAAAGGGUAUAUGUAUGUUCUAUUUUUGGAUGUUUCCUAGUCUAAUCUCAACGGCAUAUGCAAGGAAAAGUUGAACAAUCUGCUUUUCUUUGAUAAGCAAAUGUUAAUGUACAGUAUGCUUUCAUUCGUAAAAGAAUACUUUUAGCUCUUCUUCUACUCCUACUCCUAACAUGGGUUCGAACGAAUUCAGUAGCUUUUCCAUAGACCCUAUAUUUGUACUAUGUAUUUUAAUUUGUAAACCCCUAACAAAAUUGAUUAGAAUCCCAAAAUCUUAAUAUAAGUACUCUCUAUCUAGUACACAAUAAAAAAAUGAUCAACUAGGGAAAAUAGGCAAAUAAGAAGUAAAACUUUUUGAAAAUUGUGAAGAAAGAUACUGAAGGCAAACCUGCGUUUAGUUUUCUCAAUAGUGGCAUUGAUAGCAAGUGCAGGGGCGCUAUCAGGUGCAUAAAGUUUCAAAGAAUUUUGAAGCUUCUUGAUCUGUUGCUUCUCCCUUUUAGCAAACUGUUUUGAGUCCUUGCAAGGUGUAAGCCCAGAGAUGUCAGCAGAAGCUGGAAGAACUGGUGCUGACAAAAGAAUAGAAGACAAAGCAAGUGCUGCAGAGAAUGCCUUUAAUGAAGAAGAACUUUCCUCUGUUGAAUUAGAAACAGGGGUUUGGUUUGAACAACACACAAUGGCUGAAGUUCUUUGUUUUGUGGUAAAUUGAGACCCAAAUUUAGAUGUGGAAAUGGGUUUUGAAAGGCUUGUUGGAAUAGUUAGAGACAUGGUGUUCUUUCUAAGAGUAUUAUUUUUCAAGAAAAUGAUACAAAGAAGAAGAAGAAGGAAGAGAUGGUUUUUAGAAUUUGUGAGUGAUCAAGGGAGAGGAUAAGGAGCUGAAAAGGGAGCUUAGGUGGAGUGAUUUCAUUGGAUAACAAAAUUGGAUUUUGUGAGUUUCAGAGAUUUUAUGAAAUUUUUAUCUAUCUGUGGAACAACAACAACCACGGAUUACAGAUACUCAUAUUUUCGCGUGGCCACCACAUAGGUAAAGAGAACUCUUGAAUGAAUAAUUAUUAAUAAUAUAUAUAUUAAACAAACAUUUACUAUUUUACACGAUAAUUAAGAAAUUAUUAGUGAUAGUUUGAUCAACUUUGUAAUUAAGGGAUCAAUCACCAUGCUCUGAUGCCAAUGAAAGAUUUAAUAUUAAUUUUUUUUCCAUCAGAAUUCUUUCAAAUAUUAGAAAGAAGCCAUAUUAAUUGUAGGGGGAAAUGAGAAAAAAAUUAAUUAAAUUUAACCUAAUUUAGUAAGUAAUCAAGUAAUAUGAGAUAAUUAUUUUUAGUAAGACAACCAUCUAACAUACAAAAGAGAGAGUAUCUUUUAUCAAGUUUUUCAAAUAUAUAAAUUUUAUUUCGAGAUUCUGUUAACAAGUUUAAAUCUUGAAAGGUGGAAAAAAUAACAUAUAAUUGAAAUGGAGCGUAGUACUUUUUACCUUUUGUGAUUUUUAUACGUGAAUAUCUCAGAAGGACAUAUUUAGAACUACUAACAUUCAUAUAUACUUUCAUGUCCCAAUUUAUAUGAUUUAUUUUGUUUUUUAUUCAAUUUUAAAAAAGAAUGACACAUUUCUAUCUUUACUAACAAUUUAUUUUUAAAAUGCUCAUGUUAUCUUUAAAUAAAUAAUUUCUAGCUACAUAAAUAUAUUUGACUUAUUUUAAACCACAAAUUUCAAGUCUUUCUUCUUUUGUUUCUUAAAUUUUGUGUCAAAUUAAAUGAACUCAUAAAAAUUGAGACGAAAGGUUCUAGCGAUAUUUGGAGAGAGAGGCGAGAGGACAUACAAGUAAUUGGAAAGCAAAACCCAAUCUAAAAAAAGACUGCAAGACAUUUGCAUUAUAUAGUUAUUAAGAAAGUCAAAACAAGAAGUUCAGAACUAGUAGAGUUAAAGAAUAAUCAAAGAAAAAGUAGUUUAGGUUAAGCAGAAUUAAGUCAUAAAGACACUUUGUUCACAAAAAGGAGGUCAGCAGACAAGCAAUUAUCUCUAACAUAUUAUUACAAUAUGCAGAGUUGUUGGUCUCUAAAAGAAUCUGAUAUGCAAAUGAUCCUUGAAGAACUAAAAGAAACAAAUAAAUGGAACCAAAAAACAAAAAGUAUAGCAGAGUCAAAUGCCACAGAAUUUGAUCACUAAAAGAGUGGUGCUGUGUUCAAUUGCCUAUCACACUGAGAACGAAUGAGGUCAGAAAUGUUUGCUAGGAUGGUGGAGGAGGUAAGUUGCUUGACUUGUUGGGGCGCGGAACUUGUUCAGAUCGAUUAACAAGACUUAGGUUCUGUGACUUUGAGAUCAUGCUGACCAUAGAUGGAGUUUCAUACAUGGUGGCGCCACUAUUGCUUGAGCUACCACCUUGCAGUAAUAUUUGUGAUGUCGUGUCUCCUCUAGUUGUCGCUCUUUGCCAAGAAUGUGAGCUCAAACCUGAGAGGACGUAAGCUCGUCCAGUUUGUUCAUAGCGCUCCCUGCUUACCAUCCUCUCUCUGACUUCAGUCAGUUCCGUCUCAAGCCAGCUACAGAGAGCAUCGCCUGCUUGAGCAGAUACAGAAGACAGAAGGGUCGCUCUUCGGUUAGUUAGCGCGGCUUGAGCAGCCUCAAGAUUUCCCAUUUCUGCCAAUCGUUGUGCCUCUGCAAUGGUUUCUGCUACUGCCAGCCUGUUUAUCUGCCUAUCAACCUCUCGACUUAUUACCACAUCUGUAGGAGACAGCACUGGUGGCCGACGUAUCUCAACUGUUUCACCCUCCACACUGACCAUUUCUUCCGAUAUGGUAUUCUUGUAACUACAUGUAAUUUGCAACAGAGAUGUCUUUGUUGCGCCUUGCUCAAUUUCAGCUGAGGGAACAGACAAGUAGACAAGGAAUUCUUUUUCCUCAUCUGCAUACAGGUUCCCAAUGUUUAUUACCCCUUGCUUUCCCUGUUCAGAAAUUUCACUAGCAUAUCUUCCUGAAGGGAUGGAUCCAAUUUCUACUCCACGUGAUGCUGACCGAACAGUAAGCUUGAGUUCCUGGACUACAACACUGAGGAGACCACCAAUACACAUUGCAAAGGCAUCUUGAACAGUACCAACAGUCUCAAUGAACGAAAAUGUACCACCCGAUGCAUCUGAGAUAGCAUGCAUAGCAGAGGAAUCAUGGUCUAAACCAAAUCCAAACGUAUGUACAUGGAAAGUUGGCUGCUGUCCUGCUGCUAGUCCUUCUCUAUUGCGAGGACAAAUGGAAGAAGGCAAUAGAUUCAGAAAGUCGGGACCUGAGGUUGCAUUAGAGGAUCUGCGGUUCCGAGGACUCCGCCGUUGGUUGGCGAUAUCACCGUUAAAGGUGUCUCUCCCAUCUGACAAGAGAAUAAUGCUUGCAACUGGGUUCCUUUCACGUCUUUCUUCAAGAACCCGAACCCCCUUCUUGAGUCCUUCCACGAUAUUUGUGCCACCAUUUGCUGAAAUGGCAUUGACAGCCUGUGCAGCCUCUCUACGCCCUUGUUCUGUCAUCCUUCGCAAGGGAAAGUUUCUUUGAGCUCCUGAUGAAAAGGUAACAAUAGAUAGCCGGUCAGAAGGACCCAAGUUAUCUAUGACAAAACAAACUGCUUGUUUCAAGAGAGUCAAUUUUGAUCCAGCCAUGCUGCCACUAAUAUCUAGAACUGUGACCAGGUCAAUAGGUGCUCGCUCUUGGUGCCGAACAUCAUCAGCAAGUGGAGGUGCCUUUACUCCAACAAGAACAGCAAAUCUUGACAUACUUCCAGAAGCAGCAACUGCAGAAUAUUCAGGAAAAGCUUUCAAGACAGCAGUCUCUGGAUGAACAGAGGAAGGGGAGGGGGUCUGAUCCACAGUGAUGCUUGGAAGAGGUUCAUCAUCAGAGAAGUGAAGGGGCUCAGGAAGGGGCAGAGAAACGGGUGGUGGAACACGAGGAAUGUUGUCAAGGAAAUUAUCUUCAAGUGGAGAGACACGAGUCCGCCCAGCAUUAUUAGUGUUUACAUCAGUACUGAAGGACGACAUGAGAGGGAUCUCUUUCCAUUUGCAUCUGCAGAUGGGGCAGAGAUAAUUUCCAUGCUUAACACUGUUGGCAAUGCAGCUGAAAUGGAAUGAGUGGGCGCAUUCAGCAGUGAAUAUGGCCUGACCAUUCCCUGCUUUCAUACUCCCAAGGCAAAUGGCACAUGUUCGCUACAGUCACAAUAAAAUAGAGUGGCAAGUUACAGUUAGAAUAUUGAAAUCAGUACAUAAAUAUGUAACAUGCUCAAUGAGGCAAAUACAUAAUCACAUGUGCUGAAUCACUUCUCAUUUAACUUAAGAAAAACUUUGACACUUUAAGUAUAUCCACUCCACCGAGCAAUUGCAACCUUUGCCACCAGUGUGACAUUCAUGGUUAAAACAGUAGAAAAUAUUUUCAAUAAUCAAAAAGCAUCUAGAGCCCUUGGGCACAUAUCAUUUCAAGUCACAAAAAAUGAGAACAUGGACUUCAUUGACUAACUAGUCAUUGUUAAAAUAAGCUAUUAGAGUCAUUGAUUAUAAGGUACCAAAACUUAAAGAAAUAUUGACUGAAAUAACAUAAAUUGUUUAAACAGUAAGGAUUUGUGAAUAAAAUGUACUUGAGGUCAUCUAGAAAAAAUUUGCCAAAACGAAGUACUGAUUAAAAACUACUGAAUUAUUAAUCUUAUGCAUUUCACAAACAUAAUUUAGUAGAAAACAGUAAGCAAAAGUUCGCUGUAUGGAACUCAUCACCUCUUUGUGAAAACAACCACUCGUGACUUUUCUAGGGAAUCAUUAUUCAAUGAUAACAUUGUAAAUAAAUCAAACAACUAUGGUCUUAAUCUCAAAUUACUUCAAGACAAGUAUUGAUGAUAACAGUUAUGUGCAUGCAAUACAAUUGCAUAGGGUUAGGAUGAGUUAAUUGAGAAAACAACUAUUAAUAAAUUGCGCAUUAAAAUGUAUAGACCACCAAGUCCAUAUGGAGUACGUUUACUAAUCCACAAACAACUAAACUAGCAAUAACCGUUUCAAAAUCUAUACAAACCAACAUACAAGUCCAAGUAACUUUGUUCAAGUAUAGCUCCAAAUCAAGGCCUAUUAAACUAGCAAAUUUACUUUUCAAUUAAAAAGAAAAAAGCCAAACAACCAUCCCAUGGACACAAUUUAUAUGACAAUCUUUCCUUUUAGACAGGUAUAGAGGAUUUAUGACUUAUUCAUGCCUUUCAUACUUAAAAUUCGUGGUUAAUCAAACGUGUUCACAUAAAUUGGGACAGACGCAAUAUAUAAGAAGCAAACACGUAAUGUAUAGGAAAAUAAUCUUCUUAUAGGUAGCAAAAGUCAAUUAUAGAUACGUUUAAGCUAUCAUCAAUUAUAAUACUAGAUUUCAGAAAUGGUCCAACGACAUGGACAGAACACAUAGCUGGCGUAGGAAGAUGUCAAAAAUAUCUUAACAAACAAUAAAAAAGAUCUCCAAUUUGUCAAAAGCUGAAAUCAUCAUAAUUCCCAGCUAACCCAUAGAUUAAAUUAUUAAAAUAAAAUUAUUAGCAAGUGUUAAACAUUCAUUAGUACUUUAAAAUUAAUAGUAGUUGUACACUAGGUGCCAUUUUUUUUUUAUUAAUAGUAGAAAAAGGUAUUUUUCAAAAAGUCAAAACUUUAGAAAAAAAGGCCCUGCACGGAAAGCCAAGAAAUGUAAUCUUUUUCAGCUUGUGAAAAUUACCUUUUUGACCUCCAGAAGAAGGCGUUGAUACCAAAGUAGAGGACAGUAUAGUAAUUUACACAUACAUUUCGUCAUCUAAAACCUUGUAAAGCUGAAUUUCCAUUAGUUUAAUCACUGAUUAAGAUCAAGCCAAACAAACGUGAUAAAUUAAAAAGUGAAUUUCCAAUAUUACCCUUGUUACAGAUCCCCAAAUAACGUGAGAAACCGUAAAUUUAGCAAAAACAGGUAGGUAUUUUCGUCCAGAAAAAUUCUCCUCCUAUUCCAUUUUUGGCAAACCAGAAAUUUCUGCUCACCGUUCGCGAUGGUAAGAUAACAGCUGUCAUCACCGGUGAUGAAAAUUGAAAACGCAACCGACUUCCGGUCCGGUCGAAUCACAUAGAUAGCAAACCAAACACGCCGGCGAAACCAAAAUCAAGAAAUUACAACCGAAAAAACAGAAAAAAAUUCCGAAAAGAAAACGAACCUUAGAGGAUCGGGAGGUACUACUGAAACUUCUGGAUAAACGGGAGAAAGUGGAUGAAGAUGCGGCGGAGGACGGCCGAGUAGACGGUGGCGAUUUGGCAUCGGAGGAUGCAUUUUCUGGAGGAGAUUUAGGUUGCCUAAAUGAAAGCGCUUUUUGGAGUUUGCUCCAUGAACCUGACAUUCUUUCUUUCAGCUCCUUCAACAGAAAGAGAGAGAGAGAGAGAGUAGAGAGAGAGGGGGAAUUGAUGUUAGGGUUUGGGUUUUGUAAAAUGGAAGAAAAAGUAACGAACGUGAAUUUGGAGAAGAAGAGAUGGAAGAGGAGAGGAAAAAAACAAGAAAAAUUUAAGAUUUUGAAAAUGAUUAAUAUAAUUUUAUCUCUUCUUAAAAAAAUAUAAAUGAAAAGGGCAAGUAUGAUUACGGGCUAAUUUCAUUUAAUUACUCCUUCCGUUUUAUUUUUCUUCAUCCUAUAAGUAAAAUAAAUAUUUUGUUUUACUUGUUAGCACAUCACAAAAGGUUUUUCCUUUUUUUUUUUUUCGUAUUACCUUUGGGUUCCCAUUAGAAUAUGAAUAUAAAAUCAUUACUUGAAAAAUAAAAUUUUGUUUUGACAUCAGUGUAAUUUAAAUUGUAUUUUUCUUCAAAAUAUAAAAUUUUAUGAUCUGUGAGAACUAUAAAAAAAUAAUUUAUCAAAGAAAGCAAAUCAUAAUUCACAAAUAUAUAUACAUAUAUAUAUAUGUGUGUGUUUUCUUUAAAUAAAUACAAUAAAUUUUAUAAAGAUGCAUCAGCCAAUAAUAUUACUAACAAAAUAUUUUUUUGGCAAAGGAUAUAAAUCACAUGUUUUUAAAGUAAAAUUAUUUUUCUUAUAAUUACAGAAAUUUCUUAAAUUAAUACAAUAAUAUAAACGCUGAUACAUUAAUUUGAUGCGCGAGAAAUAUUGAUCAUUAAGUAAAAUAAAUUACAUUUUAUACAUGUUACGCUACUAAUCUAAUGUACAUUUACAUGAACAGUAAUCUAAUACACGAGAAUAUUAAUUUGAUAUAAUCUGAUGCACAAAAAUAUAGAAUAUUAAAAAUUUGUAAGACUAAUAGGAAAUAAUCAAACCAUAUUUACUUUUUGGAGUAUUUAGAUUUCAAAGUGCACAUCCAAAUGCAUAUUUACAGUCUUGACUCUAUAUACAUAUAUAUUCAAACACAAUCUUAAUAUUAAAUGACUAUACAAAAUAAUUAUGACAAUCAAAUUUAAAUUUCUAAAAUAUUAAUCAAUAAGAUUAAUUUAAAAACAACCUUUACUUAAAAAUAUUUUUAAAAAUAUAUCAUAAAUCUAAGAGGUCAAAUAAUAUAUAGUAAUUUUUAUUCUUGAUUUGGUACCAUAAACGGAAGGUCUUUUCGUCUUAGCAUAAUUAUAAGUAUGGAAGAUUUAUAAAGAUUAACACUGCACGUUAUUAAGUGAGUAACAUUUUGAGCAAUAAAUAAAGUAAAAUAGGUGAAGAGGAAAGUGAUAUUGGGACAUUAAUUUCAUUUAUAGUAGUAAUAUCUUCAUUUUAUAAUAUUGGGACAUUAAUUUCAUUAGUUGACUUUUGUGCAUUUUACAAAUUGUGGUCACCCACUUAUUAAAAAACAUAAUUAAAAAUCUAAAACCAUGGUGUUAAAGUUAAGAUAAGAUCUCUACUAAUAAAUUCAACAUAUUUAUUUUAGUAUUUUUAAAAAAAAACAUAAUCAAAGUACUUCUAAUAUAAAAUAAAUAUUUGUAAAAAAAACAAGAGUAUUCCCGUAUACUUUAUGAAGUUAAAAUAGUACCAAUUCGCUUAUUUCAAUUUUACAUAUCUAGUGCAGUUUAUAUUAACUAAUUUCAACCUUAUAUUUCUAGUGCAAUUCAGAUUAACUUAUUUUAACCUUAUAUAUUUAGUACAAUUAGAUUAUUUAUUUUUAGUGUUUUUAAAUCUUAUGUAGUUUUUUUUAAAGGAGUUUGAAAAGAUUAUAAAGGGGUAAAACUUAUUCGCAUCGAGUGUGUACAUCAAUUCAUGUCAUGUGUUUAAAUAUGUUCAUUUUACUUAACUUUAAUUAAUUAGCAUAACAUGCAUUUUAUUUUAUUAAAUCGCAUAAAAAUGAAAAUUGAAAUAGUUUGAUACAAGCACAAGGUGCAGAUAAGUUUUUGCCCAUUGAUUUUCAGCACCGACUUUUAGCUAAAGAAGUUAAAAUAAGUCAAAAAUAGGACAUCAUCUAUUUUUGACUUUUAACAUUCGACUUAUAAAUUAUUUUUUAUAAGCUCAUUCAAGGGCCUUAAUAUAUGUUUAUUGUGCAAUUUACAUCAUAUUCUAUUUUUUCCUACAUGUGUGAUUUGCACCCUAACUUCUUCUCUUUUUUUUUUUGUCAUAACCAAACUAUCAAUCACCUAACUUUGUUUAGCUAAGAGAAUUUGCUUAGCCACAGAGAAAAUAUCGAAAGCUCCUUUCCUCAUCUAUAGUUGCUCAAAAUGGAUCGAUAACUUUAUAAUUCUUUAUUGUUUUACAAAAAAUUACAAAUCAUCAUAAAAAUAAAAUAAAAAAGGUAGGAUAAAGUGAAAAUCACAAAUUAAAACACACAUUAAGGGUGUGCAAAACGUCAUAUUCUCUAGCAUUAUUUAGAGUACUAGUCAAACAAAUUUCAUUUCUCGUAUAUUUAUUAUAUGAAUAGUUUUUUUUAUUCGUUCCUAAGAGAUUUUUAUGUUGCCUUAUUACUGAUUCGAACUAACAAUCUUGGAAUUAAAGGCGCAAAAUAUUUAUCACUUAAGCAACUCUCUCGCAUUAAUUUAAGAAAAUUGAUGUGCCUUUUAUUUAUUUUUCAAACUCGAAAGCGGCAACUCUUGAAGGUAUGAACAAGUUGAAGAUGUAGGGCUCAACACAAAAUGCCAGUUUCAUCACACGAGACUCUCGUGACAAAAGGAUGUUAAUAAUCAUUGAAUUCAUAAUACUUAUGUUUAUACAUUAUAUAGUAAAGUAAUUAUAAUAAUUAUAAUAAUAACUCACUUUUCAAACUCCUGUAAUACUUGAGAUCUACUAAUUUACUUAGUUGAUUAAUUGAAUGUUAAUGUGAUCAAAGUUAACCUAGGGAAGUUGUUACUUUUGGGCACUUUGAAGGCCUUUUAAUAAUGGGUAACAACUCUUUCAUUAAUCAAAGAAGUUAUGGGUUUUUGAGUCUUUUUGGUACGGAGUCGUCUUUGUUUGGAGCGGUUUAUCUCUUCAAGUGAGGCUUUCCAGCGCGAAUUUAAAUUUUAGUUAUGUUCUAAUGUGCAUAUCAAACGAAUGAAAACCCCAAAGAAAAUAGUUAGAACUCAUUCGGUAAUGGAGUAUUAUUCUUUUUUUUUUCAUAAUAUUUUCUUACUUUAUAUUUUAAAUUAGUAUUUCAUUAUAAAAAAAAUUCAAAUUCCGUUCAUUUUCAAAAAUUGAAAAUGAUUUAUAUCUUAUUUUCCAACUCUAUCUUCAAUUCAAGUUCAAAAAGUGCUCCAUUGUCUCUUUUUGCAAAUAUCACCGAACAUAACACAUCUUCACUCUUACCUCAUAAAUUUAAGAAAACGGUAAAAGGAAAAAUAUUUAAAACUUAUUAUCAAAAUCCUGCUAAAGAAUAAAUGCUUUUUAAUAACACAUAGUAUAUAUAGAGUAUAUACACCAUUAAAGAAUAAUAUCUUUUUACACAUGGAGAAUAAAUUGACUUAUUAGUUGUUAUCACUAUUUUGAAAAAAAAUAUUAUAUAUAUCCAAAGGAUGCUGAUAAAAAAUAUUAUUAUAAAUAUUAUAUUAUUAUUAUUAUUUAUUAUUAUUAUUAUUGUUAUUUUUUUAUUAUUAUUAUUAUUGUUGUUAUUGUUAUUUUAUUUAUUAUUAUUAUUAUUAUCCAAACACAUAACUUCUUAUUUUAAAAAUAAGUUUCAACACUUACAAAAUAUUUUUUAAAAGUUACUUUUUUUAAUCUCAUCCAAAACGGGCUCGAAGUCCAGUUUGUUCUUUGAAGUAAUGCAUUACAACUAUACUCCAUAUUUUAAAAGGAGUAUAUAUAUUAUCUACAUCAUGUAAGUAAUUUUUACAUCAAAAAAUCACGUUAUAAAUUCCACUUGUUAAUGAGACUUAUUAUACAUAUAUUCUUUGAUUUAUUACAUAAGUUUAAAAUAUUUAUGUUGACGAUGUAUAUAAAUUAAAUCAAAAAGAGAAACAAGAUAAAACAAAAAUGACUAGCUACUUCAAAUAAUAGUACAAUUAAGAGACACAAAGAAAUUACCAAAGGUCAAAUCAUAUUUCAUUUCCUUAGACAUUAUAACUGGCAAUUAAAAGGGUUUGUUGAUGGAAUUAGAAUCCAAAAUACAACUACUACUAUAUCCUAGCUUCCAAUGUGUCCUCGAUAGCCAGAUUAAAUUCGGAUUCACACUCACUUAUCUAUCAACCUCUAAAUAUUACUAGUAGAAAAGUUGGUUAUAAGAAUAAUCAACUACAUUGAGAAGGAAUUUGUGGUCCAUUAAAUUUCAUAUUUGCAUUUUCACAAGUUGCAGAUGUACUCUGUUGGCCAUCCAAAGUUAAUUGCAAACCCCUUAGCUCAAUCCCUUGACAUGGUACACUUUUGCUACAAUCAAACACUACUGCCUCUUUUGAUGCUGAAGUUCCUUUUACAUUUAUGAAUUUUACAUCUGAAAUCUGCACUUGUGAUUCGCCCUGUAUACAAAUAUAUAUAAUUAAUAUACAAACAAAAAAAAAUGCAUUUUACCAGCAAUAAAUGUUCAAAUGCUUAGGUUUUUAACCACUAGCUAUCUAUACAUUUGAUAAAGUAUAUUUUUAAAUCUUUCUAUAACAAAGUCGUUUUGUAUUUUAUUUUGAUGAAGUGAAACAAAAAGGAGAGUUCAUUUUGGGCAAAGUUUUCAUUUUUAUCUAUUUAGGAAUGUGAUGCUCAAAAAAGUGUUCAUUUUGGGGUCUGAUUCGGAUAAAAUAUAUAAUAUAACAUAACAUAAUAUGAAAGUUAUUUUUUUUUAAGAAAAAAAAACUUUGAUUGUUAUAGAAUCUAUAUAUAAAACUUGUUUGUUAUUGAAAGUUCUAGUGAUCACGUAGCAAUAUUUGACUAGACGAUACAAAAGAGAGAAAAGAAAUUAUUUUUAAAGUUUAUAAUGUAAAACAAGUUGUAAAUAUCUAUGUGGUAGUAGAUCUUCUCAAUAAGAAUAAAAUGAUGAGUUAAAUAAAAUUUGAAAAAUGAAAACGUGUCACAUAAAUUACGUACCUGACUUUUACAAGAAGAGUGAGGACAAUAGUGUUGAUCAAUGAUGAUAGGAUUUUCAACAUAAUUCACAUUAAUAUCAACAAAAGUGACAUUGAAAACUUUGCUAGGAGGUGAAGGUGCCCAACUCUUUAUCCUUAGACCAUUUUGAGUUUUCCCAAUAUUACAAUUUGUCACAAUAACUCCAUUCACAUCACCUUCAUUUUGGUAUUUUCCUAAACUUCCAAUGCUAAUGCCAUGUCCAGGCCCACAAUUAACCUCAGAAAUAUGAACAUUAGAAGUACCAGGCCCAAUUGAAACACAAUCAUCUCCUGUUGAAAUAUUUACUUUGUUAAUAAUUAUAUCGUUGGAGCCGCCUAUAUGAAUCCCGUCAGUAUUUGGGCUUUCGCCUGGCGCUAUUAUGGUCAUGUUCUGAAAAUGAACUCCUUGGCUUUUAUUAAUUUGGAAGUGGAAGAACUUGCUGUUGAUUGAUGUUAUGCCUUGUAGAAAACCAUUGCUUAUGCUGUUGAAUUUUAUCGACUGUUUAUAAUAUACAAGAAAAUAAAAUGUCAUUAGUCCAUGAUACAAUGUUAUAAAAACCAUUAGUUAAUAGCAACUAUACAAAUGUUUUGAUUGAAACACAAGGAAAAAAAAUUGUAUUUCAAUGAGAAUUUGUUUACCACCCUACAUUUUCUCAUUGAAAAUCAUAUAUUAUAGCAUAAAAUUUACAUUGAUUCACAACGGAAAAUUUUUAUGUUUCUAGUAAUGACUAUAAUAGUAAUUCCAUUAGUUACAUUUGAAAUCUCUAUUUAAUUCCAAUAUUAAGAUAUUAUAAUUUUUUUAUAUAAAAUAUUACAACUCACUAUCUUUUGGAAAAUUUUGUCAAAAAAAAUAUGUACAUAGUGAAUAGGUAGUAUAUACUUAAAUACAUAAUUAUAAAAAUAUAGUAUACAUACUAUAUACACAUAUAUACAGCAUAUACAAUUAAAGUAUAUAGAUAAUGUAUACUUCAGUCGUGUUGAUAAACUAGACGGAGGAGGUUAUAUUUUUCUCCCUUUUUAAUCUUUUUAUUUGUGAUUUUAUUUUUGUAUUUAGUACGCAAAAUAAACAAUUAGAAGGGAAGAAAAUAUUUAAUAUGCAAUAAAAAUAUUAUUUUUUUUACCGAAGGAGGAUUUGGGCCGUUAUCAUUAUACAUGGACCAUGCAGAUGGGCCUUGACCAUCUAACGAACCUUGUCCAUUAAUAGUCAGCCCAUCAAUAUGUUCAAAUAAUAUCCAAUAAUCAUCUUUGACUUUCCCCAAAGGAGCUUUUAAAAGUCCGUUAAUGUUAAAAAACAUUGGGCCUUUGCAUGGCCCAUUAAAUGUUAAUGUAUUCAACAAAAAAGUUCCUAUUGGAAUAAGGACUGUGCCUCCUCCAUUGUUUUGACAUGCUUGGCCCCAUGCCUUCAAAAAUGCCUACAAAGAAACAAAAAGACUUGAGAAAUAACGAUAACAAUAAUCGACGGAUGUAUAAUAUAUGUAUAAUGAGUGUAUAUUCUAUGUAUAUUAACAAGAAAAGGUAAAAAGUGAGGAGACAUAUACAUUGAAAGAAGUUAUUUAUCUACGCAAUGUAAUUAUUCACCAAAAAUGAAUCGAUAACUAUUUUGUGGACAAUGGUAAUUUUACCACUCUAUACAUUAUUAGUAUAUUGUAACAUGUUAUAGCAGUUUGUCUGUCAUAUUUUUCUAGAUUACUAAUUUCGACGAUUGCGAUUUUACCUGACUACUAUCAGUCUUCCCAUUAGGACUAGCACCAAAAUCUUGAACAUUAAACACUGAACCAUUACCAUGAACUUGAGAAACCUUAAUGAUUAUCAAGAAAAUGACAAACAAAGAAAGGAAAUGAAAGAAAAAAUGGGAAGAAGUCAUUUUUUGUAUUGUUUGAUUUUGUGUUUUCUUUCAAGACUUGUGGAAGAUGAUAAUUUUUAAGUUGAGUUCUUACAAAUGAUUUAUUUGAAGUAUUUAUUUAGUGAAAUUUUUAUAGUCGAAAAUGGAAACAAAACAAAUUAAAUCCCAAUUUUAACGUGAGGAUCAAUCGAAUUAUAAUGAGGUAUCUCACUUUCCAUUUUAUAAUAUGUAAUUAAGUUAUAUGGAUCAACUUAACGAUUUUUACGUUAUACUUUACUUAGUUUAACAAGUAAUAAUAUGUUAAUUGUACCAUUUUAAGUAGUCAUUAUUUAAUACUUAAUUAUAUAGUUUUACCUAUAAUUACCUCAAAGGUAACUUAAUUGUAUGAAUAUAUUUUCCAUAUUACCUUGAUCGAUAUUAAUCAAUAUCUAGUUUAGUAGUAUUUUCAAUGCAUAAUAUUAGUUAUAAAUCUUUUUUAAGUAUUAUAUGGUGUAAAACUAAACAUAGCACCUCAUGGUAUUAGAAUUACCAUGUUUUUUAUUUAGUAAUAGAUGAAUAAAUAUGAUUAAAGACAGAAUUAUGCUUGAAUACAUUAAAUUAAACACCGGAUAAGAAAUAAUUUAAGUAUAAUUAAUCUCAUCAUAAAUAAUAUUAAAAUUACCAGUUUCAAUAUGACAAAUUUAAUAUUUUUCUUACACACUAUAUCAAUCGAGUUGCUUUACUAAAUUAGGUAAAAUAAUGUAUGGUAUAAAUAGUUCUUUAGAUUAUAUCAAUCCUAAAUCAUUUUUUUUAAUCACAAUAAUAUUACUCUAAAUAACAUGUUGAUAUUUUUAUACCAUAUAAUUGAUUUUUAUCAUCACAAAAUUGCUUAACGUAUAUUCUAUUAUUUAUAGGAAAUAUGGAGUAUAUAACUUCCAAUAAACUAAAAGUAUUGUAUAGUGUUGAACUAUAUGAUAGAGAUUGCUUUACCUUUUCUUCUUCUUUUAAAAAUCUUUAAUGGGAAUCGUAUAAUCGAUUAAAUCAGUUUUCUAAAAUAAUAAAUAGACAAAAAAUUAAUUUGCAAAACAUUACGCCAAGACUCAAGGGUAAUUGCGUUAAAUCGAACCGCAAUCCAAAUUAAAUCGGUUAAAGAAUUGAUAUUUUAUGGUGUGAUUUUGAUUUUAUUUUUUAAAAACCAUAAAAAAAAAUUAUAUAUAAAUAUAUCAAUUAUUAUGUUAUUUUAUUAAAAAUUUUAAUUAACUUACCCUUUUUUUAAAAAAAUUGCUGCGUCUUUUUUCAAAUACUUCUUUAGUAUUUAGAAUUGACAACAUAUAAAUUGCACUCCCUCUAAUGAGAGAGGCAAUAGUGUUUUUUUUUUAAAAAAAAAAAUUGAAGAAACAAUUGUAAAUACAUGAAUAAUUAUAAAAAUUAAAAAAUUGAACAUUCACUAUUGAAGAAACAAUUGUAAAUACAUGAAUAAUUAUAAAAAUUAAAAAAUUGAACAUUCACUAUUGAAGUUCACUCAAUUUGACAUUUCGUAUUCAAAAUUAUUGUCACAUAAAUAAAUAUAAAGUAAUAUAAGAGGGAGUUUGCACUCAAUUGAUACAAUUUCAUUACCAAAAUAUGAUCAAAACAUACUUUAAUCACCGAUUCGUAAUACAACUUUAACAACAACAACAAUAAUUAACAACAUACUCAGUAUAGGUCAUCUCCACUGACUCUCACAAUUGAAAUUCAAAAAAAUAAAGAAUAUACGAGAAUCUUAACAAAAAAAAUAUAUAUCAUUCACACUAUUCAUGUUUGCACAAGUAGAAUGAAUCCACCCCCAAUGUUACACAUUUGAAGUAUUGUCUUGCAGUUUGAAUUCAUGAGUUGAAGAAAGAGGUGCACCAGGUGGUGGGGUGGGUACCCCAAAGACUUGGGGAUUGGUUUUGAUAUCUUGUCUACCUUUAGCUCUUCCAAAGAAAAAACAUCCAAAUCCAAUAAGAAUUGUGAAAAGUAUAAAUGGAAGAGAAAUAACAACCACCAUACCCAUAUCUCUUAUUAUCCUAAUUUCUUUGCUUUGCUAUGCUUUUAAUAAAUAAAUGGAGUAUGUAGAGAAUAUUGUUUUUUAUAGGUGGGAUUGUAACGUUAGGCAUAACGUUCUACUUUUCUAACGGCUACUUUUUUCUUUAGUUUUUUUUUAAAAAAAACAUGGAAUAUAUGUUUGAUUGGUGGGUCAAGGGUAGGGAUGGAAAUGAGGUGGCGCGGACGCGGGAUGGGGUGAGUUUAAGGUUGAGUGGGGUGGGAGGGACGCGGAGUGGUUUUUUUAAAAAAAAAUAAUGUAGGGCGGAAUGGGAUGGGUUGCAGGUUAGGGUAUGUGUGUUUUUACGUGAGUUCGUAUUUUAUUUUAACUCUGUACAUGUUAUUAUUGUGAUAGAGCAUUAUUUCUUAAGAUGAUUUCUUUAAAGCUAUAGUAAAUGAAAAUGGUUUAAUAAAAAAUAAUUCAAUCUUUUACAUGUUUCUAAUUGACCUCUAAAAAUAAAUUUCUAAGUCAUUGUCCUUUAAAUUAAUACAAUUUAAUUAAAAAAUGAAUUCAUUUUUAGUAUCAAACUUAACUAGAAAAAAAUAUUUAAAAAAUUAUGGGGGCCGCUCUAUGCGGUCAGGUUGGGACGGGUUGAAAACGAAAAAGAUUGUUAUGUGCGGUGAAGCGGGUUGAAAAUGAAAAAAUUAUUAGGUGGGGUGAGGCAUGGCGGGGUAGGUUGAAAAUGAAAAAAGUUGUUAUGUGGAUGAAGUAAAUAAAAAAAUUUGCGGGUUAAGCUAAACUGGUCCCGUAUAACCAUCCCUAGUUAAGGGUCUCAUUCAAUAGUCAUUUGAGAGGAUGUAUAGGAACAAUAUUAAAUAGAAUGUAUUAAUAAUACUCGUAUUAAUAUAUACAAAUUAUUUUUUAUUCAUUAUUUAGUUUUACAUAUUAAAAUAGACGACAUUUCAUAAUUUGUGACUGCUUGAGCAGACUAGUCUACGCUCAGAGCAAUAUUCUGAACUUGUCUCGAUACUGACAGUUCACGGGAUAGCACAGAAAGAAAGGAAAAGAAGUAAUUUCAAAGAAAUAUUUGUUUAAAACCUUUCACAACCAUUGCGAAAAAGAUGUAAAAAAUAUUUUGAGGGUCAAUUGACUUUUUAAUCAUGCUAAUGCAUUAAAUCCCUCUUGUAUUACUAAUAUAAUUUGUCUUUUACCAUUAUCCUGUAUUAGUUUUACGAAUUUCUAAAAUUCCUCAUUUUCACGCAUCAGAUUAAUAAAUCAGCGCUUUAAAUUAAUAUAUCUCACGCAUCAGAUUAGUGUAUCACGUAUAAAAUGUACAUUAGAUUAGUGUAUCAUCUAUAAAAUAUAAUAUAUCUUACUUAACGAUUAAUGUAUCUCGCACAUCAAAUUAAUAUAUCCGCGCUUAUAUUAUUGUAUGAGUUUGAGAAAUUUUUAUAAUUAUAAACUUAUAAGUGACAAAUUGUAAUUUUACCUUAAAAGUAUGUGAUUUUUGUCCUUUGUCCAAAAAAAUUUAUACCCGACAAAGUAUCGUUUAUACACAAAACUAAUGUAUACCUUAUUUCUUAUAAUUCAUUAUUUAUUCAUGUUAUGUUGAGGUUCAUUUGGCCAUAAAUAUAUAUUACUUUUUUCGAAAUUAAAUUUCAAAAAUCAUGUUUAGCUAUAAAAUUUCGAAAAAUAUCAUAAUUUGUAAUUAUGACUAAACACAACUUCCUGCAUCUUAAUUCUUUUCAAAUUUCAUGAGGCAGAAAUGUCUUGAAAAAAAAAAAGCAGUAUGUAUAUAUAAAGAAAUGAAACUUGAGAGUUUUGAACUGCACUAGCCAUUAUUAUUUGAAACAUUUUUUGAAUUUGGAACAGGCAAGCAGACCUUACUACUAGUAAAAUACUUGUUCAAUGUAGCUGCUUAUUUAAAAGGCGAAAAUUCAUACUAGAAACCAACUAAACAGACGAUCAUAAAAAAUAAAAAAAAAAAAAAAAAGUCAUAGAAAUUCUACUAUUCUUCGGAAUCAAUUUGCUUCAGGAGUCUCUUGUUCAGCUUUCUCUUGCUCAGCUUCCUGCACUUCCUUCUCUGUCUUCCUUCCUUUCUUCGAUUUAUAGUACACACUCAUGAACGUUCCGAUAGCUUUGUACUUCCUUCUGCAUUGCUCGUACAGACCGUUAUCAAACAUCCUCCAGAAAUUCUUCUCUGUCAGCUCAGUCACCGCGUAUUGAGCCUGAAAUCCAUGGUUCUCUAUCAACCAAAGCUCAAGUUGUCGGCAUUUCUCUGAACCAUCAAACGGCUCACCCCUCAGGACUGCUCCCGGAACAUAGUACACACCAACAUCAGUAUACAUUUGUGCAUAUUCGGUGUCACCCUGCCUUUUGUGUUUCUCGAAUCCUGGUUCAGGGUAGAUCAUUGGUCUCACUGGCAGCUUGUAAAUUCUGUGUGGGCACAGCCAAAUUGGAUAUACCUAAACAAAUACAAUUCGUAUGUACCAAAAUGUGCUUUAGUUAAAGGAAUUGCCAAAAACCAAAAAAACCGGACUAAAAGACGAACAAAUUUUUACCUCCAUCUCGCGAUGAACCCACUCGAGACAAUCACCGACCUUGUAAAGAGGAACAAGGAGAUCUUGAAUGACAUGAUGGUCAUGGUAAUAGUUUCUAAUAGCCUCACUUUGUGUGGCUUUGAGCAGAGCAAUCUUUGGUGGCAUGAGCCAUCCUAAGAGGAACCUAAACCAGAACUGAUCACCGAAUGGAAGAAUUAGUUUACCUUCCCAAUACAACGAUCUCGUGUGUCUGUGGUAGUAGUCCCUAGUUGGAAUGUACUCAACAAAUUCCCCUCUUUUUAGUGCGGUUUGAGCGUGUUGGUAAAACCAUGGUUUGAACCACCAACCGUAAUUGUUGAUUACAUUACCCCUUCGUUUGGCUUCAUUCCUCGAAGCAUACAUACCGGUCAUCAUAACCCCUUCGGUUGGACCAUAAAUCAUGCCUUCUACCAUCUCAGGAACUUUAGAAGGAUUGUCCUGAUCUCCAUCUUUAGGUGCAAAAGAAUCCGCGUAAGCCUGAGCAAGCUCUUUAAGAUUACCCCUUACAGGUUUGUAGGUAAGUUUCACGUAUUGAUCAACUGGUAUAAGCUUGAUUUCAGCUGAAACAAGAAGCCCCAAUGUUCCUUGAGACCACGGAAUAGCGUAGAAAAGAUCAGAAUAUUCGUUGUCCUUUGUAGCUCUAACAACCUUUCCAUCAGCUAGAACAACCUCAAGUGCUACAACAGUGUCAGAGAACAACCCAAAUAUGUGAGAACUUCCUUCAACCCCGAACCCAUUGAUCAAACCACCAACGGUAAGAUCAUCGAGCUCAGCGAGAACUGCAAGGGAAAGAUUCAUUGGGAUAGUGACCCUUGACAUUUGGCCCAUAUUGACUAGAGGCUCAACUUUAGCAACCAUCCGCUCCGUGUCAAUAUCAAGUAUAUUUCUAAACUUUGAAAGAUCAACUUCAAAAUGACGAGCACGUUUAUAGUCGACAUUUCUCAUUCCAACAACCACCCAAGGAGGUCUGGCUGUGCAUACAAGACCAUCCUUUUCUGCAUUCCUCUGGCCAAGACGCUUCACAACCUCUUUAACAUUCUCAUCGUGUUCCAUCUGGCGUUGCUUGUAAGAUUUCCUCUCGGAUUUCACAUCCCCUAGAUAUAUCGAGAAGUAAUACAAGAACGAGAAUGGAAGGACAAAAAAGAUGACAAUGAUCCAUCGGAACGAAAGAAGGAAGUCCACCAACUGGAUCUUCCUCUUAGGGUAAGCAGUGGCCACGGGGGCCUUAGCAUCCGACAUCUUGAAAACUUGAGGACAAACAACUGUUACAACGACGAAUCCAAGUUAAGAACCACAGCCAAGAAAUGUACUACUUAUCAUCAAUCACAUACCAAUUGAGCACUACUUAACAAACUUUAAGGCACAAAUAGCAUCAAUAUGAAACCUCUCCCAAAAACAUAAUGCUAUUGACAGUCAGAUUAACAACAACAGCAUCCCGCGAAAAACGCCAAGUUCAGUACAAUCUUGAAACUAAAAGUUGAAAUUUAUGCACCAUGGCCAUUUUCUUGUUACUAAUUAUCAUUGUAAAAUCAACUGAUGUAAAGGUAAAAUAGACUAAAUAUGGAGUUGAAUAUCUGAAUGGUCACUCAACUUAUACUAAUUAAUCGUUAAACAUCACUAAUCUAAGUUGUCUUCCAAAAAUCAUCUAAACUUUUUGACAAAUUUACCUCCAUAUUCACAAAAAAAAACAUAGAAAUAUUCAGAAAAAAAAAAAAACUCAAGAGAAAUAAUCCAUUCCGCUUUCUCAAUAAUUUAUUCAAAUUUAGGGAAGAACAGUAGUAAACGAAAACAGAGCAAGUUCAAACCUAACUUAUGUCAAAAAUAUCCAAGCUUUAAAUAUUUAUAAUUUGACUAUAUAUACAACAUAAUUUUUCAACUAAUAACAUUUUUCUUUGAUAUGCAAAACUAACAAAAUUACUAGUAUAUGCUUCUAUUGGAGCAUUACCAAAAAAUAAGAUUAUGCUCUUUCACUUCAAAAUUAUCAACUGAUUCCGCAACAAUAUAAUUUGUUCUUUACAGAAAAUUAUUUUCAACACAUUGGUUUAUAAAACUAACUUCAAAAAAAAAAAUUAAACCCAAAAACUUCAGCAUGCGUGAAACAUGACUCAUGAGCAACAAAAUAAUUUGUUCUACUCUAACUAUGUCAUGCAUUGUACAAAAAGAAAAGCAUAAUUAACUACCGAAUUCUUAACACUAAUUAUGAUUUUUCAUGCAUAAAUAGCUAUAAAAUUAGCUUAAAUUUAACAAAAUAAUAAUCAUAGUGAGAAAAAAUUGAGAAGAGAUGAAAAAUGAGUACCUAAUAAUUGGAUUGCAGAGUUUACUCCCCAAAAUGAGAGAUGGUUUAGUUAAAGAUGAUAGUGUGCUUUAUAGAGAACUUACAACAAUAGGGGUAUUUACGGAAAAACAUGUUAUUUGGUUGGUAGGCAGAGGACAUCGAUAAAAUCGUAAAAAGCUAAGUAUUAAAUACACUUUUAAAUUAUAUGUAAAAAUUAUUAAAAAUAAUAUUUUUACUUUAUUAAUUAUAAUUUAAAUAGUACAUCUUGAAUCUUAUAACAUAAUUUAAAAACUUGCUAAAUUUAUGAAUAUUUUCAAUAUUUCUCCGUCUUAUAUGAAUUAUAUAUAUUUAAAUGAUGAAAUGAAUAUAAAAAAAUCCAAAAUCAUUUUGUAAGUGUGAUUUAUAUCUUUAGCCCACCAUUUAGCCUACCAAUCAAACGCCCCCACUACUUAACUAAAAUUGUUAGAAAGAGUACAAAAGUAUCACUUUUGAAGAGUCGUUAAUUAUUCUUUAUAUAUCGUUAAAUGGCAUUAUACUAAUAAUAAUCAUUUGAAAUUUACAUGAUUAUUAAAGUGAGGUACUAUUUAGAUUUUAUUUUUGAAGAAAAGUAUGACAAAGAAUUAGUUUUAAUAAUUUUGAUAUAACAAAGAAGCAAUAUUUUUGUUAAUUAAACUAAACACUAAAGAAGCAAUCCUAUAUAUAAUUGACGAAUAUUAUUUAAAUAUUAUUUUUUUAGAUACUCAUAUUUAAAACACUUAGUAUUAUUUAUUUUACUUAUAUAUAAUAUAUUUUUCAUAAAAUAUUAUUCACUAUAGUUUUAUAUGUGUAGUAUAAAGAGAUAAUUUUACGGAUGAUUUAACAUUAUAACGGGUAUUAUUAUUCUUAUAAGUAACAUAUUAUUACAGAAACAAUUAAAAUAAACAUGAAAAAAUGGUUUUGCAUCAAUUAGGAUCAAAUCGUGAUGAUAAAAUACUGUUACCAUAAUAAUUACUCAUUAAGUGAGGUUUAGUUUUAAAAUAUUCAAAAUAAUUAUAGAUGCUACUUAAUAUUAAAAAGAUAUUUUUAUCUUAAUAAGUUAAAUUAGAAAACUAAAUAUAAAACUUCAUUUUUAAUAUAUUGGAAAAUAAAAAAUAGGGAAAAAGACAAAGUAACUUAUCGUCCGCUGACAACCACGUGACCCCUUUGGCCCGCUUUCCAAGUGCAUUAUUUUGGUGAAACAAUAAAUGAUUUGUCUGCCACAAAAAAUUAUAUAAUAGUAUCUUUCCGAAAGUUAAUUUGGACAAUUUUUAAAAUUAGAAUACAUUAAUUUUAUAUUUUAAAUAAAAAAUUAAAAAUUUAAAAAAUUAUAUAAUUAGUGUUAUACAUUAUGAUUUUAUUUCAUAUUGAUAUGAUAAAUAAUUUAUCAUAAAAUAAUUUUUAUAAUUUGCAUUUUAGAAAAAAUAACUAUAAGAAUUAUGAGUAAUCAGAUAGGAUAUCGUAAACGUAGAAUCUAUUGAGUGCAAAUGAUGAGCUGAGAGAAAUUAAAAUACGUUAUGUGAUUAUUUUGUCAUUGUUUUAUAUGAAAUAAUUUAUUUAUAUAAAAAGAAAUUAACUUUGAACCAAUACUAAUUAUUAUCACGCUUUAUAAGAUUAAAAAGUUAUUUUGUAAAUUAUUUUAAAAUUAGAUUCUUAUCCCAGAUCGAAUCUACCGUGCAAGUUAGAUUUUGGAGUUUUGUUUUACAAUUGGUUGAGAGGCAUUUUCGAGUUAUUAUUUUAAAAGAAAAAUCUUAUUAGAAUGUCUUACUCCUUCUCCAUUAAUAAAUAUAUAUAAAUAAUAAUAUCGUAUAUUUACUGAAUAAUUUUUCUCCGUUCUUGUUAAGAUUUAUAAAGUAAAAGACGUAUUAUUAUAUUUCAAACCAUUAUGAAUAACAUAAACUUUUCAUAAAAUUCACUUUGAUUAAAAUUUCAUAAAAUUUUUACACGUGUUCAUUAUUUAAUGCUCAAGAUUCCUUUUGUUAAUCAGAUGAAACUGCUAACGAUCUGGAGGCAUAUUAGGUAAAAUAAUUUAUGAAUUAAAAUUUAAUUUAAUAAAUAUAUUAUUUGAUUAUUUAAUUUAAUUUAAUUUAUGUAUUGUUUAUUCAUCAUAUGUGAUAUUAUCUUAUCCCUUGAAAAUGUAGGGAUAACUAAUUUAAGAUUUGUUAAAUCUUGGAUAAAAUUUUUAAAUGACUAAAUUAACCCUUUAUUCUUUUUUAAAAAAUUCUUUUGUAAUUUAAUUUCCUUUUUAUUUAUAUUAGAGUAGUUAUAAAUGUUCUUUUCUAAUUCUCCAAAUUUAUUUGGUGUAAUUUAAUGAUUUUACUAAUAUUUUUUUCUUCAUUUCUUUUUGAUUUUUUUUUAUUCAAGAUAAUUUGUCAAGAUAAGUUAAAUAAAUAUUUAACUUAACUAAUUAAAUGAAAUAAAUAAUUCUUUAAAAAAAUUAUCCGGUCCGGUAAUUAUCUACCUAGAAUUAGUUACAUGAAAUAAAAACUCAUAAUAACACAAGGGCAUAAUAGGAAAGAAUUUCUUUGUAGAAUUAUAAAUUAAACACAAAAUUAUUAAACACAAAAUUAAGUGGAAAGUAGUGAACCAAACACUUGACAAAAAAUAAUUCAUGCACUAUUAAUCCCUGCAUUACUAAUUCAUGCAUUAAUAAUCCAUGCAUUAUUAAUGUUUGUAUCAAACGACUCCUAUUAAAAAUUUUAAUUUUAUUUUAUUUUAAAAUAAAUUAAUAUUUUUUAUUUUUAAUUAAAAAAUAUUAAAAUUCUAAAUGAAAAUAUUUAAAAAUAUAAAAUAAUAUAAAAAAAUAAUCAUUUUGAUCAAAGAAAUUUCCAAUAAAAUAUAAUACUACUGGAAAACUUGGGUAAAUAAAAAGAAUCUUGAAAAUUCAAUAGUUAAAUAUGAUCUGCAACGUGUAUAUAGAUUAAAGUGAUGUCAGAAAAUAUAAAUUAUAGACAGUGAGAGAGUGACCAUUUGUUAAAAUUAGAGUUUUUAAUUAAUUAUUAUGAAUACAUAGAGUAAUGAGAUGUCGUUUUUCAUCUUUCCAAAUUUUCAACGAUAGUUGUUUAUUUAUCUUUUUAAAUUUCAUUAUUAUUAAUCAUAUUUUUUAUUUAUAAUUGUAAAAUAUGUAAAAUCAAUAUUGAAUAAAGUGUUAUCGAACACAUAGACUAACAUUAUUAUGAAACCCUAUGUUAAAAAUAUUGUUGAUUCGAAGAUAGUAAUUGAAUAUGUGAAAUUCAAAAAUCAAAAUUAUAUUCUAUUGAAGCACCAAUCGACAGAAUUGCUAACUACAUCAAUAAUCCCUACUUUUUGUUUUAACUUCUUCGGCUAAUUUUUUAAAAAAACUAUUAUUAUUAUUUUUUUAAAAUAUAAAAUUAUCAAUUUUUGUGUUUUAUUUUAGGUGAUAUUAUUUGACUUGAUAUGAUAUUUAAAAAAAUAAAAUUAAACUUAUGAUCCUAAACAAUUUUAAAAUAUUUAUAUGAAAAAAAAUUCAACUAUUUACUUGAACUUUGGAAAUAUCAAUUGUUUUAAAUUAUGAAAAAAGUGUCGACGAUUUUAUCAGAUCCGUUUAGCUAUUUGAAUCAAAAUCAUUAUAAAGAAGUUUUCUUUGAAUUAAAAUUUUGUUUGGACACGUAAUUUGAAUGAUUAACUUUUACUUUUAAUUAUGUAUAUAAAAAUUUAGUAAGUUGCAAAAAAAAUUAGAUUGCCUUGAUUAUAUAUAUAAUUUUAUCAAAUAAGCAAAAGUUCAUAACAAAAGUAAAAUUAUUUUCUUGUUUCGAAAAAAAAACUAAAUUUAUGAAUAAUUUUUUGUUCAAAAAAAAAUCAAACAUAAGUUGUAACGUAUUACUCUCUAAUAGAAGUCAAUUAUUGAAUAAUAUUAUUAGCAACUAUAUCAUCAUAUUUAUAUUAGGUGAAACAUUUCAUUACUCUUCUGGUAUUCUCCAAAAAAAUUGUAUACAUAUAAUUAUUAUUUUUUUAUAUAAAAUAUAGACUUGUAAAAGAUUUGUUUUUUAAUUUGAAAAUGUUAAAAUAAGAUAUGAAAUUUUCAAAUUAAGCUUUUUUGAAAAGUUUAGAAUUUAUUCUCUUUAUUUGAAAUGAUAUUAUAUAUUCAAACAUUGAUUCAUCUCAUAAUUUUAAAUUACCAAAAAAAGAAUUACAUAUCAACCGCAUAUUUAAUACUUUUCCGUUUAUUUUAAUUUAUCGUAUUGCUUUUUGAAAGUUAAUUUAACUAAUUUUUAAAGUUAAAUUAGAUUAUAUUAUUUCAAUAUUUCAAAAGAAAAAAUGAAUAUUCAAAAAUUAUAAAAAAAUAAUAUUAUAAGUUGAAAUUUAUUAAAUAUCAAAAUGCUGGAAUAAUAUUAAAAAUUUCUAAAAUUUAACACUAAAAUAGAAAAUUAUAACAAUUAAAAAUGAACAGAAAUAAUAUAAACUAGAGUUUUUUUUUUUUAAAAAAAAUAAGCAUCUAAAAUCAAUUACAGAUAAAUAAAAAUAUUUAGCUCACCAAAUAAAUCUCGACCAUUAAAAUAAUUGCAGAGACACGUGCAUAUUGUGACUGCACCACACAGAGUGUGGAGGAGCCAAAUCCGGACUAUUCCUUCUCUUCUACUAUUUUUGGUUAUGAUUCCAUCUGAGAAUCACGUGCUUUUUGGUAGAAUAUUCGUGCUUCAUUUCAAUAUUUCGCUUGUUAUAAAUUAUUUAUAAAUAAUUAAAAUUAAAAAAAUAAAAUAUAUAUAUAUUUUUUAGAUUUAUAUUGUUAGGAGUUAAAUUAUAUAUAUUUAGAAUUUAUGUAAUCAAGAAUUGAAUUAUACAAAUUUUAAAUUAAUACAUUUAAAAAAUUAAUAGUAAAAUUUCGUAAAACCAUUAACACGAACUAAAAAUAAUCAAAUUAUAAUUAUAUUACAUAACAUACAUUAUAUAUUUGUCAUUUUGUGUAAUUUUCUCAUAAAAGUGAUAAAAUCUGUAAUAUAAUAGUGAAGUCACAUAUAUCUAACUAAUAGAGUUCGAAAUAUUUUUAAGUCAUAAAGAGAAAAAAUUGACACAUGUAAGCGAGCCACACUUUUAUUAUGUAGCUAAAAUAAGAUUAGCGUAGUUAUUUCUUUCACUUUAUCAAAAAAUAUAAAUGACAAGCAUUAGUUGUAACAACCUUCUUAUUGGCAAAACAACAAAAAAGAACUGGGCCAUCAUCCCGUCAGAGCAGGCCAGCUGCACUAGGGCGUCAGCGCUCCACCAGGAUAAUUCGCACCGGAGCGUCUCCUUUUUUCUAAAAACACCUAAAAAGGCGAUGAUCGCCCCUAAAACCCCCCCAAAAGGAUGUUCUAGGCUUAGAAAGAGAGAAGAAAGAGAUUUCUAGCGUAAGAAUGUCGAUAGCUUGCGAAUUUUCGAUCGAAUCCACCGUCUGGUCGUCCGAAAGUCGGAUUGAGGCUAAAAUCUCUUUACGAUUGCUUGGCGUUUAGAUAGGUUAGGUUUAUUUAUUUGAGUAGUCUUAAAUCUGUUUUCACUACGUAGUAUAUGAAUAAUUGACGGUAGAAUUCAUGUGUAGGCCAUCGUGUACCGAAAAAAAUCGUCGUGCUUGUAUACCUAGUUGUUACACUAGUAUAUACCGUCAGAGGAAGCCUCAUCGUGUGAACUAAGGUUGGGUGAAGGUUUAAUUCUUGUUUGUGUGAUGAAAACCUGUGAAAUUAGGUCUUACGCCUAACUCACACCCCAAAAGCUAGCUCAAAGAGAGGACGAUUGCCCAAGUCUUAUAAGGAGUCCACUCAUCUCAUUAACCACCGAUGUGGACUUUUGUCAUUCUUUAACACCCCACCUCAUGCCAAGUGCUUAGCAUCUGGUGCGUGGGCAAUUUUGAUUUUGGGGGCCUCAACAUCGGGUGAGAUGACCCCUGCUCUGAUACCAUGUGAAAUUAGGUCUUAGACCUAACUCACACCCCAAAAGCUAGUUCAAAUGGAGAAGAAUUGCCCAAGCCUUAUAAGAAGUCUACCCAUCUCAUUAACCACUGAUAUGAAACUUUUGUCAUUCUUUAACAAAACCUGUUAAUGGUUUCGCUAUAUGCAUGUAUGCAUGAGAGCACCGUUGCAUUGUCAUAUUUAUUUGCUAUUGAGAAUGUGGAACUGUAUAUGGCUUUUGAAGUGAUAAUUGAAUUAUACAUUUUGUAUACAUUUUUUUAUCAUGUCGUGUUUACUUGUUAUAGAUCUCGUUAAUGAAUGAACUAAAAUGAUCAAACCCAAAUCGGGAGGUAGUGUGGUAAUAAAAAUCGAGGGUCCAGGUGUUACUAUGUGCUAUUUUACAGAAGUCGGUGGUGCAUAUCGUAAAUGUUGAGUAGCUGGGUAUUACCGGGGAUUUGUAUUGAAACGGUUAACAAGUCUUGGUAGAAUGUACUAUGGGGUAAAGGAUUGAGUAGUGAUGUGGAAAAAUUAGAGUAUGUCGUGAGUGGUUGACCGAGUUGGUAAUAGCUACAUAUGAAACCUCCUCUAAGUGAUUGAACAUUUAAACUAUGAUUAAGAAUGGAGCGGGUAAGGGGUUAUAGGCAGAUCUUAAAGCAUUCGGAAAAUGGUAAGGGGUAAGAGAACAUAAAUAUGGAAAUACAACUGGUCUUUUUGCAUGUUUCUUGCUAGUUGUUUUCUUAUAUUAUGCGGUGAGUAUCGGGUUAACUGAUGAUGUUUACUAGUAUGUGUGGUUGUAUUGAUACUGCUCUUGCUAUGCCUUUUGUCAUUGUUCGGUUACAGAGUCAGUGAUAUUUUGUAGGUGAGGACGAACAAUCUCCAACAACUUCUAUUUUUCCUUCUGUGUGGUGGAAACUACGUCAUUUAUUAUUAUGUUGUACCGCGUAAUCUUAUAAGCUCUUUUUACUUGUUUAGACUAGAUCUUUGGAAAAGUUAAUUACUUUACAAAUUAACUUUGAGUCGUUUAAAGGCUGGCUCGUUUAAAACAUUAUUUUAUAAACAUCACAUCAUGAAUUUCUUUUAUUCAUGAGUUUUUCUGAGUUUUCGGUAUUUUCAAAACGUUUGGUAAUCGAAGGUUCUCCUACUUAGGUGUUAGAGUAGGUGCCAGCAUGACCCGAUAAAUUGAAUCGUAACCUCUGUUAACGUUAAAAUUUUGACAUAAAAUUAAAAAAAAAAAACUACUUUUUAUAAAACAAAACUUUUUCUUAAACUUUGAAGUAGAAAUUUCUGUCACACUCUUACAUUUUCCAUAUGUACCUUUCAUCAAUGAGAUCCUUACUAUAUAUUUUCUAAUAGAACAACAAAAUGAAAAAUAUAUAAUAGUUAAAAAUGUCAUUUAAUUUAUAUUUUUAAAUAGUUAUUUUCAACUUCUAACUAUUCGCUUAAUAUAAAUCAAACUCGAUACUAUUAUAAACAAUACAUAUCAUUCAUUAUCUUUUUAAGGGCAUGCAAAGUCCGAAACCAAUAAUUUAAGAUGCAGGCAUAUUAGUAAGAAACUAAUUAUUUUAAAAAUAUUUACACGUACUCCAGCAAAAUAUUAUUGGGAUCAGAAAACUGAAAAGUGUUAGAAAAUAAAUUUAAGAGGCAUAGUAUCUGGAUGAAAUUAUACAUAUAUUAAUAUGAGUUUUAAUAAUAUAGGUAAAAGUUAUAUAUAUAUUAAUUAUAUGCAAAAUUUAUUUAUAUCCGUAUAAAUUAAAUAGGCAUUCAUUGUGCAGAAUUCAACUAUAUACUAUUUAGUAAUUAGUAUACAUGUAUAAAUUAUGCAAACUUUAGUUAGAUAAAGUUUAUAAACAUUAGUGAACUACCGUAAUUUUUAUUUGUUAAUUUUUUUUGGGAAAAUAUCUAAGUACCCCCUUAAUAUAUGCCCGAAAUUUUAGAGACACACUUAUACUAUACUAAGGUCCUAUUACCUUCCCUGAACUUAUUUUAUAUGUAAUUUUCUACCCCUUUUUAGCCUACGUGGCACUAGUUGGGAAAAAAAAUCAACCAUCGUUGGGCCCACAAGAUAGUGCCACGUAAGCUUAAAAGGGGUAAAAAAUUAUUAAUAAAAUAAGUUCAGGGUAAUAGGAUCCCAGUAUAGUAUAAGUGUGUUUCUGAGAUUUCGGGUAUAGGUUGAGGGAUACUUGGGCAUUAUCCCAUUUUUCUUUAAAAAAAAAUAGCUAAUACUUAUCAUCACCAUUAAAGAAACCAACUAUAUAAUCAUUACAUUAAAAUUAGAUAAAUAUCAAUAGCUAAAAAAGUAAUAAAUAACUAAUAGUAAUUAAGUAAUUCAUAUUCAAUGUGAUUAAACAAUUAAGCAAUAGGUAAUUAAAUUAAAAUAAAUAACAAAUUACUAAAAAAAAUUGUAUUGACAAUGUGUUUUAGAGAAACUAAACAAAGAAAUCAACUAAAAUUGACCGUCACUACCUUUUACCACGAAAGAAAACAAUUAACAAGAAUUUCAGUAAAAGAAACUAACAGUAAUUAAGCAAUUACCUAGAUAAAAAUCUCCAAGAAAAAUACCGUUAUAACAAUUAAGCAAUAUGUAAUUAAUAUCUACAUAAUUUAUUUUACUUGCUAUCUCGUAUAAAUUAUAAGUAAAUUUCCUUUUAAGUUAUACAAAUAUUAAUUAUGUAAAAUUAUAAUGAAUACUACCAAACAACGUAUUAAUAUCCGUAUAACUUUUAUAAAACAUUUCAAAAUUUAUCAACCAAACACCAUAAAGUCAAUGCACGAAUAAAUUUUAUUUUAUUUGCAAACCAAACAUAAUAUAUAAUUAAUACACGAAUAACCAAAAUUUUAAUUUAUCUCCUCUACUAAGUUAUUCUAUUUUCCUUUUCAUUUUUAUUGAAUAUUUUUUUAGAAGAAAUAUUUAGAAAACAAGUUGAACUGUUGGAACAAAAAAAAUCAUACCCAACUAACCUUAGUCCUUGAGGGUGAAAUAAAAUAUAUAUUUGGAGAGUAAAAUAGAAAAUGUGUUCUCUAAUUACAUUUUAUCUACAAAUACAGAGCGGUGACCUUUCUAUUUUAUUUUUUAAUUAUUUUAAUAAUAUUUUUAUUAUAUUACUAUUUAUUAAGUCUUUUAUCAUUUAUAUUUAUUUUCUAAUGUGAUACAAUAUCUAAAAAUAUAUUAUUAACAAGUUACUAUUUCCACUCAAAUUAAUAAUUUUUCUAUUUUAUCUUUAAAAAAAGAAAUUAUUGCUUCAAAUAUGUAAUUUUAAAGUCAUUUUAAUAUUAUUAUAUUAUAUAAGAUUAUUAAUUAAGUCUCUAAUAUUUUAAAUUAUUUUCUAAUUAAUAUAAUAUCUAGAACAUAUUAUUGAUUAGUAUACUAUUUUCAUUCUGAAAUUAACAAUUUAUUUUUAUUUUUUCAUUUUAAAUAAGUAAUUUAAAUUAUAAUUAUUUUCAUUAUGAAGUAUGCACAAAAUUUACCUGAUAAUUUAAACAUUCUACUUUUAUGUUAUUGUUAUAAGUUAUUAAGCUACAUUUUUUCAAAGAGUAUGAAAAUAUUUGAUGCAAUGAGUCAAAAUGGAAUAGAAAAAGUUAAUUAAUACACGAAAUAAUUGGUAUAAGACAAAAUUAUUAAUUUAAACAAUUUUAGAUACACAUAAAAAAAUAAGGACAAAAAACACUUAUUUUGAACUCCGUAAUACAUUAAUUGAACAUUCAUAAGAGUAUGUUAUAAGAUUCAAUAUGUAAUUUUAUUUCAUCAAUGAUUUCACUUUUAUUUGAAUUGUUCACUAAUAUGUAUUAUAUAUACUAUUUAUUGCAAUUUAUGUCAUUUAGAAUUUUUAAAAAAUUAUAUCUUAAUUAUAAUUUCAUAAAAUAAGAUAAAAUAAUUUUAAAUAAAAUAAUAUAAAUAUAAAAAAAAGUUCAAAUUUAAUUGUAAUACAUUUAUUCUUAUUUCACCUAACAAUUGAAUAAACUGUACCGCUAUUAAAGGAUAUUGCAUUCGGACAAAAUUACUUAUUCCUUAAUUAAAUAUUUUAAGUUCAUACUCCAAGUAUUAAAAAAUCUUUAAUAAAAAACAUUUCCUAUAAAAUGAGGCCAAUUUUCUGCAAUGUAAAUUUAAAAUAGUUAGGUAUAUUAAAUUAUUUUAUAAACAAUAGUUAAUGAUUCUGCGACGUAAAUCUAAAAUAGUUUGGCAUGCUAAAUUUUUUAUAAACGUGGCUAGUGGUGUGCUAAGCCAUUUCAUUUUAUUUCAUUUGAAUGGUUGAAAUUAUUUGCAUAUUUUUCAUGAGUGGUAGAGAGCACAAGUAUGGAAUUGACAGGCUUUGAAUUGCUGAGAUCUAGACAUGGAGAAUUGGACCUACUAUAUAUUAUGCAAUUAUAUACUAAUCUUUAGAGACACGUUGUAAAAACAUAGGUGUGCUAAAGAUGUACGUUGGUCGAAAAAUUAUAUUAUCGUUAUUAUAACUUACAUUGAUAGAGAAUAAUUUGGACAUAGAUUUUUAUGAUCAGACCAAAUUGUUAAGUUUUCAUAUUGGGUGAAAUGCGAAACUUAUUUCUCUUUAAAUGAUUUCGUACACUCAAACAUCACCUUAAUAGUUUAGAUUUUUCGGAUUAAAUAAUGUUUAAGAUUUGUAUUCCUUCAUCAUGUUUUAAGAGUUUGAGUUUAUUUUUAUUCUUAUUAUUUAUUUUAUAUUGGUCUUUUUCUUUUUUAUAUUUUUAGGUUGUUGAGCGUUCAUAUUGAUUGAGAUGUCAAAACUUUGAUAUUUUAAAUAAUCUUUAACAAUUUUCACCUCAUAAUUACAUCAUCAGGUCGAAUUAGAUGUAAGAUUCAUUUCGUAGCACUAUUUUCAUGUGAAAAAAACUAUAGAAUUUUGCAGAUAUCAUUUUUGCUCAAUUUCAACGACUAAAAGUACUAAAUUACCCUCAACAUCAACUUUUUAUAGUCUCCCCACAAAAAAAUUGAGGGUAUUAUAGUCAAUCCUCCUUCUCUCACUAUAGUUUUUAAGUGAAAUCUCAAAACUGUCCCUACAUUCAGUGGCAAGUCAAUUCGAAGUAUCCUCAACUCUCAGCCCUAAUUUGGGGAUUUCAUUCCAUUAAAUCAUUAUCUGCUCAAUGCCAGAGUACCAGAGAUACUAUAUUAUAUUCUAUAUACAUAAAAUUUUGGUAAAUCGUGGUGAAUAGUCAUUAUCUAGACAAUGAUUUUUUGUUGUUUCUGUAAUCCUUGAUUAUUUUUUUUCAGUGUAAUUAGUGUCUUAAUCGUAGUAUUAUACUUUAAUAGGGUGAUUUUAACUUCUCUUCAUCGCAAUUUAUAUAAUGUAAUUUGAUUUGAUAUUAAUUUAAUGAUACACUUGUGUAUAAAAAAAACUUUAUAAUAUUCUAAAAUUACCUUUCAAAUAAAAUAAGAAAAAAUUGUAUAUAAUAGCAAACUAAUAACCUAAAAUAAAUGAAGUAGAUAGGGUUUGAUUUAAUUGUGUUCCAUAGCAAAAUGUUUGCAAAAAAUUGCAGGCGCCUCUCUCCCAAAUAUCUCGCUCGCUCGCUUCCUCACUUUUUAUACAAACACAAGUGUAUAAAAAUUGUUUCUAAUUGUAUAAAGUAGAGAAAAUUGUAUAAAUAUAUAUAUUUUUGUUCCGCUCUCUCCUCUCUUUCAGAUCUCGCUCGCCGCUCUCCCAAAAUCUCGCUCGCCACGCUCGCCUUUCUCUCUUAUACAAAUAGAAGCGAAAUGUAUAUAUUGCGUUUCUGUUUGUAUAAAGCGUGAGAAAAUUGUAUAUACACAUGCAAGUACAUAUAUUUUCGUCCUAUACACUUAUAAUUAUACAAUAAAAAUACUCUCCUGUCCAACUUCUUUUACCUUUCUCUCUUUCUCGUUUUAUACAAUUUUCAAAUUAUAUCUAAUUUCUCUCUUUCUCGUUUUAUACAAUUCGAUUCAAUUGUAUAUUCCUUGUCAAGUCUCUUUUGUCUUUCUCUCUUUCUCAUUUUAUACAAAUUCAAAUUGUAUAUAAUCGUUCUAUACACUUAUAAUAAUAUAAUUCGUUUUAUACACUUCGUUUUUAUACAGUUCUCUGCCCAAGUGUCUUUCUCUUUCUUGUUUUAUACAUUUCGUUUUAUAUAAUUUGCUUCAAGUGUAUAUGUAUAGCGAAUUAUAUAGCUUCUAUGUUUGCUAUGGAGCAAUUAUGCAAACUUUGCUAUAACAUACAAAUAUAAAUUUUUUGUUUGUUAUAUAUGAAUAUUGCCCAUAAAAUAAAGUAAAAAAUUACACCUAAGUAGAUUUUUGUGUGUAUAUAUAUAUAUAUAUAUAUAUAUAUAUAUAUAUAUAUAUAUAUAUAUAUAAACUAUAAAAAAAAUAUGUCAUAAAAAUUAAGACAAAAAAAAUGAUCGCUUCGUAUAACUGUGAUUUGUAAUUAUGUGAACUGCUUAAUACUACUCCCUUUGAACUAAAUAUCAGUCAAUACUUUUAAAAAAAAUAUAUUUUAAUAAAUAGGUGUAAAGUUAGCAAUUAUACUAUAUUAUUAUUAUUAUUAUUAUUAUUAUUACUAAUUUUUUAAUAAGUGUGAAAAAGUGAAAGUAAUAGUUAAAAUUAUAUAAAGGCGUAUCAUUUAUUUAUAUAAUGUGAGAAUCCAUUCAAUAUAUCAAAAAAAUUUUGUUCACUUGUAUUGUGAUUGUAUGAAUGCUUGAAUUAUUCAAUAUUCCUUCUUAUUUCUCAUCAAAUAAAUGAUAUCUUCUUCUGAAAAUUCUAUCGUCUCAACUUAUUUCCUUCUUUUUGAUACUUUCUUUUCCGAUGAAAAAACUUACUAAGAUUUUAAAAAUUAUUUUAAAAAGAUUUGACUAAAAAAAUUAAUCCUUUUACAUUUAGCGAGUCAUUUUCUUUUAUAAUAUGCUUUAAACCUUUCCAUUUUUUUCUUAGGUAAUUCAAAUUAUAAUCUCAAUACCUUAAACUUGAAAUCAUAAUUUCCUUUAAUAUCCGAACAAAUCCUUUAAUUCGUUGACUAAUUUGUGAGAAAAUAAAAGAUGUAUUUUUUUAAAAUAAAAAUAAAAAUUGUAGAUCUGUUUUUGGUUUAAGUGAGGUGAAUAUAAUGUUAGUUUGACAAAUAAAAGGACAAAAUAUAACAUAUAGCCUGCUGGCAACCACGUGAGACUUUGAAUUAUUUUUAUGAAGCGAUAAAUGACUUUGUCUCUCAUAAAAUAAAAUCAUUAGAAUAUCUUUAGAAUUUAUUUAUUAAAUUGUAAAGGACCUAAUUAAUUGUACAAUUUAUUAUGUUUUGGAGAUUCCGUUUGAAAUCUUGUUUGCGUCACAAGUUGUUGAACAAAUAAUGUGGUACUCCUUCUGUUCUGUACAUUAUACUUUUUUUUAAAAUUAUAAAUAAAAAGAUCAUUUUGUUAUAUUAUUCUUUUAAAAAUAAUAUCUUAAAAAAUAUAAAAGAGAAAUGACUAUAAUUAAUGAUGAGGAUAAAUUAGAAAUUAAGUACAUAAAGUGGAUAGAUAUUGUUAUAAAAUAAUAUAGUGGAAAACUAUCAUUGAACGAAGGAAGCGUUAAAAAUAAUUGUUUAAUAAUACUCCAUGUUUCUUAUUUUCAUGUCGCUUUUACUAUAAAUGGAUAUUUUUAAAUAUUUAUUAUUUCAUAAAUUCAAUACAUAAAUAACAUUAUCCUUCUUAUUUUUUUAUCGUUGAAAGCAUGAAUUUGAUCCGUAUAAUAAAACUAAAUGGAUAAUUUAUGUUAAUUGAUAAGUUUAAUUGUCAAAAUAAAAUAUUUAUGUUUAUUUAGUCAAGAUAAUAUUGAAUAUGGAACUUACUUAUUUUCGGAAGGUACAUGAAAUUUAAAGGUUUAGAAAAUCACAAGACGUCUUUUUCACCCUUAUUAUUAAUACUAUUUAACAUCUAAUACAUCUUUUGAAAUAAUAAGUUUAAUGUAUUCAAAGGAUAAUGUGUUAAUAUUAUUCCUACUAAUUAUUAGGUUUUACGCUAUAUGUCAAAUCAAUCAUGAAUAACUAUUGUUAAAUAGAGAGAAUAGUAUUAAAAGAUGCUUUGACAUAAUAAGAGAUUUCAAAUAUUCUUAAGUAGGUGUAGAGUACCGUAUAUCAUAGCAUUUAAAAUUUUGGUACGUAUUAUAUCAUUAUCAUAAUAGUAAUUAGUCAGAUUUCGACUUACCUAUAUAUAUGCAACUCCAUAAUGAUUGAAAUAAUACUCAAAUAGCUUGUUACAUUUUCCAAAUAGUAGUAAAUAUGGCUUAUGAAUCACUUUGCAAAAGUAACAAUAUAUAUAUAUAUAUAUAUAUAUAUAUAUAUAUUAUUAUUAUAAAACUUUGAUAUGGUGUAUGAUCUUUCAAUAUUUAUAAUACAAAUAUCAAAAUCAAAAUAAUCUAAAAUGCAUAGCAAAUACCAUAUUAAAUAUCAUAUAUUCACAUUAUACAAUAGAAAAUUUUGAUUUUGAUAUAAGUACUCCUUCAUCGUCUACGUGUUAUUUGUGGACUUUUUCUUUACAAAAUACUUAAGAAAUGAUAAAUAAAAAAGCUAUUUUUAUUAAUUUAUCCAUUAACAUUUUAAAUACAUUUUUUUAAUGUGUUUUAUCAUAGAUGAAAAAAUAACUAUUGGAAAACUCUUUUUUUUUUAAGUAUCUUUACCAUAUUUCUAUAAUAUUAAAAAUAAUUAAUUGUUAGAGCAAAAUGCAAAUAAUACAAAUCAUUAAUUUUGUAAAUUAUCAAAGAAUUAGAGACGGAUGUUUUUUUAAUAAUGCAAACAAGUAUUCCCCCAUUUCACAAAUAGUUAUCAUAUUUAGUUUUUUGUUUCGAAAACUAAUUUUCAAAGUUAAUUUGUUUAGAUUAAUUUAAUAUUUUAAAAAUAAAAUUUAGAUAUUUAAAAAAAUCUAAAAAAAUUAGAAUUUUAAUUUUUUUAAUCAAUAUUUUUAAAUGAAUAUGUCUUAAAAUAUUGAUUUCAAUUUAUAUUAUUCUAACUAAAAAUUGUGAUAAAAUAAAAAUGAAUGGAGAAAAUAUACAACAUGGAGGAAGUAAUAAUUUGAACUUCUCUAGCGAUCCUUUUGACCAAAUUAAGAUCAUUUAAGUCUCUUUGUUGUCUUCAUUCUUCAUUUAUGGUUUUGAUUACAAAAUUAAAUCGAAUUAUGUUUUGAAUUAAAUUGAUAUUUGAUUAAUUUAAUUUGGUUAAAUUUUAAAAAUCGAUAUUAUUUAGUAUGAUUUUAAUAAAAAACAAUUGCAAAAAUAAUUGAACUGAACAAAUAAACUAGAUGUAUAAAUUUUAUGAUCAUUUAUAUAUUAUUCAUAAAUAAAAAAAUAUUUUUGUUAAAUUUUAAUUAAUUUAAAUCUUUAACUUUAACAAUUUUCAAGCCCAAUACUUUAGCCCAACUAUAACAAUCUUACGUCCAAGUCCAUCAAAAUCAUAUUUAAUCUUUACCUACCCAACUUCAUAUAAAAUAGUCAUAUUUUUUCUUAAUUGAAUCACUUUUAUCGUGUAAUAAUAACUCUAGUAUUGCUUAAUUGCUUAACUGAAUCGUCAAUAGCUUUUCUAUGGAUUGUUCAUUACUAGGUGUAAGUGUCUAUCGAGAUUCGUACAUUCUCAAAAAAAAUUAUAUUCAAGCUAAAUAAAUCAUAAAAGUUGAACAAAACCAAUAAUUCUUUCUUUCCGUUUGGUUUAAUUUAAUUUUAGAAAUAUAUUUAAACCAACUAGAUCAAUAAUCGAUCCAAGCCAAAUCACGAGCACCCUUACAGGGAUAUUACUUAUAGAUCUAUCAUCUAUAUAUAAAAAACAUGUUAAGUCCUUUUCCUUUGGGAAAUAGUUCAAUACAAAAUCUUUUAGUUAUAUAGUAUUGUGUUGAGUUUUAUUUCUUAAUGAUUUUUUUUGGUUAAUAUUUGUGCUUUUAAUUUAGGGGAAAAGGACGAAUAUAUCCAAAGUUAUCUUAAAUGGCAUGCAAAUAUUUUCCGUCAUAUUUUUGGGACAUUAAUACUCUUGCCAUCCAAAAAUUAGAACAACUUGUUAAAAUUCUAAAAAUAUUUAUAUUGAAUGAAAUAUCUUUUAAAAUGAUACCAUAGGCACAUCACAAUUUUUGUAAUUUUUGAAAAUAUUUUUUUUAUACUAAAUAGCUGUUAGGAUAAAAUUUAUUUUCAAAACUAGCCUAUAUUUGAAUUGUUACCCGCGUUAUAUGCUAUUAUACAAACUUUAUACCUUGUAUAUACUAACUAUAUAACAUGGUAUAUCGUGAUCCGUGUGUAUAAGUACUGUUAAAAACUCCCUCUAGAGUUGGCUAAUUUUAAGAUUAACUUAAUACUUUAAAUUCAUUUCUUUAACAAAAAUAUAAUUUUUAUGUAAAAAAAUAUAGAUUUUUUUUUAUAAAUUAGUUCAAAUUGAAAUCAUAAUUUUAACUUUACAACAAAUUUAACAAUAAGAUUUUUAAGAUUUGACAAAUAGAAACGAUCUCAAUAAAGAACUUUUAUGAAUAUAUCGAUGCUAGUUUAUUAUGAGGGGACUAGGGAUGUUAUCAACCAAGAGAUAUUUUUAUUUUUUGAAAAGAAAGUGAACUGAAUAUUUUGAGGUGCGAAUAAAUUCAUCUUUUCUAAAUAAUAUUAAUUGUUAAUUCUUUAGAAAGCAAAUUUCUUUAGAAUUUUCCAUGGCCAAGAUUAUUAUCAAAGAAUCUUCAAUCACUUUCAAGAUAACGUAAUUUAUAGAAGAAGAAGAAAAUCAUUUAAAGAAGAUUUCUUUAUUUGAACACGUAUUUCAGUUAAAACUUAAAUUUAGCUUUCAGGUAAAUUAAAUUCAUGAUAGAAUUUUAAAAAAUAAAAAAUAAAAAAAAUUUUAUUUAAAAAUUGAAUUCGCAUUUAAGCUCCAAAUACAAGUUCUAAUUAUUGAAUAUACAAUAUUUAUUUAUAAAUACAAAGACAUUUGAUAAAUUUACAAAUUCAAAGUGAAAAAGUUUUCUAUAAAUUAUUCCUAACAAUUAAAUCGGAUAUAUUAUGUGUAUUAAUUCUUUUAUUGACACAUUAUAUUGAGAAUAUUAUUAAUUAAUAAAACACAUUAUAUUGAAAAUAUUAUUAAUUAAUAAAAGUGUAUAUGAUAUUUUAAAUAUGAUAUCAGAGGAUACAGAAAUCCUGCGAUCAAAUUUUACUAUCACCUAUUUUAGAUGAGGUUACCACACACUUGAGGAUGAAACACUCCUAUGAUAUUCUUUCCUCCAAACAUUAUUAUACUUAUAGACCCCACAAAAUGAUCAACUCUUUAAAAAGUUGUUAGAACCUAGAAAAACUGAAUUAUUAGACGUUUGGCCAUAUGUUAUCAUAUUACAAUAUAAUAUCGUAAAAUGGAAUCAACAUUUGGAUAUAUGUAAUUUUGCGUUAAUUUUAUUUCAUAAUUUCAUAUCAUGAAAUAUGAUGCUAUAUUUUUCAAAAAGGAUGAUAUAGAAUUACAUUGUGAUUUCAUAUCAUGAUUUGAGAUAUUUUUAAAAAAAAUUGAUCUACAAAUUUAUAUUUUGUCAAAACAAUUCCACAUGUAUAUCUAGUAACCAUUUAUUUCAUGUGUAAAUAAAAUUUAUAAUCACAUCAUUACUUUUUAAAGUUUAAUAUUCUCAUCGAAAUAAAAUUUAUUAUUCACACCAACAUAUGAUCACUUUAACUCACACCAACCGAUUGUUAAAGUAAUGAAAUAAUUAUGGUCUAUAAACAUGAAAAUAUAGUUGCGAAUGAUAUUGACCAACAAAUAGCUCAAAAGUAACAAUGUUGGUUCGUCUUCUCAGUCACAUGAUCGAGAAAUGCAAAUUCAACUUGAAGAAAUUGUCCGAUCUAUGUAAGAGGAUUAUAUGAAAAACUAGUACACUAUAAUUUAUGUUCAAUUUUUUUUAAUUAAAUUAAAGCUAGAUGAAACAAUUACUUAAGUGUAGAACAAAUACCUUUGUAAUAAUUUUAUUAUGCGAUUUUACAAUUUUUUAUUUGAUAAGAUUGAAUAAACAAUUGGGGCUACUUUAAUAAUUUUACUAUAACUUAUAAGGUUUUAUGAGAAAAAAAAUAACACACAAUUUUUAUAUCGUAUGACCAAACAAAAUUUUAAUUUCAUUUUAUAAUUUCAUAUCAUAAUAUCAUAUGCAUGAUCAAACAUGUUCUGAGAGACUACAUGUCAACAAUUUAUCUCACUUUUUUUGCUCUUAAAAUUGGUCAAAUUGGUUUCUCUAUAAGAAUAUCUGAAUAUGAUCCACUAUAUUUUGUUAUCAGCUUGGCCUGUAAUGUGUAUGAUGUUUAUGGUGGUGCAUUGGCAAAGUUGGUUAAUAUAUUGUCAUGAAAAUUCUAAAUACACACAUAGUAACAAAUUAAUAUGUUUAUACACUUUUAUUUUAUGAUAACAUUGUAGGGCAUAAAAAUGGACAAAGGAAGAGAGUAAACCUCAUUUUUGUAAAUGUUGUUUCAAAGCAAGAACAUCUGUUCAAUCUACAGAAGGAGUAUCUCAGUCGCUGCUGCAUUUUCCUCAAAACCCAAUUCCCCUUUCAUCCAAGAUUCAGUUAUUCACUGCACAGAAGAAGUUUUAGCAUCGAAACUAGCUCCAAUUUUGCAAUCUUGCAACAGUUCUGCAGAAAAUCUUGGUUCUGUUAUUCGUAAAGGGGAGCAGGUUCAUGCCCAGGUAACUGUAAAUGGAAUUGACAACUUGGGUAUUCUUGGUACGAGAAUCUUGGGGAUGUAUGUUUUGUGUAACAGGUUUAUCGAUGCCAAGAAAUUGUUUUUUCAGCUUCGGUUGUGUUAUGCUUCUCCUUGGAAUUGGAUGAUUAGAGGGUAUACAAUAAUGGGUCGUUUUGAUCUUGCAAUCUUGUUGUUCUUUAAGAUGUUGGUGUUUGGUACUUACCCUGAUAAAUACACUUUUCCUUAUGUGAUUAAGGCUUGUGCUGGUGUAAAUGCUGUGAGUUUCGGUAAAUGGCUACAUCGGUUGGUACAAAGUUUAGGUUUUGAGGAUGAUGUGUUUGUAGGUAGUGCUUUUAUUAAGUUUUAUGCGGAGAAUGGUUGUUUGGAUGAUGCUCGUCUUUUGUUCGACAAAAUGUAUCAAAGGGAUAGUGUAUUGUGGAAUGUGAUGCUUAAUGGUUAUGCUAAAGAUGAACAGUCUGUGAAUGAUGUGGUUGGGUUAUUUAUGGAAAUGAGGAAAAGUGAAACUAAGCCUAAUUCAGUAACAUAUGCUUGUGUUCUUUCUGUUUGUGCGUCGGAAACAAUGGUUAAAUUUGGUUGUCAGCUUCAUGGGCUUGUUGUGCGAUGUGGGUUGGAAAUGGAUUCUCCAGUAGCUAAUACAUUGAUUGCGAUGUACGCUAAAUUCUGUUCCUUGUUUGAUGCACGCAAGAUCUUUGAUUUAGUGUCACAAGCAGAUCGUGUGACUUGGAAUGGGAUGAUUGGAGGGUAUGUACAGAAUGGGUAUAUCGAUGAGGCGCUGGAUUUAUUUCGGGAAAUGGUAGCUAGCAGUGUCAAGCCAGACUCUAUCACCUUUGCCAGUUUGCUCCCCUCUGUUUCUAUAUCGGAAGAUUUGUACCAGGGGAAGGCGAUUCAUGGUUAUAUCGUGAGAAAUGAUGUAUCUAUUGAUGUUUUCUUAAAGAAUGCCAUUAUUGACAUGUACUUUAAGUGCAGGAAUGUUGUGGCAGCACGCAACAUAUUUAGCUGCAGCCCUGCGGUGGAUGUUGUUAUUUGUACUGCUAUGAUUUCAGGAUUUAUUCUUAAUGCCAUGAGUUCUGAUGCCAUAGAUGUUUUCCGAUGGUUACUUAAUAAGAAUAUGAGGCCCAAUCCUGUUACUCUAGCAAGUACCUUACCCGCUUGUUCUGGUUUGGCUGCUUUGAGAUUAGGUAAGGAACUGCAUGGUGUCAUUGUUAAGCGCAGCUUUCAAGGAAUACUUUAUGUGGGAAGUGCGGUGAUGGACAUGUAUGCAAAGUGUGGAAGAUUGGAUCUUGCUCAACAAGUUUUCAGAAGGAUGCCUGAAAGAGAUGUCGUUUGUUGGAAUUCGAUGAUCACGAGCUGUUGCCAGAAUGCUGAACCGGAAUUGGCCAUUGACUUCUUCCAACAGAUGGGUGCAAUUGGAGCCAAGUAUGAUUGUGUCAGCAUAUCCAGUGCUCUUUCUGCUUGUGCGAAUUUGCCAGCUCUCCAUUAUGGGAAAGAGAUCCAUGGCUUCGUUAUGAAAAGUGCAUUAAGCUCUGAUCUUUUUGUGGAAAGUGCGUUAAUAGAUAUGUAUGCUAAAUGUGGGAACUUAGAGGUAGCUUGGCGCGUAUUUGACUUAAUGGCACACAAGAAUGAAGUAUCAUGGAAUAGUAUUAUUGCAGCUUAUGGAAAUCAUGGCCGACUGAAGGACUGCCUGAAUUUGUUUCAUGGAAUGAGAAAAGAUGGAUUCCAGCCUGACCACGUCACUUUUCUUGCGAUCAUAUCUGCUUGUGGCCACUCUGGUCGAGUUGAAGAGGGAAAACACUACUUCAAUUGCAUGACUAAUGAAUAUGGGAUUACACCGCGAACAGAGCAUUAUGCAUGCAUGGUUGACUUGUUUGGGAGAGCUGGUCUCGUGGAAGAAGCAUUUGGCGUGAUUAAGAGCAUGCCAUUUGCUCCAGAUGCAGGCAUUUGGGGGACAUUACUUGGGGCUUGUCGAUUACAUGGCAAUACCGAGCUUGCUGAAAUGGCUUCUGAGCAUCUUUUGAGCCUGGACCCCCAAAAUUCCGGCUACUAUAUGUUACAAUCAAAUCUACAUGCUAACGCUGGCAAAUGGGAUAUGGUUUCUAAAAUUCGACAUAUGAUGAAGGAAAGAGGAGUGCAGAAAGUACCUGGUUACAGCUGGACUGAAGUUAACAACAGCACUCAUAUUUUUGUUGCUGCAGAUGCGAGUCACCCGCAGUCUGCUCAGAUAUAUCUUUUAUUAGACAAUCUUCUAAUAGAGCUGCAAAAUGAGGGUUAUGUUCCUCAAAUGAAUCUUCAAAUACAACAGUCAUCAUCCCCAGAACUCUGUUGAUUAUUAACCAACUACAAGCAUAGAGCUUAGCUAAGUGCACUGUAUCCACAUUUCAGGUAGCAUAGGCAUUUCAUCUUUGUGUUGCAACAUUGAUUAAUUUAUACUUGACCUUACAAGUGGAGGAGAAAUGUACCAUUUAUAGUGUUUUGUUUUCUGAUUCUUUCAUUUGAUUCAUUCAUAUAACAGAAUACAGGGAAAUGUGCAUCUGUUACAAAAUAAAGCUUUUAAUUCUGAUCUCCAUUCAGUUCAGCAGUUUUCUUAGUCAUAGCACUGCAGAAAAUGGCUCUACCAUGAGACCAUCCAAGGGUGUGGGGGCGUGGAUGAAGUGAGUUGAAAAUCACGAGGUUUCAGGUUGUAAGUUUCAAUCGAGACAAAAAUCUAGCUUCGGUGAAUAGAGUUAUCUGAUGCUGGUCGAAAAGGUCAGGAAACUCGUGAAAUUAGUCCAGUGCACACAAACUAACCUGAACACAACCAUUAUGGGGGAGAAGGGCUCCAACAUGAGUCAUUCAAAAGUAGUAGGCUUUAUUAUAAAAGGAAAGUUAUAUUGAUUAAAAAAAUAUCUUGUAAGAUUCACCAACUGAAUACAUUAAUAUGCUUUGUCUGACCAAAACUAUAAGUUUUCUAACCAAACUAGUAGAGUCAUGCAUCACAUAAAAAUGUCAUUUUUAUCCCUUUAGUUUUUCUUUAAAUAAAAUACUACUAAGUAAUGUUUUUGGAGUGUUACUGUAAAAAUUCAAUUGAGAUGUUCAAAACUUCAUUAUCCAUUAACUAACAUUUUUUGUAUGCUAAAAUUCAAAUAUUAUGGAUAACAACACAAGUACAAACACAUAUCCAGUGUUAUUCCAUAGCAUGAUAUCCUUUCAAAUUGACUCGACUCUUUUCUUUGCUCGGCCUCUCACUUCAUUUCGUUCUUCUUCUUUACCAUUGCUUGAAUGAAGACCGUUUCAAACCAGGUAAGUGUACACAUUACUUACCUCUCUCUUGGAAAUAUAUUUCGAUAAAGUCUCGAUGGAUAUCCUAUCUUAUUAUCUUGUUUCUACAUACAUAUUCAUAUUCUUAUUGACUUUAAUUUCCUUUCCUAGAUACACUGUCUUGAACCUCCAUACAAAAAUACAACUAGUGGCAAACUAAAACCUAUUAUGCAAUGAUGGAAUUUAAAGACCAAAACAUGAAAAACUGAUUCCAUUACACAAAGGAAUGGCUUCAUUACCACAAAUUCAAAACCCAAAAAAUAAGAAUCUUAAUACAAUUAUUGUCCACCUUUUUUCUCUACCACAUUUCUUCUAUGAAGAAUAAUAUAAUGUGCUUUUUGUACAUCAUUUUAAUGCAAUCCAGAAGCAAGUUUUUAACUUUUUUUUCUAGCAGCAAUUAUUAACAUUAGGAAAUAGGGUAGGAUUCUUUUUUCCAUUUUGGAAUUUACAUGUCCCAUCGCUAGCUAUUUAGUGGAAACUUGUCAUUGAGGUAACAAAUUAAGAAUGAAUUGAAAUAAUUGAAAAAAAAUAAAUAGGUGUGCUUGUUUCCUGAUUUUCCCUAUUAAAAGGAAAUAUAAACGUCAGUGAUAGAGUCAUAAUUUUUAUUAACGGAUUCAAAUUUGAAAAGUAAACACCUGUUGACAGAGAUUUGAAUGAACCCCUUGAUCCUACCUGGCUCUGCCCCAGAUAAUAGAGAAUAUAAUAUGAUUUCUUUCAUUCUAGUUUAUCUUUCACAUGCUUAUAUGAUCAUAAUAAAGAUCAGUAUACCGUGAAGUAAUUGAAAAAAAAAAUGAACUACAAUUAAAAUAUGAUUUACGACGCUAAUCUGCCUUAAUUGGUACUUACUACUUAAUAUAAGCCAAUUACUAAUGAAGUCGCUUAUAGUACGAAAUAUUAGUGUUUCUUAAAAGUAUUCACAUGUUUUUUUUUUAAACAAAAUCGUGAUAUGAAUCAUAUAUUAGUGUUUUUUAAAUAUAUACGCAAAGCACCUUUAAAUAUUUUUUUAGAAAAAUCUUAAUUUCCUCUCAAUCUAACUCGAUGCUAACUUCUACCAUAACGCAUGUCAUGUGGUAUAAAAUUUCAGUGUUUAAAGAGGAAUCAAACCCUUAAAAAGGAAUAGUAGAACUUAAUCGAGUUUCAUUUUUUGUUGAAUCAAUUACUAAAUUUUCGAAGCCUUCGCCACUACUCUAGAUCAACUUUGAAUUGCUCGAUUGAAAUAUGAGAUAAUAAAUUCAAACUCCAUGGUACUCCUAUUUAUAUACAUGAUAUUCCAACGAGCUAAUUAAUUCAAAUUCCAAAUAAUUAAAGCCAUUAAUUAUAUAUAGCAUCUUCAUUUUUUAUUUUAUUUUUCUCAAACUCUAAUCACAAUUAUUAAUAGUACUACUAAUCCGCUGCUUAAUAUUUCUUCUUUUCUUCUUCUCAUAAGCAAUCCCCCUCGCUUUGGCUUGCGUGUCUCUCACUUCCUUCAAAUACAACCUCACUGCUCGAGCACCGAACGGAUUCGUCUCCGUCCGUCCUCCGUUCUCUUCGAAAGCAGCGCGUAGCCUCCCAAUUAGCGCGUCAAGGCUCCCCCACGCCUGUUUCAACGGGCAAUUGCACGGCGCCGGCGGAUGAGGAUCGCCGAAAAACGGACAAUUACAGCUGUGAACUUUCGUUUUUCCGAAUUGAUCUAGGUAUUUUAAGAAUUCUAGAAUGUUCGCUCCGCUGCAUCGCGCAAGUAUCAGUGGUGGCUUGUGGUUUCUCAAGUACUGUCCGAAUGUGUUCCAGUCUCGCCGUUUUUGUAGCUCGUAACGGCUCACCGUCGGUGGUGACGAAGGCGGCGGUAGUGGUAGUGUCGGCGCCGGCGCCGAUGAUAGGGAGAAGUUUUGUGAGACGGAAUUAAUGGUACUAUAUACGUCUAACAUGGCUGUGUUACUUUUGUGUGGGUAUUUUUUGAAGUUGUUAAGACUCGCUAUAUAUAGGAUGUAAAAGAGUGCAAAUAGUUUUACUUCUUAUGGGUUCAUGAUUUGAUUCAUACCACUCGCGUUAGGGUCCGGUGUACCGGAUGAGGUUAUUCAAAGUCUCGAAUAUGAAUUUUGGAAUUAAAAAAAUUAUUGAUAAGAAGUAGUCGAGUGUUGUUUUUGAAUGAAAUAUAAAUUGUAUUAAUCGAAUUCUAAUAUAAAUAUAGAAAAUAAAAAAUAAAUUCACUUAUCUCAUUUAGCUUUUCAUUCGGCAUCAAGCGGCGUCUAAUAGAUUCUGUUAAUAGAAAGGAUAUUUGAUCCUAUAAUUUGAUGAGAAGACCAUAUUUAAGUCGAAAUAUAGUUUAAGGAUAUAUUUUGAGCUAUGUAUUAUUUCGAACAGUUUAAAGAUAUUUUUAACCCUUUUUGUAGAAAAAAUAAUUUCCAGAGAAAAUAUCUCAAUUACUUGGGGCUAAUUUUGGUAUGUUGCGAUAAAAUUUAGUACAAUUUUGUCUCUUGUGUAGUUAUUGAUUGUAAAAAUAAAUAUAUAUGAAGGCAAAUAAUUAGUAUCAAGAUAAGUUAUUUUAUUUAUAGUAGAAUAACAUUAGCAAAAAUAGUUUUUCGGGUAUAAAAUAACAAAAAUGUCAAAAACAUUUUCCAACUAAAUAAGGUAAAGGGAUAUUAUUGUAAACAAAUCAAAUCAUUAAUAAAUAAUAAUAACAAGAUAUUUAUUUUUUUUAAGCUCUUUAUUUCUUUUUUACUCCACAAGUAAAGUUCGUGUAUAAGUGUGAAUAAAUUAAAUAUAUUGUGAUUUGGUUCAGAAGAUCAAAUUAUUUAACGUUUAAUGUGUAAAUUUCCAGAACUUACAAAUAAAACUUUGAAUUAUAGUCUACCUAGUUAUGAUGGUAUUAUAACGUGGUAGUAGUAUUUAUUUCAUUAGAUCCAAUAAAUAGCAAAGAUUGUUAUGCAAUAUUACCACAUAAAUUAUUAUUUAAAGAAUUUUAGAAAUUCUAAUUUUCUUGUACUCAUAAAAUAAGAAGUAGAAAUAGUGAAGGGAGAGUUGCUAGACCAUUUAUAGGAAAAUGUAAUGGCCCAUAGAGAAGGAACAAAAGAAGAUAAUGAGACCAAUAUGAGUUAUAAUAAUAUAGUGAUAUGUAUUGUUGAAAUAUCAUCUCGAAUUAACACUCAUGCUUUAAUAUGUGCUUCGAACACUCGACUAAUUUAUUUUAUGAAAACAAAAUAUAUGGAAGGAUGGGGCCCAAAGAGUGAGGACAAAUUAAAGUAAUAUCACUUCAACUAGUCAUGUCAAAUGUAACUUCAAUUGUUGUCUUAUCAGUUUCACCCUUCCUUUUAUCCGUGUGACAGUGGGUUAACUUGUAUUGACCAUUGGAAUGUUUCGUGUGGCCGGUAACUUUUUUGUUUCCUCCCUUUGCCUUUUUUAUUUUUUAUUUUUAACUUUUAGGUGCCACUAGAAUUUAGAGCAAAUAACAAAACUUGAUCCUCUCUACAUCUAACGAUAACAAUAGUUUAUUUAAAUUAAUUUCAUAUAGUGAAAUUCAAAAUAAAGUGAUGUAUACAAAUUUUAUUUUUAUCUCAAUAUUUCUGACUAGGUAACUUUUUAUUUUAUAAUAUAUAAUUAUUGGUAGUAUUCAUUGUUGGCCUCAGUACGCAGAGUAUGUUGUCUUGGUUUUAAUCAACAUGACUCUUUAGACAUCAAAAGUUGUCUUUGAACUUCCAACUUAGUAUCAAAAAUCACUAUGAGUCUAUCCGAUCAAAAUUAUCUCAUUGGUGAGGCGGAGCUACCGGUAUGGAAGGGUGGUCAGCGAUCACUGAGUUUUGGCCAAAAAUAUUUUUUAACUAUAUGUCAAACUUAAAUUAUAGCCCUAAAAUAUCAUUUUUAGCAGAUAACUAUAUUCAAAAUUAAACUAUAUCUUUAAAGUAUCAUUUUCAGCAGAAAACAUCCUUUAAGUAUUUUUACGUGAACAAUUUUCAUCCUUUUGUUAGAUAUUGUCAAAAGAUUAAGGGAUCUUACGAAAACAUGAGCAAUUAAUGUGACUAUCAACAAAUUUUAUUAUGCAUAAUUUCAUUAAAUCUACAAUAAAUUCUUGAAAAUAUAAAAAAUCUUAGACACUGUUGCUUAUGAAAACUAUAAAUGAUUAGAAGGUGUGAGCGUACAUGAUUUGCCUUUUGCGCAACAGAAAGAAGUUGGAGAUUAAUUAUUUUUAUCUUUUUCUUAACCAAUUAAAUUAUUAGAUUUUUGGGUCAAUCUAAUAUCGAAGUGACCAAAAUAUUGAUUAUGUCUUGUAUUUGAGUUUCAUUCUACAUUAUUUGAAGGGGAAGUCUCCAAAAAAUGUCGCUUCUAGCAUAUUUAAUUGAGAAGAAACUAUUUAAAUUAAUAAUAUUUUAAAUUAAAAUUAUAUGAAAAAUGAAUGAAAAAGACGGUCAAAUUAAAAGAUUUUGCAUAAUUCUUAACUCAAUUAAGAAAAAGUUCGCGAUAAUAUUCUUGGCAUAUAUAAGAAUAACAAUUAGGAAGGGACGGCUUAUUUUUUGAGGGAUAUAUCAAUUAAGGAUGAAAAUUAUUUACUUUAAAAUACUUUAAGGAUGUUUUAUGAUAAGAAUAUACUUUAAGGCUGUAAUUUGAGUUUGAGGUAUAGUUUAAUGAUGAUUUUGGCUAAAAUUUCAAAAUAAUUAAUCUCCAACCUUUUUCAAUUACGGAAAAGGCGAAUCAUGUACGCUCACACCUUUCAAUCAUUUUUAAUUUCCAUAAGCAACAAUGUCUAAGAUUUUUUAUAUUUUUCAAGAACUUCUUGUAGAAAAUAAUGAAAUUAUACAUAAUAACUUUUGUUGAUAGUCGCGUUAACUGCUCAUGUUUUUGUAAGAUCCCUUAGUUUUUGACAAUAUCUAACAAAAGGAUGAAAGUUGUUCACUUACAAAUACUUAAAGGAUGUUUUCUGCUAAAAAUGAUACUUUAAGAAUGUAGCUUAAAUUUGGGGUAUAGAUAAAUGAUGUUUUAUGCUAAAAAUAAUAAUUUAAGGAUGUAGUUUAGAUUUCGGGUAUAGUUAAAAAAUGUUUUUGGCCAAAUUAUACCCUAUAUAUAAAUAAAAUGCUAUAUAAUAUUGCGAUAUAUAAUUAAUUGAACACCUAUGACAAAGUCUAUUGGUCUGCUGGUAAGCAUGUUCAUUUACGUGCAAGAGGUCCUCAGUUGCAACAUGUUUUUUAAAACAUAAAACACACUCUCUUUUCAAUUAUGUGUAAGAGAUCUGUAUUAAGUGACUUAUUAGGUAUACACAUUCUCAAGAUUUUAUUUUAAAGAAAAAAUUAAAGAUUAUUAUUUAUUAUUAUACUUUUGAGUAUUUCUAAAGUAUCUUUCUAUUUAGAAAAAGUAAAAUAGUUAAGAAUUUGAAAAUAGGAGAAAAAAACUCAUCAUAAUCGUGAAAGUCACUCUCAAAAGGCUCAUCAUAGCCCUUUUUGUGACUCGACUCAAGCUCAUCAUACAUUAUUCGAUAUUUGAACUAUUCAGUUAUUUAAAUUACAAAAAACACUCGACAAUUUAUUUCAUAUGAACUAGAGGGAGUAUAUUUCAAGCAAAAAUUAUUUUGUGACUUUUGUCCAUUAGUUUUGAUUUAUUCCAUCGAUAGUUUUAUCAUUUUAAAUUUCCGCAAGAUUUAGUUACUAAGUGAUGUGUAAUUUAAUUUCUCACACAUUUGCAAAAAUAAAUUUUGUGUACCCACUUCGCUAAAAAAAUUAUCGACUCUUUUAAAGUUUGAACAACCUCGGCGAAAUUUCUGGCUCCGCCACUAUUUGGCGAGUAACAUACUCAUCAUACACUUUCUUGGAUAUAUCGCGUUAAUUCAUUCAUCAUCAAGAUAAAUGAUUUUGAUCUAAAAGUUGAUGUCUGGUGCAACCUCUUCAUAGUGGAAAAGUGCUUUUUUUUCUUCUAGGUCUUGACUCCUUCAUACAUGUCCUUGAUCUUCUAAAUAUACGUCAUAGAGUCUGGCAUUAAUACAUACAUUUUAUGAACCCUAAACACCCAAAGGGACCUCCAAAAAAAUUUGGUGUGUGUUUUAUAGAGGGUCCCUUUUAGUGUUUAGGGUUUAAAAAAGUGUCCGUUUUGAUAUCAGACUUCUACAUACCUCCAAUUUCCAAACAUCUCCAAAAAACCUCCUUCAAGACUCUGUCUAAAAAACUUUCCAAUCAAUGAACAUCAUAUGCAAGUUUUUCUAUUUGACUGUACUUAUUUAUCAAUCUCUUUAUAAUGACUUUUGAAUACAUGUGAAACAUGCUUAGAUAUCAAGUGUAUAGAAUAAAUUAUAUCUAAUUUUGACUCAUAUGUAUCUAUUUUGUAAAGUUCUAAGAGAAAAUAUAAUUAGAAAGUAUAGUUUCAACCGAUAAAUAACACAAAUGUAAAUGUGUGUUUUGUGUUGUUUCCUCUUAAUUUAAAUACAAUUCAUUCAAAUUUGAAUGCACUAGUGAUCUACUUUUUUAUUAGUUCAAUCUAUUUCAGUUUGUUAAAAUAUUAGUUCAUAUAUAAAUCAAAUCGGUUAAUGAAAAGUGAGUUUUAUGUAUUUUGAAUUAGUAUUUUAAUUAUUAAAAAUUAUCUAUUUUUUUUUAAUACAUACUAAAUUUUAUACUAUAGAAAAUGUUAAAAUUUCUAAAUUAGCUUGUUUGCUCUUGAAAUCGAAACCUCCCCACAAAUUGGGACAGCGGGAGUAAUUUCAAUUUUGCUAUUUGAAAAAACAGAGGAUUUUCCGUUGGGGUUUAACCGGAUCGGGCCUUUUCAUCUCCGGUAAUCUUUCUCGUUUUGUAAUUCUCAUCGUACUUCUGCUUUGUUAUUAACUGUACUAGUUGUGGUUUCAGUAAAGUUUAGCUUCGUAUAGUUGUGAAUUCAUUCUCUUGUGGCGGCUUAAAUCAAGGGUUUGGUUGUCAGUGUUAUAGCAAACGAAGAUUCUGUUCAGAAGAUUUAGAGUUCUUUUUUGUUGGAAAUUUUGAGGUUGUGAUUUUGACCUAAAACUGUUAAUUUCAUAGAUAGAGAGAUAUUUGUAUGUUAGUAAUAGGGAACCUCUAGGGUUAUGAAAACCUAAAUUAUUGAAUAUUGGAAUAGAUGGGGUUCUAAUGGAGAGAAUUCAUAUAGUAAACCCAAACUAAUUCGGGAUUGAGGCAUACUUCUUGAUUACUGAGCUAAAUUAGAGAUAAAGAGUAAGAGGUGCAGUUGGGAUUGAUUCAUUUCUCACUUUAAUAACUAUCUAAUUUUACAGUUUUAGGUUUUGUAAACUUUUUUAGUGCAUACUAAUAACUAUCUACCCUUUUGGUUUGCUUGGGAUUGCUAGCUCCUUAGCUUUAGUUUAGGAUACUUGUAUGAGUGCUGAGAUUUUUUUUAUGCCCUUCCGAAUUAGAGCUAAGCGGUCGCAUAUUUUGUAAUCUGGCAUCUACCCGAUGCCCAUUCAAGGAUAAUUUUUAACCUUAUCAAAAAGACAUAGUUGCAGCAGUAAUUUUUUCCGAUGUACCUAUUGAUUUAACAAUGUGAACACCAAAUUUAUGCAGAUGUCAUGGUAGUUUUUACUUGGAGAUAAGAGUUUACUGUUUGUUAAAUUUCAAAGAAGAGUUUACUGUUUGUUACGAGGGAUGGGCUUCAGUUUUAGAGGGUCUCACUUGAUGGCUUUGUUCUCUUUGGUACAAAAGAACUAUUCUUGUAAUAAGAUGUGGAUGAAAUGUCAUUUAGGAAUGAUGGGAAAUAUAUUUUUGAAGUGGUUUGUACAUUUCAGAAUCUUAGGAAUUAUUUCUCUUUGCUACUCAGUCCAUUAGGCCAGUUCAUGCUUUGAUAGUUUUGGCUAUUUGUGUAGUACUUGAUUACAUCUGAUGACAUUAAUUUUAUCCAUUUUAGAACCAAAGUACCAACAGAUUUCAGCUCAACAGCCAUUAGUUAUGGACCACUUUGGAGGAGGAAGUUGGACAAUGAUCCCCAACAUCCAAACUCACAGUAAUCCUUCGACACCCUCCAAUCAAGACAAUUUAUUUCUUCAGCAACAGCAAUUUCAACAACAACAGUUCAUUCAACCGCAGCUCUAUCAGCAACAACAGCAGCAGCAGCAGCAACAACAACAACGGUAUCAACAACAGAUGCAACAGCAACAAAUGCAGCAGCAGCAACAGAUGCAGCAGCAGCAAAUGCAGCAACAACAACAACAGCAGCAGCAAAUGCAGCAACAACAACAACAGCAGCAGCAGCAACAACAACAACAGCACCACCAAUCACUUGCCUCUCACUUCCAUCUUUUACAAGUAUUGGGCAAAAACCAUGAUCUGUAGCUUGCUAUUUUAAUAGAGUAACGAGACAUUUCUCUUUCCUAGUGAGACCUUUUGUUCUAACUUUUAUUGUCAUCUUACAGCUGGUGGAGAAUUUAGCUGAUACAAUUGAAAAUGGAAAUCGAGAUCAGCACUCAGAUGCAUUGGUUUGUUCAUUUCUUGAUUGAUGCAUUAUAUGUUAGUUUUCCAUUUCUUCUACAUUAAACCGGGUGUAUUUUUCCUCACCAGGUAACUGAAUUGAAAAAUCAGUUUGAGAAGUGCCAGCAGCUGUUGACAUCAAUAUCAGGGUCUAUUAGCUCAAGAUCUAUGGUAUUUCAUUUUCACACAUAUCCUUUGAUUUCUGUUGUAACUUGUUCUGAACACACCCCCAACUCAAAAAAUAAAAAGAAAAAAGAGAGAGACUCCAACAAAGAGUUAAGCGCAAUAAUAUGAAAACAGAACUUCAAAAUUAUUCUUUUCUGGAAGAGUUGGAUUGUUUUUCUUUUGGCUGUGUUAUUGCUUUUAAUUGUGCUUUUCCAUUUGGGCCUGUUUGUUCAACUUAUAGUUGUGAAGAAUUUUACUGAAAAGUGGGGUUCAAUAUGUUUGAAACGAUGUUGACUUGAACAAAGUUGCUCCACAAAUUCUUAUUUGGUUGCAUGUUUUGAUGCUUAAAUAUGGGUAAGAUAAUUGACCAGUCCUGUGUUCUUUGGACAGACAGUUGAGGGACAAAAGCGCAAAAAGGCAGAGUGCGAACAAAUGCUAAAUCAGCGAAGGUUUGUAUUAUAUAUAUAUAAAACACACACACACACACAUAUAUAUAUGUGUGUGUGUGUGUGUUUCUAAUAUUGUCUACUGAAAUUUGUAUAAUUAUUAUUUGCUUCAUCUGAUGGUCAUGUUUCAUGCUUAAUUACAGGGAUCUUAUUUCGAGGUACAAAGGCUCAGUUGAGGAGAUUAUUAACUCUGAACUAUAGCUCAUACUCGCAUUUUAACCAAGGUAAAAUUAUGCGCUGCAAGUUGUUUUUGGCCUGCCCAAAAGAAGUUGAGUUGAAUCACCUGUCAUUUUGAUUUUACUAGAUGCAAGUGAAACAACUAUGCAGUGUUCUGGAUGCAGUCAAUUUGUAGUUUGUUGUAAUACAUGAGAAUAAAGUGCUCAUGAGAAAUUUUUAUUGAUGUUACUGUUGUAAUCACUAUGGCGCUCGCCACAAAUGACUGCUCUGACUGUACUGAGAACAUAAAAUGUUUUGGGCCAAGGUUAUGAUAAAGUAAUGCAUUGCCUUCUUAACUGACUGAUUGUAUUUAAAUCUAAUUACAUCAAAGUGAAGCAAAUAAUUGAAGUAACGGUGCUACCCGGGCUCUAGUCAGGCACCUGGAUAGCUGAUUGUUCAGUUUAAUACUUGACUAGAAAUAGUCUAAGCAUUUAAAGUAAUUUAAGUAGCCUGGAGAGUUGAUCUUUCCAUAUAUGGACUUUGAGGGCAUCCGGGAGUGAUCUAUGUUACAUAUCACGUACAUCGAGAACUUCCCGAAGACAUGGCUUUAGAAAAAUGUAUGUUUGCCUAAGUUGUUGGGAGAUUUGAUUUGCUUAAAGAUUAAUAUUUUUGUUACCUUAUGUAUUUUUUUGAGUUGAAUUCAAUGCUACAUAGAAUUCAAAUCAGCAUUAGGAACUUCACAAAUAAGUUGGACAUCGCUAGCUAUCGAAAUAUCUAAGUUAUUAUUUGCAUCAUUCAUAAUCUAUUCUCAGAAAUCGUUAAAUAUUCAUUUAAAGUGCACUUUAACUCUGAAGCUAGGUGAAGUCCGAGUUGGGCGCUUUGCCUUGCUUAAUUGACACCUUGGCUCAGGCAUCAAGUAGCUAAAUAGUGUCCUUGUCAUUUUUAGGAAGUUAGACUAUAGAGUAAAUGUCAACUUAGUUGACGGAUUGAUACAAAAUGCUGUUUUAUAUAUUCUUAAUCGUUACGAAUAAGAAACUAGAAAUUAGAAAUACGAAACUAGAAAAGAAGAAUAGUUAGUGAAGACUUACAACUGAAUUACAUCCAAAUUAGAAAUUCAGUUUCACUUAAUCAUAGUAGUUCUGUUAAGUUUUCUAUCCAAAUGAUUAGUGUAGUAUUAUUUUUUGUGUAGUUAUUUUUCCUUGCUCUACAUAUAUAUUUUUAAUAUUAUUCAUCAGUGUUUUUCUUUGCAUAUGACCUCACUUAAGCUUUUCCUCUCAAGUCCCAACAGAUUUUGGUGCUUUUCUACGCGUUUCACCUAUAAUAUCUCUCGAUAGUUUCAAAUGGAGUAUUCCUCUAGUAGCUGGCUCAAAUUCUUAUUUCAGGAUAUAUUUUGUAAUCCAUGCUGGAUCUGCAUACCAUCUACUGAAGUAAAACAUCUUGAGUCACUAAAAUUCCUCUAUGCUGGUUCUGAGAUCUUGCCAUUUUUCUGUUUAUAUAUGUGACAGAACUUGGCUAAAGUGAAAUAUGAAACAUUAUCAACAAUGAUAUGACGAAACUUUAUUGAACAUCUGAAUUUUCCCAUCUGAUGAAACUUUUUCUUGGCACAGGUAAAACACACUAGCAAACUUCUCCGAGCAUUAGCAUCAUCAUUGUCAUGAGGAAUUUGCAGAAGAACAUUAAAUUCGAGCUAGCGAUGAUGAAUCCUCGAGACUCCAUCAUCAGAUAUGUCUUUAUCAUGUAUUUCCUACAAAACCUAUUUAGUGUUUUAACCUUGUUUGGAUGCAAAUGAUUGCAUCUUCCGCCAUUUAUUUCUAUGAGACUAGACAUCUAGAACUGUUUCCUUUUUUGACCUGUUGACUGCCUUAGCUCUAUUACAAUCAUCAAACCUUAAUUGGAGUUUGCUGGUACCAAUGGUUAGGAAGAGCUACUACACUAGGAAGGCGGCCAAGAUAGAUGACCUACACACAAAAAUUAAAUAAUUCGUAUCGGCAUUUAUAUCAAAUCUCUGUAUGUAUUUGAAUGUUCGUUUAUAAUUGUAAGAUGAAUGUCAUUGAUUUGAGCAAAUAACAGUCGUUAGAAUGGGAUUGUUAACUGUGAUUUGAAUCAAAUACUAUGAAUUACUAAUACUAUAUGCUUUGUGGUCCUUAAAAUAGAACAAUAAUUUAUGGUAUUAUUUAGAGGGUAUUGAUACUUACCCACCUCAACUACACGAAAACAUAAUUUCUUUGUACAAUUUGACGUCAUUUAAUUUUAGGUAUUAGCACUUUUGACUUCUGUACGAGUGAGAGGAAAAAAUAAUUCUCUUACCCAAAAAAUGCCACAUUUUAUUAAAGCUUGAAAAGAAAAAUUUCGUUGAACUCUUAUUUUGGAAAAAGGGUUAAAAAAAAUGUCUUUAAACUGUGUGAAAGGAACAAAAACGCUGUUAAUUCUUUGGCGCACAAAUGCUCUUACUGUCAAUACUUUAGUUCAAAAAUGCCCUUGCAGUCAAUAAUACUUUGGUCCAUAAAUGCCCCAAUAGUUACAAAAUGAGUCGAAAAUGCUUUUUUUCAAAUAAAUAUAUUAUUAUUUUUCUUUUUAAACAUAUCUUCUUCCUAAUUAAAAUAUUAUUAAAGAACACUAUUCUUGUUUCUUUCUUCUAAAAUCACUUUGACAAAUAAAAAUGGUUGGAAAUAUUCUUUUUCUUCUAAGUCUCAUUUCAUCAAUUAAAUGGAAUAAUUUCAUGUAUCCUUUUGAUAAAUAAUAUAUGCCAUAUAUAUAAAUUGAUAGUAUAUCUAUCACUAAUUUAUAUUUAUAUAAUAAUAAAAAAUAUUGAUGGUAAAAUAAAAUUUGUUUCAUUUUUUUUUUUGAAAUAAAGUAAGAUAAACAUUUGCUAUUUUUUUAAAAAAAUUAAUUGAAAAAAAUGUGUCAAAAAGAAAAUAAUACAAUAUUUAUUUGGAAACUAAUUUUUUUGACUCAUUAAAUAACAAUAAGGGCAUUUUUGGAUCGAAAUAUUAAUGACGAGUAUUUUUGGACCAAAAUACAAACGAGACAUUUUUAUUCUUUUUGCGCAAUUUAAAGAUAUUUUUAAAUUAAAUUAUUGACGAUAAAGACAUUUUUAAGCCAAACUAUAAACAAAAGAGAGAAUAAACAAAAGAGAGAAGAGAGUACUGUUGCAAAGCAAGUUAAGUUUAAAUAUAAUUCAAAAGCAUAAGCUAGGCAUUUAAUAAUUAGUGCUUAAAAAUCAAGUAAGGAAUGGAAUUUUCUUUUUGUUUUUCUCUGCUUUUUUCUUUUGGGUUUAAAUAAAUAUAAUAAUAUUACAUUUAUGUUUUUUUCCAGCUAAUAUAAAAAUAGAAAUUCAAGUAAUUUAAUGUCAUUAAUGGAAUUUCGGUUGCAGUCAGAUAUGCUCAUAAAUUAGUAUGUGAUGAAUCUCGUGAACCUUUCAUUUUCAAAAAAUUUCCCUCCUUUCACCUCAAAAUCAAAUCAGUUUUUCGAAAAUCGAAAGAAUAAGAAGCUGAUGAGUUCUCUCCGAUCCCCAAAAUACAUUUAGAUUACCACAUAAGAGAGUGAUUUCAGGUUAUAAAACAGUAAAUCGUAAUGGGAAGUGGCGAUGAUUAUUGCAGUAUCUCCAUUAUCACAGCUAGGGCUUGUACUGAGAUUAGAAAAAGAAGAUCGGAAACUUGUAGCCGGAGUUUUACUACUUGUAUAUCGCCGAGAUGGAUUUUCUCCCGGUGGUUCGAAACAGGGGAGAGAAAUAAGGACGCAGAGAAAGUGAAUCAGCUUCAAUGUGGAAGCACCAGAAAUAAGGGGAAGAAGACGAAGAAGAAGAAGGAGACGGGAUUUGACACCAAAUCAUCUACCGCAUUGGAAGAUCAAGGUAAAUGUUCUUCACCUUGAUGCUCUGUUUUGGGCUCCCAUUAAUAUGACUUCGAGCUGCAUAAAGUUCUUAUUAAAACAGUGAAACACUUUCUAAUAAAAAAAAUUUCAUUCUCAAAGUUUGGAAGUUCGAGAAUUUUGAUUAUGAGAAAAAAAAAUUAUAUCUAUUUUAUCAUAAUUUUUGAUGGUACAGUCUGUUUGAAUCAUUGUUAUUCAUUGUUUCAAAAUGUAUUAUAUUUUACUGUGUUUGGCUAGACUCUAUUGUUCGUUGUUGUUUGAUGAUAUUUUUAUUGUAUGAUUUGACUGCAUCAUACUGUAUUGUAAUUUAUAAAAUUUACCAAAAUAUUCUUAAUAAUUCUAUAGUAAGAGAUUUAACUAGAAUUAUAUGAUAUAUUAUGUCAGGAUAUAAUUAGAAAAAGAAAUUAAGUUACAAUAAGAACACAUCAAAUUAAUUGUUCCAUAAAAUGAGAAUUUUUAUUAUUAUUCAACAACGAAAUUUAACAAUAUAAUACAAUAUAUUGUAAAUAUGAUAACAAAACAGUACAAUAUAAUGCAUAUAUGAUUUUAUAUUGUGUAUAAAAAUAUAUAUGAGUCAUUUUAAUAAGUAACGAAGAAGAUAUUACCUUUAAAUGCUAAAUUGUUACGACUUAAAUACAUGAACAUAUACCAAAAGAUUUAAAAAUUAUGUUUAUUCGAAAUAUAUUUUUAAAAAAGUUUUAAGUCAGGGAGAGAGCCACCAAACGCUAAAGAGAAAUAAAUAAUUGGAGUAUACAUUUCGAAAAUUUAGGUGCAUGGAAAAAAUAUCAUAUUGAUGUCAUUUAAGGCUAGGCAUUUGCUCAUCGUUUUAAUCUAUGUUUGGCCAAUCAAGAGGUGAAAAGUUUAUUUUAUUUUUUUUGCCAUUUCAUAUUAAUUGAAUUUUUGCAAUUUUUUUUUAUAAUUCAAGAUAAAUGUUCCAUUUUUUUUAUAUAUUUGUUUAUUUAUACUUUUUUAGAUGAUAAAGUUCAAGAGAGUUAAUUGCUUAUAUUUAUAAUUUUAUUUUUAAAAAUAAUUUGACAAUGAUUAAAAAAGUAAAAGUGGAAAGUAAUAUUUAAUUUAUAUCCUUAUUUUUUUCCCAUAAUAGGUGUGCAUAAUAUGAAUUAAAUGAGAGUAUAAAAAAGUGAGGUACUUGAUGGAACUUCUGGAAAGGAAUAAAUGUUUAUGUGGGAAAAUAUUAAAUAAGAAAAGAGAUAAUUCUUAUGACCAUAAUGAUCCAAAUAUAAUAAUAAUAUCUUAACUUUAUAAUCUGUUUUUUUUUUGGUUGAUAUUCUUACUCCUUUUAAUAUUUAAAAUUUUCUCAGUAAUUAGCCAUUUCCUUUAUUUCAAAAGAAAAUUUUAAUAUUAAUUUUUCACUUUUGCCAUUUUAAUUUUUUCUCAAAUAAUUCUUGAAAAUAUAAUUCAUUUACAGUAUAAUUGUAAAUAUGAUCAAUUAACUCUUUUGUCACUUUAGAAAAUAUAAACAAAAAAAAAACUGUAUCUCUUUUAACGUUGAAUAAUUCACUAUUAUUAUGCCAUGGCAUAAGUUGGUCCAUGAUAUUUGUUAUUUUAUAAAAUUAAUGUAUAAAUUGCAAUAGGGAUAAUACAUAAAUGUAUUUUAUAACUUGGCUUCAAAUUACGUUUAUGCUCUUCAACUUUGGAUGUGCACAAAUAGACACUUAAACUUGUAUAAAGUUGAACAAAUAGACACACAUGUCCUACAUGACAUUUUUUGUCCUACGUGGUGUCUUACGUGUAUUGUGUCAUAUAGGAGUCAUGUGUUUAUUUAUUUAAAAGUUGAAUAACUAAAGUGACGGUUUGUGCAUUAUGAAAGUUGGAGGUCAAAGUUAAAAUUUAAAGCAAAAUUUAGGGUCCAAUAUAUGUAUUAUGUCAUCGCAAUAUUUUUAUUAUUAUAUCCUUGAUAGUUAAUUAGUCUUGAAUAAUAGUUUGACCAACUUAAUAAAUUAAUAAGUAAUUAAUGUUCAUUGUAAUGAACAUUAAUUACUUAUUAGUUUUCAUAGAUUGGUCAAAUAUAAUCAACUAUCAAGGUAUAAUAGAAAGAAUAUUAUAAUUUAUGAAUUAAUUUUAUGAAAUAUUAAAUAUUACAGAUCAACUAUUUUUAAUAAGAAUGACAUAUAAAAAAGAGCGGAGAAAGUAAUUACUUGAUACAUUGAAAAAUUACUCUCGCCAUUGCACUACUCUUAAAAUCUAAUUCUGACAAGAAAUUUCAACAAACAAAUUAAUAAUAAAAGACAGGAAAAAAAAAUAAUCUUGAAAAUUGAAGCUUCAAUGAAAAUCCAUGAAAAUACUCUUUUCGAAAUUAUUUAUGAGAAAAUAAAUUUAGAGUCACUUUUCAAAAGAUUAGUCAAACACAACUCAGAUGGUGGUCUUUAAAUAGAUUAGUCAAAUGCAAAUUGUUCAUGUACUUUAUUUUCAAAAUAAGUUAUUUUUAGAAGUUUGUCCAUAUACUCUAUCCGUUUAUAAUUAAUUGUCAUAUUUUUUUUAGAGUUAAAUUAUAAGAACUUUGAUAAAAAUUUUAUGAUAUAUUUUUCAUCAUAUUGAUAUGCAAAAAGUUAUAAUUUAUAGUAUUUUUCGUAUAGUUUUUGAAUAUCUAUUUUUUUUUAAAAAAAUAUCGAAUUAAUGUAAUCAAUUUAAUUUUAAAAAUUAGUCAAAUUGACUUUAAAAAAAUGUAACUUGACAAAUAAAAGUGGACUGAGAUAGUAUUAAUUAUUGGAUAUGACCAUGUUUGCUUUGAAAUAGAAAACUAAGACAUACUGCGUGGGCAUUUGACCAUGUUUUAUCGUGAAAUUAAAAAAAAAGUAAUUUUUAUUUUUCAAAUUGGAUAAUGAUAUCUGAAAAUUCGAAUUUCAAUAAAUAAGAUUCAAUUAUUGAAUUUGUUCAUUUUGCAGUAACAUAAAUGAAAUUUCUUACUUCAAGUAGAGAGUCUCAUGCAAUCCAUAUAAGAAUUUGCCUUUAUUAAGUGAAUUAACAUGCAAUCCAUAUGAGAAUUUGCCUUUAUUAAGUGAAAUUUAUUCGUGAUAUAAUAAGCCUAAGCAGAUUUAUAUAUUUCAUACUACAUUUUGUGAUUUGAUCUUCCCUGAAACACAUUAAUCGACAUAUUCAUGCAGGAGGCGAAAAGAAAGCAGAUUCUAUGAACUUAGGCAUCGGAUUUGGUCUAAUUUAUCUGUUUAACUCUACCAAGAAUGAGCUCAACAAGAUCGUUGAGAUUCGUCGAGAAAUGGAAAUCCUGCUUCAUAAUUCCAAGAUGGAGUUACAAAACCAAAGAAGAAUCAGAAGUAAUCCAUCUGGUGCAUCAAAUUUAAGAACCAAAAUCUCACACUAUGAUUCCGAUUCUGUUGAACAGUUUGCAUACUCAACUGAUAUAGAAGAAGAAUCAGAAAUCACUUGCAGCCAUGAUGAUGAUCACCCUUUAAACUGCAAAUUGAUGAAAGGAAAUGGAAAGAAUUCGGAAAUGAACCAACUUGAAGCAGAGCUUGAAGUCGAAUUAGAACGUUUGCAGUUCCAUUUAGAUUCAGAUAUUAUGUUCAAAUAUCCAACAAAACCAGAUGCAGAGGUAAUCCACCUUUGAGUAUAACAUAACUAUAGUCAAUUGCUUUUAGUUUAGCAUGAGCAUCGCGAAAAAAAGGUAUAAUUUUUUAUACUUGUUUUGUGGCAGAUUGUGGAUGAAUAUAGCUCAGGGGAAGGAAGCCAGAGCACAAAAUUUGCAGAGGUCUACAACCCUAACUGUGGCGUUCCUGCCGAAGAAUUGAAAAGGAGGCUGCAUGAGCUUCUACAGACAAGGCAAGAAGAAAGGAUCAAAGAACUGGAGUCAGCUUUAGAAUCCACCAUGCAAAAACUUGCAGACAAAGAAAAAGAGGUAUGUUGGUGGAGAGACACUGCUAAGGUCAUUUCUCAACAUGCUCCAAGUCGUCUUUCACUUACUAAGUUGAGUUAAAAACAACACCCCACCAACCUUGAAGGAAACUUUCCAAAGCUUUUUUGGAUAGAAAAAAUUAGGAAAAGGUUGAUUGCCUAGGAAAAGUGAACCUUUUUCCAUGUAUACAGUUUCAUGUAAAAGAAAGGUGAAGGAAAUAAACCACAACUUAUAUAUCAAAUACUAAAGUUUAGUUUGCAAUAGACUGAUAGUAUAUGGAGGCAUCAUGAACAAUAGCAUCAUCACUGGCUUAAUAACUUCCAUAAGAAGAAAUUUAAGCCCCUUUCGACAUGUUUGGUGUGAGCAUUUAAAAAAAUAAAGUAAUUAUCGCCAUGUAUGUGGCGGCAUAGAGACUACCUCAAUACAUAGGUUCUUUGCAACUACGAAAGAAACACAUGCGUACUGUUGACUGUUAUUAUUGGACAUGAAAUAUUGUUAAUGCAACAACAAAUGUGGGAUGACCUGUAAACUUUGUAGUAUUAUUUUGCUCUCUCAUUGAAUUCUUCCAGAAGUUUCUCAAUCGUCUUCCUUGAUACAAUUUUUUCAAUCUCGAACACCCUCAUCUCAGCAGGUAGACCUGCAGAAAAAAAAGCAAAAUAUGGCCUUCAAAACAAAUAUAAUCUUGAGAUGGAUCAAGUUCUAUAUGAAAAAAUAUAGCUCACUGACCUGAUUGGCGCAACGCUCUGAGUGGUAGUAAAUUUGCAUAGGAGUAGAUAAAAUGGAGCAGGCUUUUCAUAAGCUCAGCAGAUUCAGCUGAGACUAGAAUCUCCCUCUAAAAUUGAAAGCCAGGAACAUGAUUAGAUUGCUUGAACAUCCACAAAAUUGUAUCAAAUAUAAGAUAUAUCCAGAUUAUACAAGUACACACAAUACAUAGUCAUCUAUGCACUAUGAUCCUUCAUCCUAGUUUCUACCCUUAAUAUGUAAACUCACUGCAAAUUCAAGAUGUGGCCUUCUCAUGUUAUAGUUUACAGAAGCAUGAAAAAAGAAAACAAUUAUAGCCAUGAUCUCGUUUACCAAAAUCUGAAGCUGUUAUGCCAUCAUCAACAUCGGUUAGCAAGCUCCAUUUGGAUCAUGUUAAGUUCUCUUCUGUUUCCAAAUAUAAGUAAAGUCGCAACAAGAAUUUAGAAAUAACAGAUUUACAUUGUUUUAGAACACAAAUUUAGUACUAAUCCCCUAGGCACUAACAGUAUAAAGCUAAACUAGAAUGAUAUGAUGACAGACACAAAAUGGAGAAAGCACUCAAAGAGUAAGUCAGUAAACCUUGAAGCUCUUCUCUGCAUCAUAAUACCCUGAAACGAUCAAGAGGAUGUGAAGCUUCUCUAGUUCUGCAUAUACAAAAGAAAAUGAUUGUCAAGCCAAGCUGUGUUAUCUCUCUACUGUGAAAGUUAUAUUUGACAGAAGAGUUAUAGUAAAAAAAGUUCAAAUUCUCUACCAUCCCAGCACCCAGCCCCCUCAUCCUGGCACACAAGAGAAGAUGAACUCUUCCAGAAUGAUAUGAUGACAAUUAUCGUGUGAUUGGUUACUGACUGAAAUAUUAUGCUUCCAAACUGAAAAAGGGGCAGAAUCAAAUAACUUACGCUGGAAACUUCUUAUGUUUUCAGCUGAAGUAGAGUGAUGUGUUAAGAGCUCUCCUAUAGAUAUUCCAACUGAACUCAUUCCAAUAUUUGAGUUCCCCAUUCUUGAUCCUGUACCACCAGGUUUCCCUGCUUCCAACUCUGAAGGUCAGUCCACAUAAAUAGUACACUAAAAACGUCGUUGAAGUCAUAUCAUGUACAUGAUCUCAAAAUGUAAAACUCUUAGGAAGUUUCUCAAAUUUUCAAGUUAUCUGUAAAUUCUAACCAUAACAUGAUUACAUCAAUUUACUCCACAGAAGUCCGUAGACCAUUUUAUAGUUACUUCCCAGAAGAGUUGCUGCUAUCCAAAUAUUUGUCAAAAAAAAAGGAGAGGAAAAACUGAGUUUGUAGCCAGAUUUAUCCUUGCAUUAGGCAGGAAGUAGUAUCAAGGAGAUGCUAAUUACUUUCUAUAGAAGCGACUCAUAUCAGAAAUAAAUCAUCUAGUUUAAAGUGGCACACAUGGACAAGGCAUCUAUACGACAACAUACCAGUGUAAUCCCACAAGUUGUCAAUGAAAGCUUUAAAUAAAGCAUGGCUUUGAAAUGGAAAGGUUUGUAAUUAGGACAAAGAGAAGUUGGUGACAAUACCUGAUUUUGACCAUCUUUUAAUAUCUUUCCGUAAAACUUCUCCUGUUCUGGGGUCAGCUGCAUCCGAUUUUGGCAAAUUUAUAUUAUCUUUUUGUAAAACUUCUUGCAUUUUGGGCUCAGCUGUAUCUGACUUUGACAACUUCUUGAUAUCUUUUUGUAAAACUUCUUCUGCUCUGUGAUCAGUUUCCUCUGAUUUUGACGAUUUCUUAGUAUCUUUUUGUAACACUUCUCCUACUCCAUGGUCAGCUGCAUCGGAUUUUGAUAAUUUCUUAGUAUCUCUUUGUGAAUUUUCUCGUACUCCGGGGUCAGCUGCAUUGAGUUUUGAUGACUUCUUAGCAUCUCUUUGUAAAACUUCUCCUACUCUGGGGUCAGCUACAUUGAUUUUUGACAAUUUCUUAAUAUCUAUGUCUAAGACUUCUCCAACUCUGGGAUCAGCUGCAUCUGAUUUUGACAAUCUUUUAAUAUCUUUUCGAGAAACCUCUCCUCGUCUGGCAUCAGCUGCAUCAUGCAUUUUGUAUCUCACUGAAAAUGACAAAGUUUUAAUUAGGAUAUGAGUCUGAUCACUUGGAAUUAGAAAUCUAGGAUAGUUACUAAAUAUAAUGACUAUCAAAGCUGCAUAACCUACAGAUUUCAUAAAGACCAUUGCAUCCAAAUCGACCUGCCCCAUUUAUCAAUAAAGUGGUCAUGUACUUAUCCUUUGUUGUAGUCUGUGAGUUUGUCAAAUUUCCAGUAUCCAUGAGGAUACCUGCCAACUGCACAUAUAAUCAGAUUUAUACAGAGAUUAUACAACAGAAAGACAUUAGAACUUGCAUACACAAUGGUAAAUCAAGAUGUUGGAGUUAGUACCAGAAGUCGACUGAACCAUUGACCCACUAGUAUCUCUGGUGAAGUUAGUACAAACUUAUCAGCAAUAAGAGUGCAGCAUGAUGCCUCCUACAAUUAAUAAGUACAUAUAAAAGGUGUCAAGCGAGCUUAUAAGAACAAUCAUUUGGUUCCUUCCUGAAAAUUUGAUAUGCUUUAACACAUGAACCUUAGACUAACUCAACCACAAAAGCUAGCUCAUGAGAUGACAGUACUUUCUCCAACGUCUGCUAACUCCUGCUAUAAUUUCUCUUCUUAUUCUUAAAUUCAUAGGAGCACAAUGAAGUCGAACUUAGUGCUGCUUAGCAAUAUUAAUCUCUGUUAACUAGUUUAAGAGGAAGCUGACAUUUAUUGGUAUGUUGACUUCCUUUCAUAUUUGUAACAGAUUGAGAAAGAUACCUUCCCAAUGGUUACAGCAGCAACUGAAGAAUAAGGUGUAUCUUCCUGCAUAAACAGAAAGAUUAGAUUAUAGCCUCUCUAUUAAACAGAUUUUAUUACUUGACAUGACACAAGCAUAAUGGAGAUGCAAAAACAAGAAACCAAAAUAAAAGUAGACCUCUCUGCAAUUGAAGAUUUCAACCACUGCAUCCUUUAAUGCCUGAUACAGUAAGCAGUAUGUAAUCAUCAGUUAACUCAUUAAUAGGAAUUCAGCACCCUUAAAAAGAAUGCGUACCUCCUGAUUAGCUGGAAGCUUGCUACAAUUGACUAAAACAAGUUGAAGACUCCCAUAUAAUUCAUAGUAGGACAGGUCAAUCUGUUCAAAUAAUAUCAAGUUAUCAAUUUAAUAAGAAAAAAUUAGUUGAUCAUAUUUAGAGUAUAUUCCAUUCCUGGUUUUCAUUUACUAUGUGGACGUAAUUCUAGAGAAUCUAGACUUAAAUUUCAUUUCCUUUCCUAACUUUAUAUAUAGAAUAGAACAUACCUCAUCAACGAAAAUUAAGGAAGAUUCAUCAACAAAGCAAGAAUCAAGUAGCCAUUUGAGCUCAGCAUGAGAAUGAACAUCCGACCUUUUCAUGUUGAUGACAGGCACAGUGCAUAACUUGUCAUCAUUUAAUGUUUCAUUCAAGUAAAAAGCAUACAUUAUGGUUGAAGCAACAGAUCCAACAUCUGCAUCCAGAUGCAAACAAACUUACAAUUAAGCUCAACCAGUGUAAGACUCAAAUUGUCAGAUGGUCGCAGACACACUUCCCCCUGAAAUUGACUGUUCUCUAAAUUAGGAUUUGUUCCUUCUCUACUGCAGUAGAUGAAUAAUGCCACAGGACUAUAUAAGCUUAUCAAUUCUCUUUUUUGUUGUUGAAUUUGCUUCCAAUCUAUGUACUUCUAGUCCUAUAAAGUGGUACUUAAUGAAAGAGAUAAAUUUAAACAAUUUGCAAAAUCUGGAAAACAGCUAGUGCAACUUUCUCAAAACAUAAAGAUGAACAAUCAGAAAUACUAAUGCAUUUACUAAGCAAUAUCUGUACUAAUAAUGAAGCAAACUUGUAAAAUCAAAUGUGAUAUUACUAGGAUCUACUUCUUCAACUUUAGGCUUAGACCAUUUGUUACUUUGUGUCCAGAAGCCUCUUACUCUGUUGGAUUUUGCACUCAUUUUACUAAGUUUGUGUUUUCAGUUGGAGACAUCCUGGAUCCAGAAUAGUAUUCUUUGCCUAGUAUUUGGAUAAAUUUGUUUUCUACCUUGUUUAAAUAGAAUUGAACAUCAAGAAACUGGUCGUAAUAGAAAUUGUGCAUGAUCCAAGGACUUCCAUCUGAGACAUUGUAACAUGUUAAUACGGAGAUUACUGUUAUUUAGACAAUGAAUGGUUCAUGGAUGUUACCACAGCAGUCCGGUCCAAUCACUGCAUGCAAGAAUUGUGAUGGUACUCCUGCACUAACAUAAUCUCUUCUUGCCUUUAGAAAAAUAUUCAGCCUGUGAAUUCCUUGACAUGAUCCAAGAACUUCCAUCUGCGCUGAAUUUCCACAGUAGAACGAUGCUGCAGAUGGAGGAAGUGGAAUAUCGGAGACAGUUCUACUUUUCUUGGUCACAGUGUAAGAUCUUUCAUAGGCAGGCAAAGUCAAGCCACCAGGUGAGUGGUACUCUACAUCAGAUGAUUUUGGACUAGACUGAACUGAAGACUCAUCUACAUCAUGCAGAUCAAUCUUCAGACCAGUCCGCGGGCUUCUCACUGGAGGGGAAUUCAAUUUGGAUGCUGCUGACCACCUUACAGAUAAUGACCGACCAAGAGAUUCAUGUAUACCUUUUGAAGCUGAAUUAGGAGAGUGUCUAUCAUUAUAAACAUCAUUUUCAGAUAAUUUCACAGUAAUUUUUUUCUGUCCCCUGUUACCAACAUCAGAGGCUGACCUCGUUAUAUCAUUUAUAGUGACUUUUCUAAGGAUGUCUAAACCACUUCCUUUGUUAAUGGCUGUUGUUUCACCUCUUCGCAUUCCAUCGAAAUAAGGGUCAUCUCUGGCACGUACACAUUUUGCCUGAAAGUAUAGCAGAAAUAGGUAAUGUAAGUACUAAUGCAGCUAUCGGAGACCACAGACACACACUUAAUCAGGUACAAAUUCAAUAGAGCACUAAACUUUGUUUUCAUCUAUGCUAGAAGUAAUAUCAUGAACUUUUAUUCUGCCUUAAUAGACUAUAACAUAUUGGGACAAAUGAUGCAGUUUAUGGGAACAAAAUCUAAAGCAUGAGCUCCAAGCUCGAGCCAAUGGCGGAGCCAAACUUUUCAUGAAGGGGGUUCAAAUUAUGAAGAAGUAAAUACACGAAAAAAACCAAGAGGAUUCAACAUCUACCGUACACACAUAAAAUAUAUCAUUUUAACCAGGUAUACAAGUGUAAUUUUCCACCGAAUGAACUCCCUUACACCCACGUGGCUCCGCCCCGGGGGCAGCAUCAUAAUUAUUAGUUCCUCUAUCCCAAUGUAAGUGGCAUAGUUGGAAUUUCAAGAUUCAAACAUCAAAACUUUAAUUUUGAGUUCGAACCUAGAAGAUUCAAGUUUUUGAAAUAAAAUUAAAUAUUUGAAAACUAUGUAAAAACUUCUAUGAAUCACAAUAAUUAAUAAUUGAAAAAACAUUUUGAAAAAUCCGGAAAACUUGUCAUACUCUUGGAAUUUCAAUUUGCGUCACAUAAAUUGGGACAAAGGGAGUAAUUUCUAGAGCAGCCAAUGAGUGAACCAUGAGUUUCAGAUAUCUGUUAGGAAAUCAAAUAGAACAUGUAAAAAGGAGAUUCUAAAAGUACAUGAAAAAGGGUCUAAUAAAAAUUGAACUUUGAGCUACAAAAAUGUUAACUUCUCACUUUCUGAAAUUUCGCCAUUGGAGAAGAGAAAAAUGAUUUUGAGAAAGAAGAGAAAUAGUCUGUCAAAGAUAGGUAGAACCAAAGGCAACCCAAAUUUUAUGAAAAAAGAAUUAGAAUGAGACGGUUAAGAGUAAGAAAAAACAGAAAAUAAAGCCAAAAAUAGCAUCUUUGUGGAGUCCGCCAUUGCAGCUGCUGUUAUCAUACAAGACAGUUGAGCCAAAACAAACAAAUCUUGGACAUUUCGUUUAUUAUAAUCUCUUUAACACAUUCUUGAAUGUUUUCGAAAAUAUUCUUUCUACAUUUACACAUCACCCUACUCGGACCCCAUUACACUGAUUUAUGAAAAUAAUUAAGGUCCAAAGAUAACGUUGGAAUUAUAUGUUAUUUCAUCAAGCCAAUUAGUAAAUUGAUAUGAUAGAAAACUUGCAUAAAAGUUCUAGCUUUUUCACCAAGCUUUCUUUAUAUAGAAUAUACUGAAAACUUGAGAUCUGAUCUUUCUACUUCCAUCAAACCAAAAGCAAAAAAUUGGAUACAAAAACAUGAACCAAUUAUCAAUGAUAAGGAAUAUCAUUGAUGUCAACCAUGUUUCCACAGAGACCUUCUAUUUUUUCUCUAAUACAUAUGUGUCAAUACUUGGAUUGAUGGUUACUGAGAUGGUAAGCCCUCUAUCAAAAUUGUACUUCAUCACAAAAAUCUUUAUCUUCUAUUUCUUGUUUAAUGAAAGUGCUAGGCCUCGUAGCUCCUCGAAAGCUUGCAUAGUUUCUGCAUCAAAUCCUCCUGCAAACUGUAACAAUGGAGAUAAAAACUAAACUAAGAUGACAUUCACAACAAUUCAAUGCAGGUGAAUUACCAAUCUAUUCUUCAUCUGUAGUAAAAUCCUGUUAUUCACAACAAGACAGCAUUUACUAAUAUCAGACAAACCUGAUGAAUCCGGAAAGCAAAUCUCACUCCUUGGAGUAGCAUGUAGUCCAUGGAAGUGUCUUUAUCUAAUGGUCCUUUGGACUGAAGCUCCGCAGCUACCCUCUUCAUGUACACCUUAGCCAACUUCACAGAGCCAAACUUUAUCUGCAUAAUUUCUUUUGAAUUAAGUCCCAAUGCAAAAUGACAACUAGAUAUCAAGAAAAAAGGUACUGUAUUUUUUUGCUCAGUAUUCUGCAGAGGAGGACUUGCACAUAUGCAAGAAUGAAACUGGAAAUAGAUGAGCAAUUUCAAUAUUGAAAUGUUGAGAUACUGAAAAUGGCAUGCCAGGAUGUAACAUAAAGAUAAUGUACAAUCUUGAAACUCAUCAUCUGUCUCAUAUCAAUUUCUCAUAUUAUUCGGAUUCCCUUCUGGUGGUGAACUAUAUAACAUGCAUAAUACAGUUCACUAACUUCAUAAAUAAAAGUUUUUUAGGACAAUUUAACAUGUUAGCAUACUGCUUAGUUGUGUACUUCCAGUUCCGGCUAGUUAUAUCUCAUUAGAUACUCAUUGUAUCAUUCAAGCUCUAUUACCAUUUGAAGAUCUAAAUCAAUAGAUUAUUUUCUACUUGGAACAGUCAGAACUGACCUUGCUUAAUAUCCCAUUAUCAAGCAUCCAGUGUGUGGGGAUUUUGAACUCUUUGCAGUGGCGCAUCAAUGAGUCUCGUGUCCGAAGAAGGUUAUAGACACUACGUUCCAUCCUGCAAUGUGAAGAUUAAAUUUGGACAAUUAGGUGAAAGAUUUAACUUUCUUGGCAGAAAGACAAGGAGGUACCAAAUUAUAACACUACUUUACGACAAAGUAAGAGGUCAUACUUCUCUGACAAAGAAAUCAUCUUCUUUAGUGCAAUAUCACAUGGCGAUCGAGGAUCGUCCUUGUAAGUUGAAACUUCAUUCUCCAACUUCUUGAGAUCUCUAUAUCCAAAUGCUGCCUCCCUUAGUGUAUCUGCUUUUCUCUCUGGCCAGUCAAAGUGCUUUAGUACUGCCCUUUCAUCCACCUUCAGAACAGUGCAGGCGCAAUGAUCAAAAUUAACAGUAAAUUACAGACUGAAGCAUCUAUUUAAUGUGAAAUGAAAUAUAGCAGAUAUAGUUCCUCAACAUUUGGUAAAAUUUCCUGAGAACUGCAUUUUGCUACUAAGAAUUCAAUUGAUAAUAAUUACUGAGCUUAAUGUCAUACCAUUACAAUGAACUAGGAUAGAUGCAUGAUUUUUCUUUGAGUUAUUCUUCAUUUUCAUAUGAAUAAUACCAAAAAUUUUAAAAUGAGACAAUAACAAGCUUUUCGUUGCUGUGACAGUAGAUAAAGGCAUUCUUCUCUAUGCUGAUAUACUUCAUUAGAUAAUUAACACAUUGAACUUACCAGAAAGCAAAGUUCAUCAUCUAGCCAUUUCACAAAAGCAACCACGUCCUCGAUGUCUGAAUAAACUGCAUUAUUGACCUCUGCUAUCAGGGAAAUCACAAAUUCUGCUUGAGUUUCAACAUCUGCCCUUAUCUGGAAGUGGGACAAUAAUAUGCAAUCAGGAAUAAAAUUAAGUCCAGAGACUAAAUGAAAAAAUCUGAAACUUCCUUAUUGCUGGACUAGUAAUCAGAAAGGAAAAUCAGGGAAAUCCAGAUACAGUGGAUAUCUCAAGUCCUUGAGUGCAAUUUAGUUGGUCAUUGAUAUGGUUAGUGUGCCUUAUUGGCAAUAAUAGAAAUGAGAAGACUAGAGAGGAAGAACUUACAGCCAGCAAAUAAGAUGAUCUGUUCUCAAUUUCACCGAUCAUGCUACUACGAACGUCUGAAACACUUGACGCAUCACAUACUCCUCCAUUUAAUGAAUCCUUCCUCGAGUCUCUCUUCAUCAGUGAAUGAUAAAAUUCUACAACCUGAGGAGCUCUCUGUACCAUGCCUGAUGUAGUUUUCGCCAUAAGUUUUGGAGGUGGUGGGGGAGGAGGUGGGGGAGGUGGUGGUGGAGGACCAGGAACUUGAACAGAAUUUUCUCCUUCUUCUUCAAUUAAAGCAACAGAUGAAGGCCUUGGAGGGGGAUUAGGAAUCCGCAAGACACGUUUCUCGACCUCCAAAGGAUUGGUUAAUUUAUGUUGGGAAACAAUAGGCUCAAUCUCCUUUUCCACUUCCUUGGAACACAUAAAGACAUCUGAUUGCCUUCUCUUAUUAAAAAUCAAGUCCUCAACACAAAAUUUUGAUCCACUUAUCGAGUGCCUGCGAGUAGAACUUUGUGUAUCCUCCCAACUAUGAUUAAUGAUAUUGUCCGGGCUCCCUACUUGUUGCAUAUCUUCAUCAGUAAUAGGCCACUUCUUUAGCUUCUUAACGAGGCUUAACCUCCUCGCACUACUACAUUUUGAGUCCUCAUCACUAUGAUCAUAAGACAAGCAAAGUGAUUCCCUACUUUUCUCACUACCAUGAGGGCUAGAAGUCUUAUCACAUGUCAUGGACGAGCAGCUGCGCAACUCUUCUCGCAAACAUGAGUUCACCCACUUCAAGUAGGCAAGCUCCUCAACCUCAUUCAACCUACUCAUUUGAAGACCCUCAACUUGUUUGCAAAGGUUUUCAUUUUCAUAUCUCAACAAAGAAGCCUCUGCUUUAAUGUGCUCAAUUGUAUCUCCCUGAUAAGAAUAAAGUGAAACAAGAUAUAAUCAAGCCAGCCAAUUACCAAUGUUAGACAAAUUCAAUUUUUUUCGAUACGACAACAACAACAACAUACCCAGUGUAACCCCACAAGUGAUACGGGUUGAACCACAUUUUUCAGUAUAUCACUUGAAAACAAUUAGAGAAAACUAUGCAUUUUAGGCAUAUACAGCCAAUUAAUUCAUCAAGGUUAUUCAAAUUCGAGAUAUCAAAACUGGGUUUCCAAGAAAAUGCAAACUGGAUAUUCCUAUCUCAUAUUAGUUCAAUAAGACAAAGUAGUAAAGUAAAUACCUCUGGAACUUUUCCAACAAUGGCUAGCUGGGACUCCAUGGAAGACAGCCUGCAAGAUAUAUCUCUUUUCUGAAGCUGGAGCUCCUUAUUCAAGCGCCUCAACUCCACAACCUCCAUUUCCAAACUAGUCACACUUUUGAAAUCUUCCUUAUUGGAAUUCGUAUCUUGUCUCUCUCGAGCAGCAGUCAAUGAACUUAAUUGAUGAGAAAGGACUGCCUUUUCACAUUCCAUCAACUCAACUUUCUUGGCAAAGCUAUUAAUCUCACUCUUCUUCCGUUCGAGUUCCCUCUCGAGCUCAACCACCUUUGGACUCCUCUUAAAUUCAGAUAAUUCAGCCUGCAAUUUCAUUUCCCUCCCCUUUGAUUCUUGUAGCAAGUUCCUCAAAUGAUCAAUUUCAUUGAAUAGAUCACGCGAACCGGAAGAUUUAGUCCUGUGAAUGUUAACUGUUUGAGGAUGAACUUGAGAGGAAACGACUGAACAAGACAAGUCUCCCAUUAGAGACCUCUUCACCCUUGGCUGCGAAAUCCCAGAAGAGUUCUUCUGGUUUGAGUUUUCGUUGCCAGGAACCAACUCUUUCUUGGCAUGAAUUAUGGUCUGCAACUUGGUUUUUUUCUCCCCUGAGAAACCCUUCACAAUUUGAGAACCCCAAGAAGAUCUCACUUUUGACAUAUUGUUAUUCCCUUUUACAUUGCUAUUACUACCCUUUGGUGCCUUAUUUUGAUCAGCAAAUUUUGAAGUUUUCACUCUAUUCUCUGAUGAUUUUUCCUCCCCCAUUAUGAACAACUACAAAGACUCCUCACCCCUUCUACUCUACACCUUGAACAGUUAUAAACUCAGAAACCCCAAGUUUCCAUGGAUUAAACUCUAAAUCCCUGAACAUACAAAUGCAAUUUUCUCAUCAAAUAACUAAACCCCAAGUUUAAAGCUCAAAAAUGAAACCUUUUCACCAUAACAUUAGCUCCCGAAAACAGAGAGCUCUAAAUAGGUUUCUCAAAGCUCAAAAUAGACACACAAAACAUGAGCUCCAGAAAACAGAGAAAUCCUAAAUUAGUUAAUCAAAGCUCAAAAUUAAAACUUCUACACCAAAACAUAAGCUCCAGAAAACAGAGCACUAGUUAAUCAAAGCUCAAAAUUAGAACUUCUACACCAAAACAUAAGCUCCAGAAAACAGAGAACUCCUAAAUUAGUUAAUCAAAGCUUAAAAUUUAAACUUCUACACCAAAACAUAAGCUCCAGAAAACAGAGAACUCUAGAUGAUUUUAGCAAAGCUCAAAAACUGAAACUACUACACCAAGUUUCAGCAUUGAUCAUCACAGAUAUCAAAUGGGGUUCUUCAGUUGGAGCUCAAAACCGAAACUUUAUUACUAUAUGUAGUCUCUCUCUCUCUCUCCCUGAAAAGAAAGUGGACCUCAAAUUUAAUAACCUUCCCACUAUAAAAUCAAUUACCCUCAAAAGUUCGAGAGGUUCCCCUCUUUGUUUAAGCUGAAAAACUCAAAUGGGUUUCACAGGUAAUUCAAUUUUGACGAUUCUAAAAAAACCCUUUAAAAAGAAAAAAAAAUUCACUACUCAAAAGCCAAGAAAGCUUAUGAGUCGUGUUGUCGUUUCUGUGAUCGUGCGAACAAGACGCUCCUCUUUAAAGAGACAAAUCAUUAGUUGAAAAUGAGAGAAAGAAAAGGCUCAUACUUUGAGGAUUUCACUAUACAUUUCGAGAGAGAAAAAAAAGGGAAGCUUGUCGCAGCUUUAAUGGCUGUUUGAAUUUUGAAAUUUGAAUUUGUUCUUCUUCCUGCAUAAACUGAUCUUUGCCGUAGGAUUUUAGUUGGUCCCACCUGCUUACGUGUGAUGAUCUUAGAUGAACGGUUGAGAUUAGAAAUUUAAGAAAAAUGUUCUGCAACGGUCGAUUAAUUUGCAAAAUUAGUCAACUCUCCCACUACAAUUUGCUUUAAAAAUCCUUUUCAAACUAUGCCAAAUUUUCAUACCUCCUUCCAUCCCGUUUCAUAGUAGAUUUUGAUGUUGAAAUUUAAAGAUUUAAAUUUUUGAAAAUGCAAUUUUAAAAAUUUAAAUUUACAUUUUAUUUGAAAAGGAAAACAUUAUGAAUAACAGUUCGUGUAAACUCAAAAAUUAGUUUAAGCUAAUUUUUGACUACUGAAAUAUUAGCCUAUCAAAUAUUUGAAGAUAAAUUUACUCCCAAAAACUAACUUCGUCUUAUUUAUUUAUUGUUACUUCCCAAUCCAAAAUAAUUAUUAUUUUAUAUUUGGGCAUAUGAUUAAGCAGACUUGCGUCCAUAGUUCCGUGUAAUAAGAUCAUACCGCUAAAAUUUAAAGGUGAGUACAAGUGGUUAUAUUGAGAAUGUUGUAUGGAGUAAGAAGUAGAGUGUUAACCGAUCAAGAAUUUUAUAUGCUGGAGACGAAAUUUAAAUCGUAAGUGUCUUAUUGGAACACUUUACUAAGAAAAAUAAAAGAUUAGUAAUGAAGAUAUACAAGAUAAGGUAGAGAGUAGUUUCGAUGAUAGACGAGAUAUAAUAAGUGAGACUUACAUAGUUCAAAACAUAUGAAAAAAGAAAGCUUCUCUCUAUGGAUGGUUCAGGAGAAAUAGAGGUAUCAAAGAAAUAUUAAGGAAAUAUGAGCGGACAUGACAUGACCUAAUUAUAAUUUAUCGAGAACAUGAUCUUAGAGAUAAGGGUAUGAAUAACAUUAAUUACACUUGAGUGUUUAUCUAGUAUAUCCUUUUAUAGUAGUAAUUGUGGAAUUAUUCUUGUUGUUAACUGUUAUUCAAUUUAUGUUACUUUUUAUUGUUUUUUGUACCAGAUUUAUGGUCUUAUUUAGUUGUAGUUAUUGAUUUUUUUUAAGAAUGUGUUAUAUUUUUUAAAAAUUUCUUGCCGUGGCUUCUUCACUCAUGUUACUUCUUUUUUACUUGGACAAUUUUUGUUUCGAUAAUUUAUCAAAAACAGUCUUUCCGUCUUCGUUUACACUUACCUCACUUAAACUCCACUUUUAUGAUUAUAUUAAAUAUAUCAUUGUUGACCCAAUACAUAUGGUUCUUUUUUAAUAAAUAAAUAAAUUAUUUUCAUAUCUUUAAUUUUUUUUAAAAUUUUUUUUAAAGUUUAUUUUAAAAGAAUGUCUCUUUUCGUUUUUAGUAACUCUUUGAUUUUAAUUUUUCAUAUUAAUAAUUAACACCAUAAAAUUAAAAAAUAUUAUGAUACAUUCUAUUUAUCUUUACUUUAAGAUCACAAAAUUAAAAGAAUCUAUAAUUUUUUAAAUUUCAUAUCAAUUCAAAUUAUAUUUUUUUAAAAGGAUUGAAAUAGAGAAAGUACUAUAGAAGUAGAAUAAUAAAUUUAAACUCCAUAAAUCUCAAAUUUAAAUUCUUAAAAUUCUUUUCUAAUAAGUGGGGUGUUGGAAGCAAAGAAUAGCUUAAAAAAUUAGAAAUAAAUUACUAAUAAGUGUUAAAUAUGCGUUUGACAGUAUGAUUUGGGGAUUUUAAUUUGAAAUCAACAUUUAUUUAUGAAAUAUAAUGAAAAUCUUAAUUUUAUGAUCAUUUCUCUAUGAUUUCAAUUGCAUCUUCAUUUAAUUUACUUCACUGAUAGGCUCUCUAACAAUUCAAAACAACAUUUAAUAAUAAUCAGAAUAUUCCGUUAAUUAAUAUACUAAUCAAAAACAUUUUAUAAGUGUUUUGUUUUAAAAGAACGAGGUAUAUUUAUUUACUUUCAACAAAUUUCAUUUGAUUAUUUUUAAUGAUUGUCUGAAUUUCAAUUAUUCAAAUUUCUAUUUAUAUUAUUAAGUACUUAUGAGUAUGUCUUAAUCAUUAAAAUUUUGAACAAAUUUUUAAAAUCAUUAAUAAUAUUUCAUGUGAAUAAUCUUUACUUGUGUUCCUUAGGUAAAUCAUCAAUCGUCUUUAUUGUCAAUCAUUAGUCAUUACCAUCGACCACCUUUAUUAUAACAACUAUGACAAACUAUCGUUACUAUCUUUAUCUUUGUAAUAUAUUCAUUACCGUCAUUAUUGUUACGAUAAUCUCUAUUAUUAUUUCAACCACUAUCACCAUCGCGACCAAUGUAAUAAUCACCUCCUUCUUUGGAAGUAACAUCACCAUCACCUGGCAUCAAUACAUCAUUAACUAAUAACAUCAAUCGUCUUCACCAUUAUAAUCAUCAUCACAACCAACCUUCAUCGGCAUCAUUACUAGCCAGCAGAUAGCUACUAAACUAGCCAUUACAAGCACUUAGGGCUCGUUCAGUUUGAGUUAUAAUGUAUAAUAAUCUCAUGACAAAAUAUAGAAUUAUUUUAUCUUAUGUCUGAUCGGAGGUACUAGGUAGUCAAUGGACUAGUUAUUCUAUCAUUUUUAUUAUAUUAAUAAUAUAAUUUUUCUCUCAUAUAUAAUGAAAUAACUUAUCUCAAAAUUAGUUAUCUAGCGACAAUUUGUUUCCAAGCAAAUAACCCUUAACAUUACACUAUAAACUAAUAUCCGUUAUCAUUCCGAAACAUAAAUAAUCAUUUUGUUUGUAUUAAGCAAUACCUUAUUUUAUUAAAUUUAUGAAUUUUUUAAUAUAUUUAAUUAUUUUUAUUUAAUUUAUAUGUUUAUAUGCUUACAAAUAAAUUAAUUAUGCACAUAAUUUCGAUCAUUAACAUCUUAACAAUAACGAUUUGGACCCACCUGCUAAUCUCUACCCGUAUUUGGACCCGAUUCCGGAAGUGACCAAAACGGCUUUUGAGUUUUGGCUAACCAAAAAGCACUGAACAUUCAUAACUACAUGCCGGGAAAAUCCUAUCUUUGGUCGCCGGCGGCCGACGGAGCAAACCAGGAAGAAGAAGAAGAAUAAAGUGCAGCCUUUAAUGCGUGGUUGAGUUGAGAUGGUGGCAAUUAUCUUGACAGAAGCUCUAUUUGGAGCUUCACUUUGUACUGAUUUCAAUGGAGUUUUUGGUUCAAAUUACCUCCGUUGCCCUUGUUUUUCAUCAGGAUUUUCAAUUUCCGAGACACCCACUUUAGAAAUUUCUCUGGGAAAGAAAAAGGUUAAGAAGCAGAAGAGGAAUGCGGGUUCCAUUGUAGUUUCUUGUGGCUUAGAUAAUGUAAUUAAUAGAGAAGAGCUUGAAUUCAAGCCUUCAUUUGAUGAGUAUUUGAAAGCUAUGGAGUCUGUUAAAGAAAAGAAACAGAGGGAUAGUGUUAGAAGAAAGAAGAGUGAAGAAAAGGGCAAAUUUGUGAAGUCUGAGAAGGAGAAAUGUGUAGAAAGUUCUGAUUUUGUGGAGCUGAAUGAGAAAUAUGAAGGAGUUGGAGUUGUAAAAGAGAGUGGUGGUGGUGGUGGGAAAUUGGAAUUUAGAAUGGUGAAGAAUCAGAAAAGACAGAGCAUAAGUAAGGACAAGAAUGUUGAUGAGAUGGUGAGUAUGGAAAGAGAGGCUUUUAAGACAAUGGAUGGAGAUGUUUAUGAUAAGCCAAGAGUUACUAAGGCAGAGAUGGAAGAGAGAAUCCAAAAGCUUGCAAAGUGGUGAGUUAUUCCUAGUUUUGCACUUUGGUUAGGGUGAUUUCCCAUUUGAUAAAUUCCUCAUUUAGUGGUAGUGAUACUGUUUCUUUAACAUGUUCUGUUUUGUUUUAUUAUAUUGUUUUUAGAUGCAUGAAUUGAUUGAACCUGUCAUAUUUCACCUUGAUUUUGGUUUACUAUAAGGUAAUAUGGUUUACAUAUGAGUUGCUAGAGUAGUUUUCCUUGUUCUUUUUCUGGUAUAACCCUUCAUAACAUAGUGAGCUACCUGUGUAUACAGAGGCUAAGAGUAAAAUGACUGAAUAUGUUACAAGAUUAAAAUUGGUUUGAAAUAAUUAUUUGAAAUGUGAGCAAGUGGAAAUUUGUUGAAUGUGAAGAUAUAAAGAUAUACUUUUCGGACAAAGAAGAUAUAAAGAUAUAUUAGUUUUUAUUAGAAUUUUCGAGGGGAGAAUGGGAUUCAUUUAGGAAGAUGUCAAGUUUUUUGUGUUAUUCCAAAUAGGGAAGUAUGUGAAGUGUGGUGAAGUAUAUGGAAUAAGCAGAAUAGAAGAUUUGUCUCGUAAUAGUGAAAAUAAUACACUUGUAUAUUUGGGGUAGUGAGAAAAUACCAUGUUGUGUCAAUAAUUGGUGGUGGAAGAGUGAAGACGAUGUACGAAUCAAUCAGAGUACACAUACAUCUUGUACUCAUUUUUUUGGCACCUACCUGGUGUAUAUAAUGAAACUUUUUGACCUGUAUAACAGUAGUGUUUUGGGUUCACCUUGAGUAGUAAGGUUAAACUCUUGGAAAUUGUUCUUUUCCAUUAGCAGGUUACAUAGCUCUUAAGUGCUUCACAAUUAUGUUUAUGUUUAUUAUCAAAUAGGAAUAGGGAAAAAGGUGGGAAAUAAAUGUUGAAGAUAGCCUGGAUACUCAACUCUGGGGGUUAAUUUGCAAAGGAGCCGUUCCAUUAAUAACUGGUGAUAAUUUUGACAUUUUCGUUUCAGAUAAAAAAAAUUAAAGUUGAACAUAUUGAUGUGAGAUAGUGCGAUUCCCAUCGUUGGUGCUGCUUUAAGUUUGUAACAUGCAUGCGUUUUGCAUCAUGUAUUGUUUGUAUCGUAAGAGGUGCCAUCUCUUUAUGUCUAAAUAGCAUUUUCUUCUGAUGUUGUGUUAGUCUCUCUCGCCUGUACACUUUCCAUCUAGCAAUUCUUUCCCCUAAAUCUAACCGAAGUUGGCAUGCCCAAUAGGAUAAACAGUUGGCGAUGAGGCAUACUCUAGGUUGCAUGGUUGAGGCCAAUAUGGCAUGCCCAAUAAAAUUAUAGAUAGUCAACUAAGAUGGCAUACCCAAUAAAAUUAUAGAUGCAACUCAUCAGGACUUUUUGGUAAAAAGUGAGGGUGCCAAUACCUUAGAGGUAAAGAGACUGUUUCCGAAUAAGUUGAGUGUGGAAGAAACUCAAAAGAAAUACUAACUCUAACUUAACUUAGACUAUAUGUCUUAGAACAACUGGGAUAAUGGCACAUUGUUACAGAACAGUCGCUAGGCAUUUCCUCCAAUUCUGGUUUAAUUUGAAGUUUGUUUUCUAGAGUCAAAUGUUAAUUGGUAAAUUGUGUAAUCAUGGUUUUUCUUAAUGCUUUAUUGCAUCUGUGUGCUUUGUCAUGCUCAGUCUUUUUUCUCUUUUUUGGAUAAGAAUCUCUGAAAACUAGUUAUAUUUGACAUUCAAUGGUGCAUAAAGGAUAGCUAUAUGUUUGAGUUACACUUAUGGCCCCUCUUAUGCAUGCCUUACAGAAAAAGUGCCUUGUUUGUGAAGUUAUGAAAAUAAUUCAAUUCCCACAAUCUCCUUCCCAAAUUCCAUAACAAACACCACAGAAUAAAAAAAUGAAGGUUGAUGCUUAUCUCCCCAAAAAAGGACCUAUGUUGUAGUUAUUAAGGAUCCUCUAAAAUUGCUUAACAGUUGGCAGUUCGUUAGUAUACUCUUCUUUUCUGACUCGUAGUAAAAUAUUUUACUCGUACAGUCUAAAUGGUGCGGACAUUGACAUGCCUGAGUGGAUGUUCUCUCAAAUGAUGCGAAGUGCUCAGAUUAAAUUCUCAGAUCAUUCUAUCUUGAGGAUUAUCCAAAUAUUGGGUAGAUUAGGAAAUUGGAGACGGGUGCUGCAAGUCAUUGAAUGGCUUCGUUCACGUGAGCGCUUUAAGUCACACAAGUUAAGGUAUCUUUUCUGUGACCAUUUUUUCGUACUCCUUUAUCAGUAGGAAACUUGAUAGCCAUUUUAGUGUAUUGAGAUAGUGCAAGGUCUUAGUGAUUCCUGAAAUAUAUUCUGUAUUUUCUUGAUUUGGGAUUGUGAUACUGGUGAUUGAUUUAGAUGUGGUGCUGAUGCUUAUGUUACAGUUAGCUAUGUAUGAUGAUGUUAUCAUAAUUACUUUCAUAUAUGUGAAGAGGUGACAUAACAAUGCUUCAUUUCUAUAAGUUUGUCGGAGCUUUUGUUUUUGUUGUGAUAUGCUUGAUUUACUAUCUAUAUCUUCAACGGUAAUCAUUCUCAUGGAUCUUUUACUUCCUUCAAAUGUGUCGUAGGAAAGCAUUUUACAUGAAACUCUCAAAAGAAUCUACCUGAUCUUGUAAUUUUUCCUUUAUGAACCUUCUAAUAAUGUUCUGAAAUUGUUCUAAGUAUUGAAUUAUAUUUUCGGUGGCACAUCCUUCCGAUCUUUUGUUCUGGUUGGUCUAGGAUCAAAGUCUUUAAUGGAAAAUUGAUGCUGAUGGACCCUUGGAUUGAAUUCUUUUGCAAGAUAUAUUUACACGGCUGCACUGGAUGCACUGGGAAAGGCAAAUAGGCCAGUGGAAGCACUAAACUUGUUUAAUGCAAUGCAGGUAACACCUAUAAACUUUAUUUCCAUGACUUGAUCUCUCCUUUAAUCAAUAUCUUGUGUCCUAUUGAGAUGAUAGCUUGUGUGAUAUGUAACUAAUACAUCCAACCUCAACUCAUUUCCGUAGGAGCACAUAACAUCAUAUCCGGACCUUGUAGCUUACCGUUGUAUUGCUGUCACUCUUGGACAAGCAGGACAUAUGAAGGAACUAUUUGACGUCAUCGAUACCAUGCGGUCACCACCCAAAAAGAAGUUCAAGACUAAUAUAAUUGAGAAGUUUGAUCCACGACUUGAGCCAGAUGUUGUCGUCUAUAACUCUGUAAGUAAUUGAAGAGUACGCAAUAAGGGCCAUUGUUCUUGGUUAAAUGCACUUGUGGCUCUGACUGCUUUAUCAUUUGGUAUAAGAGAGUGAUGUUGUUUCACCAUCAUGCUGGGAACUUCUUCUGUUCAGUAAAGAAUGAGAGUUUAGCAUCUUCCCUAUUUUUAAGGAAAAGAUAAUCGAGAUAGACACAAGAAAAACAAAGCAGAAUUAGAAGCCAAACGAUAAAAAAAUUCAGCUUGGCAUUGGUAAUUUAUCGUUGCUAUGUCUGGAAAAUUGUACUUACGAUCUAUAGCUAAAUGGUUAAUGCAUCAGUAAUUCCCCCUUUUAAUUAGCACUAUAUCCAGUAAUCUAUGCAUCUCUACUUUCCUGUGGAAGCUAGGUCCCAAAAUUUGAAGCAAUCAUUUUAACUCAGUACUAUUGCUCCCUGCAUGCUAAACUUGUUUUGGUAAAAUAUGUUUCCUUGACAGAGUUCGUUUUUGAACUAUAAACUCUUCAAGUAAAUAAAUACAUAAGAUAAGGAAAGGAGAGGAGACAAUCAUAAGGGUACAUCCAACUAUGUGGAGCUCUUCCUAAUGAUCUGUGACUCGGUCUUGGUUGAAGUUCUUGUGUAAUUUUUGUUCUUGAUGCUAAAACGUGCUGCAGUCAUUUUCUGCUGGAAGUCAGUAUAUUUCAAUUUGGUUCAAAUGCUAACUCAUGAGAAUGAUUUUGCUCUUUGCUUGUAGGUGUGAGUAUAUUUUUUGUUGGUUCAAAUGAGAUGACAGAUUUAUGAGAACAAUUUUGUUCCUUGCUUGUAGGUGCUAAAUGCCUGUGUUCGCCGUAAAAGCUGGGAGGGUGCCUUUUGGGUACUGCAACAGCUAAAGCUCCGGAACGAGCAGCCCUCAAUGACAACAUAUGGAUUAGUCAUGGAGGUAGUUGUCUUCUUAUUUUUUUCUGUAGGUGUUUAGACUUUAGUGUGGGGUGACAGUUUAGAAGGCUAUCAAACCAUUGGGUCUUUUUUGUAUUUUCUCUCUUAACAAGGAGUCACUUCCACCCUAAUUAGCUUCAAGCAGCUUAGCUCCCAUGGGAGGUUUUCGGACAUUUGUUGGCAAAUACUUACAUGAACUGGCAUCUCAUGUUUUGUAUAACCCUUAACAUCUGGCAGUAAUUGGUAUAUGCUGUCCUUGAGAUGGGAAAUUACAUUGCUACAUUUUUCUUCUUAUGAUGUAAUUCCUGUCUUCAUCAAAGGAAAAAUGAGAUUAAGUACAAGAUGACAUAAUGUGUUUGGUAUAGCUGGUAUAACAGAGAGCUUCUAAGAGAUACAUAUCCAUAACACCUCAUCCAAAAAAAGAAGAGAUUUAUAUCCAUAACAUCAGAAGAUUCUUAUCUUUUUUAAUAGACCCUUAACUCGAGAAUAAGUGUCAUCUUACACCUAUAUGUCAUAAUAAUAUUAAUAGCCAAGUCCCUUAAGCUCCAAAAAGCAAGCCGGAGAUCUGGAAGCUUCUCGGAUAUCCACUUGCCAAGGAAAUUAGAAGAGCUAUUUUUCAUGAAGUAUGUCGAAAGACCUCUACACAUGUAAAUGUCCAACUACAAAUGGACUUCAAUUUGGAAAAAGAUAACUAUUGAUCAAUUUAAUAGUGAUUAUAUUUUGAAAAACUGUGGUUAAUAGUGUAUCCUACUUCUUACUUCUGAUGAACUUUUCAUGAUAUGCAUCUUUUGUGCUUUAAAUUUUAUUUUAAUAUUUAAGCUAUAAAUGAGAGAAGAAUGAAGAACCUGCUGCAUAUUGCAUAUUUCAACAGAGGAGAAAAAAGAAAAGGAGAGAGAAUCUUAUAGCACAGUAAUCUAGCUGAUUGGCCCCCUUUACUCAUUUCUUCUAUUGUUGUGAAAGGACUGUUUCUUCUUUUACUUCCCUUUUUUAAAAUACUUUUGGGUUGGUGUGGGGUAUGGGAUCCCUCUAUGCAGGCUUUAGUGCUUGCCUGGAACAUAUUAGUUACGGAAAUAUGUUUGAUUAUACUAGUAGCUAAACUGAAGUGUUCAUUCAGGUUAUGUUCGAAUGUGGCAAAUACAAUUUGGUUCAUGACUUUUUCAAGAAAAUGCAGAAGUCAUGUGUUCCCAAUGCUUUGACCUAUAAAGGUAAUGCAGAAACAUGUGCUUGGUUGACAUGCUGCAAGGAAUUUUUGCUGAAUCAAGUUUUCUUUGAUGCGUGUAGUUAUUGUGAGUACUCUUUGGAAGGAAGGGAAAACAGACGAGGCCUUACUGGCAGUAGAAGACAUGGAGCGACGAGGAAUCGUGGGCACUGCCAGUUUGUAUUAUGACCUUGCUCGUUGCCUUUGUAGUGCAGGGAGGUGUGAAGAGGCGCUGAUGCAAGUACGUUUCUUGUAAUAAGCUUCAAUUGAUCUUAUUCUAUUAUGCAAUUCUGUUUCCGGGCCCAAUGAUUUAUCUUGAAUAUUCAUAUACGCUAUUAGACAUCAAAUGAAAGGACGUCAUCACGUUUCAGUAAAGUUGUUCCUUCAUCAAAAUAUUUCAUUAUGUUUCUGACUAUAUAACAUUUAGAAGCAAAAUGCAAUUGAUACGAAGGUAGCAUACAUAAGUACGUGAAUGUCCUGAUUAAAAAGAACAUAAGUACGUGAAUGCAAAUUCACUACUAUUAUUCUUUAUAUGAACUGCAAAAAAAUAAUCAUAAGCUAUCUGUAGGACUGCAAAAACACCCACAAGAAACCUAAGCUUGUACUCAAUCCUCAUAUAAUUCAAAAUUCUAAGCACUGCUUGUCUGAAAUUUUCUCAAGUAUUUUAUGUUUUCUGAUUUGUUACUUCACUCAUAGUUUGCUGAAGAGGUUAGUGCUCUUUUUGUUCAUCAAGAAUUUCAUCUGUGUGCUAGGAGAUCCUACUAAAUUCAUCCUUGAACAAUCAAUAACUGUGAUGGAAUGAAACUUCAUCUCAUACUUUUUCAAGUGAGUUAAAUUAAAAUUGUUACAUUCAUUUUCAACCGAGUGAUAUUCAGGACGUUGUUGUGCAGUUCAAAUAACUGGUAUUAGUUCUCUAGAUUCCAUGAUCGUGUAGCACAUGAAACUCUUGUUGAUUUUGUCAUCCAUGAAACUGAUUAGUCAAGCCCAUUUUAUGUGGACUUUUGAGCAUCCCAUAUUUGGUGUUAGAGUGGGUAAAAGUCCCACAUUGGUUGGGGAAUGGACUGGCGGUCUCCUUAUAUGGACUUGGGCAAUCAUCCCCUCAAAAGGAAGCUUUUGGGGAUGAGCUAGGCCCAGGUGCCAUAUCUUUACAUGGUAUCUGAGCCAGGUCCAUCCCCGUUUAGGCUCCCAGUCCACGCUCUAGUCAGGCCUGGGCGUAAAGGGGGGUGUUAGAGUGGGUAAAAGUCCCACAUCGGUUGGGGAAUGGACUGGUGGUCUCCUUAUAUGGACUUGGCAAUCCUCCCCUCAAAAGCUAGCUUUUGGGGUUGAGUAAGGCUCAGGUGCCAUAUCUUUACAUUUGGAAAGCAGGAUUUGUCUCGGAUUGUCCCUGUAGAUCCAUUGCGAUAUCCAUUACCUUUACGGCAUUGUUAAAUAUGGGACUGUUGAAAUUCCCUCAGUCAUUGAAUAAGAGGUUUUGAUUGAUUAUCAAGGAGCAAAGAAUUUAGGCCAUAAUACCAAAGAACAGAUAACUUAUUUAUACUUACAUGAUUUGUGUUGAUUAUCUCCAGAAAGACCUUUCAGUUAAAUACUAAUGUUCCUUCUAUCUUUGGGUCCAUCUUCUACUGUGGAACAGAUGGGAAAGAUAUGCAAAGUUGCUACGAAGCCUCUAGUGGUGACUUACACUGGUCUAAUUCAAGCCUGUCUGGAUUCUGGUGACAUUCAGAGUGGAGCAUACAUCUUCAACCACAUGCACCAGUUCUGCUCCCCAAAUUUGAUAACUUAUAAUAUAAUGCUAAAAGGUUAUCUAGAUAGUGGGAUGUUUGAAGAAGCAAAGCAAAUGUUUUUCAAGUUAUUGGAUAAUGGUAACUCUAUUAGCAGUAAAUUGGACGGUAAGGAUAAGGUUUUCCCAGAUGUCUACACAUUCAACUUGAUGUUGGAUGCAUGUGCUGCUGGAAAGAAAUGGGAUGAUCUCAAGUUUGUGUACUCACAUAUGCUGAAAUAUGGAUACCACUUCAAUGCAAAGCGUCACAUUCAGAUGGUACUUGACUCCUGCAGGGAUGGAAAGGUACACUUUGUCAACCCAGUAUUCAGCCUUUCAUGUUCAUUGGUUGUCAUUCCUAGGAAAUUCCCAUAUGAAAUUUUAUUUAGCUGAUCAUGGUGUAGACUGUCAAAUUAUUGUACAACUUUCUGUUUUGUUGAAAUAUAACUAGCUUUUCUUUAGAGAAAAUAUUUGAAAACUGAUCCGCCCCCAAUUUUCUGUAAAUAAUAAAACGAUGUAACUUAUGUGUCAAAAAGUAGUAGUAUGAAACUUGUGCACAAAAUUGAAUCAGACCAGUACAAUAAAACUAAUUCUUUUCUUUCUAUAUUAUAAAAACUAAUUUGAUCUCUUUAUAGUCUGUUUAAGAAAAAAAUUGUAAGUUCUUGCUAUAAUAUGUGUCGAUGAUUUUGGGUAAUAAUAGAGAUCAACACACCUAGGAUUGUUACAGCAAAGAAAAGAAGCUUUUUUAAUUAGUUUCAUCCUUUAGCCAAGUCUUUCUUGCUCAUACAAUACCUCCGGAUGUUUUUGUUUUCCUUCUGUGAGAACUAUGAGUUAUUUGUUUCCUCAUGUACUUGCUGAAGUAUAACUGAUUAGUUGGGUAGUUCUUCACCGACCUAAUUGGUAUUAUGGAUGUGAAGAUAAGAGCAUGAUCGUCAGCACUCGGAAUUAUUUUUGUUGGCUGAAGGAAUUAAGAGGAUGUUCUGGGAUGGAAAAUGCUGUCUUAACUUGUGGCCAACAAAUUUCUUGCUGGAAUGAGAAACCAGUGAACACAAUGGGGUUUCUUUUGAUUACCAGGGUGGCAUACGUGGAGUUCAAAUUGUUUUCAAUUUGAUGCCAGGUACUAUGACAAGCCAAUGGUCUGAGAGUUAUCAGCUCAUAUGUCACGUACCUUUUGUGAUUGUCUACCUACUGCUAGGAAUAAAAAAAAAAUAGAGAGAGGAGUGGUGGUUGGCACUCUCUUUUCCCUGUCAGUGCAGGACGCAGGGAAGUUUGAGUUAGAAGGUAGCUUGGGCUUGAGAAGAUACUUUCUACUACAUAAGGAGCUUGACUGGGUUGCUUGAGAAGCUUCCUGAAUCUCUUUUUUCUUUUUUAUACAGCUGCAUCCCGUUUUCUAGUUCUGGAGUGAAAUAUUAUGGUUUUUUAGUUUACUGGGAACACACCUCGAACUUCCCAAUAAUUUCCAAGGGUGCAACUACUAUCCUUUUAUCACUGUAGAGCACAACGUUGUGACCUAGUGGUCAGUAAAGACAUCUAUGAAGACAACAUUAGGUGGUAAUUCUUCCCAUCUUUCUAAGCUUUUGGUGGUCUGAAUACCACCUUUACAAAAAUAAAAAUAAAAACUAUCCCUAUUACCGAAUGACAGUAUCAUUGGUUUGUCAUAUCGAUCUUUUGGGCCAGUAUACUAAAGUGAAUCUAAGGUUGUUUUGGUUUUACUCUGACGAUAUCCCACUUUCAUUUCUUUAGCUGAUGAUAGUUAAGAGUUAUGACUAUUCUACACGGACCUUUUCAGGUGGAAUUAUUGGAAGCAACAUGGAAGGACUUGGCUCGGGCUGAUCGGGUUCCACCAGUGCCACUAGUCAAAGAAAUGUUCCGCAUGCAGCUGGAAAGAGGGAACAUUGCUGCUGCCCUGACUUGUGUUACUGAUUAUCCUCCUGCUGAGUCUCAGGCAUUUUCUGCCAAGUUUUGGAUGAAGUUUUUUGAGGAAAAUUCUGAUCAAUUAUCAGACGGUACGCUUUUCAGAUUGCUACAAGAGGUGAGCCGGAUUGUUGCCAGAAAUGACAGCAAAAUACUCAACAAUCUAAUGGCUUCUUGUAAAGAAUUUUUGAGAACUCAAUCGACAAAAGUAGAUAGAGUUCAUAGUGAAACAGCUCUAGUUUGUUAACUUUGCUACAGCCCAAAAGAAGAAAAAUCAUCAGAUACUGAUCUGUUCUUGAACAAGUGCUCUAUUUGUUAAGAGUUAAGAGUCAAGUUCAUAAUCAACUAUUCUUUAUCAGUAUAAUCAUAUUUGAUUGUUUAGUUCAGCAAGAAGUUAUUGGAAAGAAUUACCUUUGCCAAAAUUGAUUUCAAAUUGUUGGAAAUUAUCAAAUAUACAGAAUUUAUUACUGAUAUGGUCGAAGCAACUUCCAUUUCUCCAAAAGUGGAGGCAAUUAUAACACCCAGUUUUCUAUAUACAUCAAGAAUAAACACGCAACAAAUUCAAAUGAGCAUAGAUGAGGGACGAAGCUAUACUGGCCCAGAACUAUUAUUGAUCUAAAUAUAUGUUUUACUAGACUAAGAUACACAUCAUAUAUGACUGGAUAAAUAGGCUGACUAAUACACAAAACUGUGUCAUGUAAUUCAAUCUAGAUGAACGAAAAAAUAUAGACCCCUCUUUCGCUUCCAAAAAAACUACUCUAGCAAUACUAAAAAUCCACGACAAUGUUAAGCUGUGUGAUGGGGUUCAUGUCGAUCUUCCACAACGAUAAGUUGUCAAUGCAUUACGAAGACUUGACCAGAGAUGAACCAUAACCAUUAAGGUGUGAUUUCUGCCAUCUCCAUGCAACCUGCAAACUCUCUUGAAGAUCAGUGUGUUGGGCUGUCCAGUUCAGUUCAAGUUUUAUCUUAGUAGGAUCACUAAAGACUUCUGCAUAAUCACCAGGGCGACGAGGAAGGAAGUCAACUUUGAUAGGAACUCCAGUGGCUGCCUUGCAAGCCUCCACAAAUUCCUUCACUGAUCUACCUGUUCUCAGAGACCAAAAGAAUAAAGUGAGAACUAGACUCAAAGUGAGAAACUGCAUAUGAUGACACAAGAAGGAACGCCUUACCUCUUCCGGUUCCAACAUUGUAGAUUCCCACCUUCCCAGGCCUAGACUUUUCAAGAGCUUUCACAUGAGCAUCAACCAGAUCAGUGACAUCUAUAUAAUCCCUAAUGCAUGUACCAUCUGUUGUCUUAUAGUCUGUUCCUCUAACCUGCACGACGAAACAAAGGCUCUCAGAGAUGAGGGCAGAUCAUAACUAUUCAUGUUAUCAUUGACACAUUCCAUCCCCCCCCCCCCCCCCCCUCAUAGCCCAUACUAGAAGAAUUGCUGAUAGAACAGCGGAAUGUUUGUCUUUUACAUGUUAUUAAGAGUGACAAUGGCAACUGGGUAUCAGAAUAGUGUAGCCAAUAAACUUUAUCUGUAUGAAUUUCACUCGUAAGAACCAGAUAUUUUCUGGUAGAUAUUAGAAAUGCUCCAUGCAUGAAGCGACUUCUGACAAUUCAACAACCGCGAGUACAUAGAUGAUAAAUAGCAAAUACAUCGAGUAUAGAUAUGGCUAUUAUUGGCUGACCUUGAGACCAGGUAUGAUUCCACGAGCUGCAUCAUAACAAGCACCAGAAAUUCGCCCAUGUUCACGAAGUUCAGGCCGGGGAGCUUCUCCUAGUCUUCCCUCUGGAUCAGAUCCAAUCACAUUGAAGUACCUGUAUUUUCAGAAAACAAUUUAGCAUUAAUUUAACCCAUGCUAAUUGUGCUAGACAUAGCCAGUCAACCAAUAGUUAUGACUCAGGUUUCAACCAUCGAUCAAAGGGAAAGGGUAUAUUAGCAAAGACAUAUCGAACACCUACCUCAAAAUCAUGACAGCCAUGUUUGAGUUCUUAUGGAAAUCCAAAAUAAUAUCCUCUGCCAUUUUCUUCGCUUUUCCAUAUGGAUUAAUAGGGAGCUGCAAUUUGACGAAAAACUCUCAGCUGUUGCUUACCAUUGACAUAAGAGAGAGGCAAUCAUACGGUUCUAGCAUACUAGAAGUAAAUACGGCCUUUACACCCCACCUGUGGAGUUUCUUCGGUAAUAGGCAUCUUUUCAGGCUCUCCAUAUGUCGCACAUGUACUAGAGUAAAUCAAUGUGGGGACUCCAUGAGCUGACAUAGCUUCUAAGACAGUGAGCGUAUUUGAAGUAAUGUUGUGAUAGUACCUGAUUGGAACAUGCAGCACCUCAUGAAAUAUGAGUUUCAGAGGACAAAGGCAAAUAACCAAAUUACCAGAGGAAUAUUUAACUUUAUACAGUAUCACGACAUGGAAAUUACUCUGAAUUUACUCAUUAAUGAGACAUGCUAGCUCCUUUGGUUAGAAAUAUUUAAUCCUAUUAAGUUUGAGAAAAAUGAUAAAAAUUCCAAGCCCCCUAAAGCAAAUUGCACUUUUCAGAUAAGAAGUCACAUAAAAUUACACAUACGAUUCAAAGUAGUAAUACUCAGUGUUUUGGAUGGCAAAAGGUGAUAAAGGCGAAAAGGGUCUGCCUUGCCACAAGGCGAGGCGCUCGCCUUUUUUAAGUGCGACCCAAUUAAUACCAAAAAAUUAAAAUAUUUAAUUGCAUAUAUAAAUAAUCAAAAUUUCAAUAGCAACAAGAUAUUAGCAAAUAUUUCAAUUCAAAAACUAAAAACAGAUUGUACAUGAUUAGAACUUGAAUGAGUAAAAAAUAGAAGAAAAAUCAAAACAGAGAAAAAAACAAAGGGUAGAAGUGACUCUGACGUUUGAAGAAGAAGAAGAAGAAAAAGGAAAUCUGAAGAACGAACAAUGUAUUGGCUGAACUUUGGAGUCGCUGGAAAAUUCUGGCUGGUCGCUCGAGGAGUCUAGUCGAAAAUCCUAAAAUUACCUUUUUAACUUUUAAAACCCUAAAUUGGUUACCUUUUAUAAGAAAAUACAAAAGGCGACACCUUUCUCGCCAUGGCGGCGCCUUUUGAAGAUUGCCUUGCCACAAAGCUAAAAGGCAAUGAAGGGUUGCCUCGACUCUCGCCAUUGGCGACGAGGCAAUCGCCUUUCACAACACUGGUAAUACUAGCCUUAAUUUGCUUGUAUUCGGAGUAAAACCAAUCAAGGCAGGAAAAAAUAAUGUUACAUCAGUGAUACAUACAACCAACUUUGACAGAGAUGCAAUAUCUGUACAUACUUGAUGCUUUGGCUUACCCUGUAAAAGAUUUAGUUCUCUAUUCCUUGCACAAUGCACCAAGUGAAACACUAAUUCACAUUUAUUUAUUUAUUUGAAUGCUAACUCUCCAUUUACAUGUUACGAUGGAAAGCUUUACAGAAAGAUCAACUAUACUUACUUUAGAGGAUCGAGGGUGCUCUCUCCGACAUAUGCUACAGCUGCAAAAUGCAUCACAGCAUCAAAAGCAUUCUGGGAGAAUAUCUGGUGGACCUGCUCAUUUCAGUUAUGGAAAUUAGUGAAUGUCAAAUAACAAUAACAAUAAAGAAGGUAGUUUCAGAACAGCUGCAGUUUACCACUUUUGCAUCCCCCAAGUCAGCAUAUAUAAACUGAAGCCUCCCUGGUUCAGGAAAUAAUUCCUGCAGAAUCCUCACAGCUCCCAUAUUUCCUCGUGAAAGGUUGUCCUGUCGAAUUGGUAAAUCAUUUUUCUUAUUGAGUGUCUCAUUUACGCAUUUUCAUGCUCAUAAGACCAUAAAGUGAAGUUAAAAGUAGAAAAAAGAGUCAUUCAAGAAUGACUGUCAAAGGAUCUAAUCACAACUUCAGAAGGAGAUAUUACCACUAUCGUCACCCGGUAAUUUUCUUUUAAAAGUCGUAAUGCUGCAUGGGAACCAAUGUAGCCAGCACCUCCGGUGACUAAGACAUGAACAACACCUGGUUGAUGGCGAGAGAACUAGGAGAAAGCAUCAACAAGAAAAAACAAACACAAUGAGAACAAAGCUUAGAAUUUCAAAACCAUAAGAACUUCAAUCUUUUGUAGCAAAAGAAAUCCAAUGCCAAACGGACUUGGCUAUGGGCACACAUUUGGUGCAUCUGAUACGGAUACAUGCAGAAAUUUGUUAAUUUGUAGUACAUUUGAAAGUUUGAAUUAAAUAUGUACACCUUUUUCAGACCUGUUCAACAAGGAUAUGUCAAGGCAAUGAAAGAUAGAUGCAAACAGAAUCCUAAAUAGUAAGAUGAAAAGGAUUAAAUAUUUAGAAUUUUAAAAUCCUUCUUCAUCUUACACUGUACACGGCCCAUUAGUACAAACUAUGAAAUAGAAAUUGGAGAUAUUGUAAAUUGAGAAAAGUAAACUGGAAUCCUAAACUGCUUAAUGGUACAGAAAUUUCAUGAUCAACAGAAGAAUGCUUGUAACAUGAAGCAUGAAAGAAAAAGGGACUGAGAAGAACUCAAGAAAGCAGCAAAUAGUACUCUUCCGAUUUCAAAGGUUUCCAACAAUUGCAGGAAAAUAAACAACUUGGCAUUUCUUAAGUGUAAUUAGCUACUUGGACCGAGAGGCUGUAGCUAUCAGGAAACUGCCACAAACCAAGAUAUAUUACCAAACUAGUUCUCCAGUUGCCAUUGCUUGUAAUGGUGCAAGUGACAAUGUAGUGUUCCACAAAAAGUAGAAGUAUCAAUAUAUCCAAGAUCUGCACAAACAGAACUUAAUGCCACGCCAGCCUUCUAAAUGACCACCCACCAAAAGCAGAAGUAGACCAUCCACAAGUAGACAGUGCACUGAUGUGUACAAAAGAGGUGAUGUAUCCAAGUUUCAUAUAUAUAAGGACCUUUCACCAUUAUUUGGAGAAGGGCACAGGAAUAAAGGCAUGGCGGAGAAACCUAAUUGUCACUACUCUUAGUGACACGGCAGUUACAGCAGCCUUUGUGUCUCAGCUGAUUGGACUAAGAUUUAAGUAAAAGAUUCCAAGCAUCCUAUACAUUAGAGAACAUCACUUUGGUUGGUCAAUGGUAAGUUACAUUGAUAAUCCAAUAGUUGGUUAAAUAUUCCCACUAUCUUAAAGAAACAAAGACUCAGAACUUGUAGAAAAGAACAAAUGUACUAUACAACCAUCUCAUGUCAAAUAAAAAGUACAAAAGAAACCCAUGCUAGUAAUGACACAAGAGAACAUGCAGUCCAUUAUAUAAAACUCCAAAUAUCAAACUGUCAAUCUAAUCCAAGCAUAUAGACACAAAACUGAGAAAAUAAUUCAACAGAGGAAGGAUCAGGGAAUUACUGCACUUGGGGUAUUAAAAGUUGGAGACUGCUUGAGCAUAAGAAUGCAUAGCGCUGUUAGCACAGCAGCCAUAAGAAUUUUACCCACAAAAUUGCUCUUCUUCUUUGGGUCUGCAUAAUCCAUGCCUACAAUCACCAAAGCAAGUAAUAGUUUGAGACCCUAAAAAUAAGUGUUAUUCACAAUAAGUAAGAACAAAGAAAGAUCAUUGACCACAUUGCGUAACCAUCAGCAGAAAUAUAUCCAAGGACCACAAUUGAAAUGUUUUACAUUGACAUCAACUGCCUAGCUGUUACUAAUACAACUUUCAUGAUUUAACCAAAUAGAACCAGCCAAAUGUGAUAAGCGUUUCGGGUCAUAAAAAAUUCUACCCAGAAACAGAAUGUAUAUAACAAGAAAAAGAAACAAACUACUCCAAUGAACAUGGCUCACCUCCUAGAGACAUAGAUCUGCUAGACCUUGUUUGAGCUCUUCCCCUGCCCAAGCCUAGCAUAAUCUCUCCAAUGCCAAAUAGGCAAACAAUCAAAUUAGAUUAUCUUAUUACUUGAAACUACUGAUCAAGUAAGCCCCUUCUUUGUAUGUGGAACUGUUAUCAGUCUGCAGCAACAAACAUAAGAAUUUACUCUUCGAUUAUCAUUAUUUAAAAACUCAAACACAGAUUACUAAAACUUAACCCAAAAGCUAAACAAAAAGCAAUCAAUAACUGGGCCCUGUCUCAAAAAGAUGGCCAUAAUUAUCAAAUACUCAGAUAUGAAGUUUGUCCCUUCCUUUGCACCCCACCCACCCCCAAAUCAAACUUCCAGAAAAGAUCAAGUAAAUUGAAAAAAAUCCCGUUCGUAAUAAAUAACCUACUUGUAACCAAGAACGAAGAAAAACAACAAAUUUCAAAUUUCCCAAAGGAUCUGAGUUGAAAAUCCAGCAAAAGAAACAGCAUUUCAGUUGAACUGAAACCUGAAAUUAAGUUACGACUUUAUCAACAAUAUUCCCACAUAAAACUAACAAACCCCAGAAAAUACCCAGAAAAGAACAAUUCUUUCUCAUUCAAGAAAACUCAAACCCAGAACAGAAAACACCAAAAACAACCCAAAAAUACAAUCUUUUUUAUCCAAUUUAACCCCCCCCCCCCCCAAAAAAAAAAACCAUACCCAUUAAAGAGAAAAAACAACACAAAUUCCAAAAAGAGAAAUCACUAACGUAGCAAACCUGCAGCUUCAAUUUCCAAAACUGUACAGUAAAACUCCUUAUGAUCAAGAGAUCUAUGAACUAACAUAUAAAAAAUAUCUUCUAAAGAAAUUUAUAGUAGAAGAAAGAGAAUUGAGUAGAGUCCACGAUCAUGUUUAUUUUGGAAAACAAAAAAAAAAGAAAACGUACAAAGAGGGAGAAGGUUCAGUGUAUCGGUAGAGCUGAUAAACAACAAACAAAGUCCUUAGUCUCUUGCGCGUAUACUGAUUUAUUUAUUUGUUGAGAAUAUCAAGUCAAAUACCAAAUGGAGAAGUGGCAUUAGCUAGCCAUGUGUUACUACUAUUUUAUUUUAUCGAUUUGCUCACUCCAUUUUCAAAAGAAAGAUAUGGUUUGACUUGACACGGAGUUUAAAAGUAUAAAGAAAGUUUUUAAAUUGGUUUUGAAUUAAAAUUUAGUUAAAUAUACGUAAUUACAUUUUAAUCUGCCUUAAACAUGCCACGUGAAAAAUUGUAACUAAAAUAUUACCAAAAAAAAUGUCAUUCUUUUUUAAACAGACUAAAAAGAGAAGGAGAUUAUUCCUUUUGAAAAAAGGGAAGGAGAUUAUUUUUU
rnacentral:lncRNA from 1 species